rnacentral:lncRNA from 1 species
UUUUAAAAUUUUGAUGUAAAUUUUUAAUAUUUAAUUUUCAAUUUGAAUUUAAAUUAAUAUAUUAUAAAGAUAAAGUUAGUAUAUUAAUUUGAUUACGUUUUUUAUAUCUACCUGAACCAAACACCGACAAUGGAAAUAAUUUAUUCCGAUUCCGAUUCAGGUAAUGAACCAAACAGAAUUAGGUAAUGAGUCAUUCCGAUUUAGAUUUCAGCUUAUUUCGAUUCCGAUUAUGAUUCCGAUUCCAACUUUGAACCAAACGCGCCCUCAAAGUCUUCCACUCAACCAAAAAAUCACAAUACUUUGAUCCGAGUGAUUAUAUUCCAAAAGAAGAACACUACCUUUCAUAUAUUAAAAACACGUAUUCGUUAAUCAAAUAACUUUAUGAGUUAAAAUAGUAUGAACUUAUUAUAAGUUCAACUCAAAGUCCCACUUUAGUUCACAAUAAUACUUUAUGCACAUAUGUGUAAAAACCAAAAUGUGUUCUUACUCAAAUAAAAAUAGUUCUUAAUGUUUUUAUACAAGAAGAAAAAUACUUAAACUGUAAAUAAACUCAAGAUACCCAUAUGAUUAACAUGAUUCUUGAACUUGUUUGAUAGUGAUGGUUUAGUCAUAGGAUCAGCAAUAAUCAUUUCGCUCCCAGCAAGAUACAUUGUAUUGAUAUGUUUGCUGCGAUCUAUAAUUCGACUAUUCUUGACACAAAACACUGCAGCAAAAUUGUUGCAAUGAAUUUUAAUUGGCUUUGAGAUAGAAUUGACAGCUCUUAAACGUGAGAUACAAUUUCUCAGCCAUCAAGCCUAUGACGAAGCCUCAUAAUAAGCGAUGAGCUCUAUCUCCAUAAUGGAUGUAGCAACUAUAUCUUACUUUGUGCUCAUUCAAGAUAUUGCACCUUGAGUAAGAAAGAAAAUAUAUUCUGAUGUAGACUUUCUAGAAUUCACACAUCCAAUAAAAUCAGAGUGCGAAUAUCCAACCACCUCAAAAAAAUUUUUGCAGCUUUCCAAUGUUUAAGACUAGAGUUGCUUUGGUAUCUACCCAGCAUCCCCACUGCAUGAGCUAUAUCAAGUCUGGUACAAACCUGCGCAUACAUCAAGCUUCCUACUGCAGAGGCAUAGGGUAUGCUCUUCAUAUACUGUCGUUUAAAUCAUUCAGUGGGCACUGUUUCUGAUUGAACCUAUCACCUUUUACAAUAGGUACAGCUGUAGGUGCACAGUUUGCCAUAUUAAAUUUUUCUAAAACUUUUUUAAUGUAUUUCUGAUAUUGACCCAAAAUCUUUUGAGAUCUAUUUCUAAAAAUCUUUAUGCCAAUGACAUAAGAAGUUUCACCCAAAUCCUUCAUCUCAAUGUUCUUAGAAAGAAAUUCUUUGGUCUCUUUAAGAAAACAUAAAUUACUACUUGCAAGCAGAAUGUCAUCUACAUGUGGGAUUAAAAAAAUAUACUUACUCCCAUUAACCUUAAGGUAUAUGCAGUGGUCCACAAUAUUUUCUACAAAAUCGAAUAUAGUAAUUAUAUUAUGAAACUUGAUAUAUCACUGAUGGGAAGCAUGUUUAAGUCCGUAUAUAGAUUUCUUUAAUCUGCAAAUAAAAUGAUUAUUUUCAUCUAUACUAAUACCUUCGGACUUGCAUAUAGAAUAUCUUCUCUAUUUUCCCAUUUAGAAAUACAACUUUCACAUCCAUCUAAUGUAGCUCCUGUUGGAUUUUAUUGGAUUUUUGGUUAUUUAAAACUUGUUAGGCCUCUUAGACAGCCCAAUACUUAAUAGGCCUUGCCUGGAAACCCAACUAAAAUUUUCAUAUGUGAGAUUUAGUCCCACAUUGGAAACUACAAGGGUGUUGCUGGUAUUUAUAUAUCCCUUUAUUCUCAAGCUAGUUGCAUGGGAGAAAAUGAGAGUUAUACUAUCGUUUAAACACACGCACGCACGGCACGAGCCCGAGCCAAGCCGAUUUUCGCAAAACCCUAUCUUCUACAUCGUUUUUUCUGCUUUCUCACGAUUGAUCUUUUGCGCCGACUUUCGCCAAGCUUUCUCAUAUUUUGCUGGAUCUGAAGCUUGUUGGGUUCGUUUUGCGCCACCUCGAAAGCGUGUCGACGGGGUGGAACGUGGUCAUUGUAUCGCUGGAAGUAAUUGUAGGGAAGUCUUGCCCGUAGAGGGACAAUUUCGCUUCUAGUACAGUGCUCUACACGCCUCGAUCCACAGACCUUCUCUAAUCCUUUCCUUUACAAUAUUUGUUAUUUAAUUUCUUUCUCGAAAUUUUUCUAAAACUGAAAUUAAGUUUCAAAUUAUUUUUAAAGAAUAUUUUAAUAAAAGAUCAGAAAGAUUUUUCAACAAUUUAGAAGCGAAAUAUUUAAUUUAAUCUUUCUGUUUCUUUUAUUAUACUAAUUAAAAUAUUUCUUCUCUACAAAUCAAUAUAUAUAUGUCACGCCCCGGGGCCCCUUUUUAGUUUAAAGCAUAGCGGAAAAGCGUCUGAAAUUUUUUUUUUUUUUUUUUUCGAAAACCUGACCCCAGGGUAUGCCAGAUCCGCCACAAAUANNNNNNNNNNNNNNNNNNNNNNNNNNNNNNNNNNNNNNNNNNNNNNNNNNNNNNNNNNNNNNNNNNNNNNNNNNNNNNNNNNNNNNNNNNNNNNNNNNNNNNNNNNNNNNNNNNNNNNNNNNNNNNNNNNNNNNNNNNNNNNNNNNNNNNNNNNNNNNNNNNNNNNNNNNNNNNNNNNNNNNNNNNNNNNNNNNNNNNNNNNNNNNNNNNNNNNNNNNNNNNNNNNNNNNNNNNNNNNNNNNNNNNNNNNNNNNNNNNNNNNNNNNNNNNNNNNNNNNNNNNNNNNNNNNNNNNNNNNNNNNNNNNNNNNNNNNNNNNNNNNNNNNNNNNNNNNNNNNNNNNNNNNNNNNNNNNNNNNNNNNNNNNNNNNNNNNNNNNNNNNNNNNNNNNNNNNNNNNNNNNNNNNNNNNNNNNNNNNNNNNNNNNNNNNNNNNNNNNNNNNNNNNNNNNNNNNNNNNNNNNNNNNNNNNNNNNNNNNNNNNNNNNNNNNNNNNNNNNNNNNNNNNNNNNNNNNNNNNNNNNNNNNNNNNNNNNNNNNNNNNNNNNNNNNNNNNNNNNNNNNNNNNNNNNNNNNNNNNNNNNNNNNNNNNNNNNNNNNNNNNNNNNNNNNNNNNNNNNNNNNNNNNNNNNNNNNNNNNNNNNNNNNNNNNNNNNNNNNNNNNNNNNNNNNNNNNNNNNNNNNNNNNNNNNNNNNNNNNNNNNNNNNNNNNNNNNNNNNNNNNNNNNNNNNNNNNNNNNNNNNNNNNNNNNNNNNNNNNNNNNNNNNNNNNNNNNNNNNNNNNNNNNNNNNNNNNNNNNNNNNNNNNNNNNNNNNNNNNNNNNNNNNNNNNNNNNNNNNNNNNNNNNNNNNNNNNNNNNNNNNNNNNNNNNNNNNNNNNNNNNNNNNNNNNNNNNNNNNNNNNNNNNNNNNNNNNNNNNNNNNNNNNNNNNNNNNNNNNNNNNNNNNNNNNNNNNNNNNNNNNNNNNNNNNNNNNNNNNNNNNNNNNNNNNNNNNNNNNNNNNNNNNNNNNNNNNNNNNNNNNNNNNNNNNNNNNNNNNNNNNNNNNNNNNNNNNNNNNNNNNNNNNNNNNNNNNNNNNNNNNNNNNNNNNNNNNNNNNNNNNNNNNNNNNNNNNNNNNNNNNNNNNNNNNNNNNNNNNNNNNNNNNNNNNNNNNNNNNNNNNNNNNNNNNNNNNNNNNNNNNNNNNNNNNNNNNNNNNNNNNNNNNNNNNNNNNNNNNNNNNNNNNNNNNNNNNNNNNNNNNNNNNNNNNNNNNNNNNNNNNNNNNNNNNNNNNNNNNNNNNNNNNNNNNNNNNNNNNNNNNNNNNNNNNNNNNNNNNNNNNNNNNNNNNNNNNNNNNNNNNNNNNNNNNNNNNNNNNNNNNNNNNNNNNNNNNNNNNNNNNNNNNNNNNNNNNNNNNNNNNNNNNNNNNNNNNNNNNNNNNNNNNNNNNNNNNNNNNNNNNNNNNNNNNNNNAAUUAUGCUACUAUACUAUCAAUAGUACCAAGCCCUUAGUACUAUUGAGUUUUCGGCCGUUGGAUGAAAAGAUGUGCAGUUAGGAUGAUAGUGGUCUCCGGUUAAAUUGAAAGUGGUUCCCUAGGGUUGAGUGGGUUGUUGGUUUAAUAAUAUAAUCUAACGGGUGGAAAUGAUCAAAGGGUAAAUCUAACGGUAGAAAACUCAAUAGUACCAAGGGCUUGGUACUAUCAAUAGUAUAGUAGCCGGACUCUCUCUCUCUCUCUCUCUCUCUCUAUAUAUAUAUAUAUAUAUAUAUAUAUAUAUAUAUAUGUUUUUUUAUAGUUCUAGUGCUAGCAAAGUCCAUCUGAUCCACGACAUAUAUAUUGGUUGAACAGUACCAUAACUUAAAUCAGUGUGCUCGCCGGCUGUAUUUGUGCGUAAUUAAUUAGAUGAUAUAUAUCAUCAAUAGAUAGUGAUAUUAUUAUAAUAUUACUAAUGGAAUUUUGUUGGGUNUGGGUGAUACUUGUGUGUUUUUAGCCCUUGGAUGGAGAGAUGUGAGGUUGAGAUGAUGGUGGUAGGUGGUCGUAGGUGGUGGUAGGUGGAAUAGUGUUUAAUUCAAGGGCUAUUAAUAAUCAAAAAGUAGAUCCAAUGGCUUAAAACCUAAUAGCACAAUGAUGGUGAUACUUGUAAAAGUAUCAUAGCUCAACUCUAUAUAUAUAUAUAUAUAUAUAUAUAUAUAUAUGGGGCAAUUGCUUAUAUACUCCUGAAAAGUUUUUGACUUUCCGAUCCCCUCUUAGAAGGCUAAUAUUGAAAAUACCUUUUCUACGUUCCAACAUAUUUCUAAUAUACCCCUAGAGUUAAAAUCUGUUAAUGAACUCUGUUAUCUCUGUAAAAUUACUAUUUUGCCCUUUCAAAUAUACCCUUCUACCAUCACUGACUUUCUUAUUUGCUCUUAAAGUCAGGAGUACAAAAAGUAUUUUGACUUUUGGUCAUUUUCAAUAUACCCCUCUACCGUCACCAACAUUUCUUAUUUGCCCUUAAGUUAAGAACAAAAUUGGCAUUUUAAUUUUUUUUUAACUGUGGUAGAUAUUUAACUCACGUUUAAACCAAGUUAAUUUAACAGGAGAUAACUGCGGGGAUAUUUUGUAAUAACGGUGGAACAUAUGAGGGGUAUUUUAGAAAGAAGAAAAAAGUAGGGGUAAAUCAGAUAUUUUCAAACGUAUGAGGGAUAUAUAGGCAAUUAUCCCUAUAUAUAUAGAGUUGGUCUAGAAUACUAUUGAUAGCAAAAAGUAAGUCUUUUUUGCUAUCAAGUUUUUAGCUUUCAGAUCAAUUUCUUUCAUCAUUUCUAACCAUUGGAUUAAAUAUUAUAACUCAGUGGGGACCACUCAACCGUAGGGGGACCACUCAACCCUAAGGGACUAAUAUCAUCCUAACCCUACAAUUUCUCAUCCAAGGGUAAAAACUUGAUAGCAAAAAGGGUAUUUUGCUAUCAAUAGUAUUUUAGCUCAACUCUAUAUAUAUAUAUCGUAAUCUUCCUGAGUAACACGUAGAAUAUCUUACUGUUAUUUUUCUGAAAUUCAAAACUAUUUUGUGACAUAACAGUAGGGUUAUUUGUGAACAGUUUUUUUUUUUAUUAUGGAGGAUUCGGCGAAAUCUUUUACUUUUGAUGGUCGUAAUUUAAAAGGUGGCAGAACCAAAUGAGAUUCUGGGUCACCACACUUGGGCUAGUUUCUGCAUUCUCAGAUUCUGCCGAGAAUGGCAUUGGAUCUAAACCUGAAAGUGCAAUCUAGACUGCGGUCAACAGACCAGUUACUUGAAGCUAAGUCCAGGCUAGAUCUAGUCCUCCCUCCACUAAAACUGCAAGUACAUCUACACCCAAAACUGUACCUCCUGUUGACCCUAAUAUGAUCAACUAUCAUUAUUUAAACCAAAUUCUUAGUACCUGUCACGCCCCAAGCUCCACCUAUUUGGUCGAAUUCGGGCACAUGAACAGACGCCGAACAAACAGCACCUCCUCUGUCUGCCCAAGGCUCCAACAACAAGUAUAAUCAAGCAAAUCAAUCAACGAAAUUGCAAUUAUACAAGACUUGCACGAGGACAAGCAACAACAAGUAGUGAAAGCUCUGAGUUACUACAUACAAUCACAUAUAUAAUAUUUGAUUAUAUUUUAACCAAAUAUAAGUAAACUAAAGUUAUUACAUUCAUUCUCUUUGCAUUCAUGUUUAUACAUCACAUAGUCAUCCAACCCAAAAUACAUGGAUCUAAACAUCUCUUACAUCUCUUAUUCAACAAAAUAAAAAUUGAAACAUAAACAAAAGGAAUGACUAUAACUCUGGUGGCUGCUAGCUACGGCGUUAAACCCUUAUCCGGAUCUUCCGCCACCCCGCUCGCGCUCGGAUCUGUAGGGUUAGUGGCGUGAGAACUACAACUAAGUUCCCAAUAUGUUCGGCCGCCGACCUCGCUGAUCUGCCCACUAAGUCUAUUCAAGCAUAUGUAAUUCAAGAAAAGAUAGAUAACAAACCAAUUAAUGCUACUACUAAUACAAUGCCUGCAAGAAAGCUGAUCAAUAGAUAGAUAAUCAUAUGUAUGAUACAUAUGCAUGCAUGCUUUUCCACAUUCACUUUGACUUUUACCCAAUUAAUCCGGUUAACACUCGUUAACCCCAAAACUCACAACCCAAAAUCCCUCUCAAUCGGGGGACUCGAACCUCCCGAGGGACCGUCUUAUGGGGGGACUUUACCUCGCCCAGUGGUGACCAACUUCGAAGCGCACCGCUCGAGGAGGAGCUACCUCCCUCAAGCCAAGACUCAAAGUGAGUAUGAUCCAAUCCCUAAUUUGGGAAUGUAUAGCCAAACUUGCUACUUUGCUACAAGCCACCAUGCCACAAUACAAUAACAGAUUUCUACCUCGUCAUAUAUGCCACUCUCUAGGCCACACUUGUCAUGAUACCACAAUUUGUUUAACCUUGUUUGGCAAUUCAUCUCUCAAUGCCAAUUUCGUCGCUAAUGUCAAUGUCACCUUUGUUUACUAUUAUCAUAGUCCAUUUCUCACAUUCACACAUAGGGGUGUAAACGAGCCGAACUCGAGCGAGCUAGAGCCAGCUCGAGCUCGGCUCGUGGUCUUCAAGGUCGGCUCGUGUUCGGCUCGAGCUCGUGACAAGCUCAAAAACUCUGGCUCGUGAUUAGCUCGAAACUUAAUAGAGCUGGCUCGUGUUCAGCUGGUUAGCUCGAGCAAUUUUGCUUCUUUAUUUUGAAGAAAUCAUGGAGGCGGAGCGAGCGAAGAAGAAGAAGCGAGCAAAGAAGAAGAAGGAAAGAAGAGGGACGACGGCGAUACAAAUCACGGCGCACCGUGUUGGGAAAAAGCCCGGUCCACGAGGCUGCGAGCGAAGAAGAAAAAGGGAGUAAAGAAGAAGAAGAAAAUAAGAGGGACGAUGGCGAUAAAAAUCGCGGCACAUCGUAUUGGGAAAAAGCGCAGUCCACGAGGCUGCACUCAGCCUUGUGGACCGCGCGGGGUGGACAGAUCUGUUGGAAAAAAGCGCGGUCCACGAGGCUCACUCAGCCUCGUGGACCGCGUAGUGGACACCCCGGUUGGGAAAACGCGCGGUCCACGAGGCUCACUCAGCCUCGUGGACUGCGUGGUGGACACCCCGGUUGGGAAAAAGCGCGGUCCACGAGGCUCACUCAGCCUCGUGGACNUAUAUAUAUAUAUAUAUAUAUAUAUUAUUUUAUAUUAUAUUAUUUUUAUAUUUAUAAAAAUUAUAAUUAUUUAUGAUAAUAAUAUAAUCGAGCUGUUAUCGAGCCGAAUACGAGCGAGCUGACCCUAGCUCGUGUUCAGCUCGUUUAUUAAACGAGCUGAAAAAUCCAGCUCAUGUUCGGCUUGUUUACUAAACGAGCGAGCCCAUCUCGAGCUCAUUUUGAGCCGAACACGAGCUGGCUCGUGAACAGCGAGCUGGAUUGCCACCCCUAUUCACACAAGUAUAGGGUCCCAACAUACAUGUCUCAUAUGGUUCUAUAUCAAUCACUAUGUUCAUAUACGUUAGAAGCAUACAAUUGAAUCUCAACCAACAUCCAUAUGUAACUACCCUAUCAUGCAUGAAUGUCACUAUUCAUAUAUGCUUAAUAAAAAGGCAACAUAAACAUAGAAGGGAAUUCAGAGAUUCCGGAUAGCACCUUCCAUCUUGUAGGAACACCAAGAGGCUACCGGUCAAUUUUCAUGAUUUUUGGGCGCCUAUUCUCUCGUCUGCGGCAAAACGAAGCCAAAUUAGGCUUUUCUCUCAAUAUCUUUAUAUAGACUUGUCAGAUCGGUGAACUGAGUCCACCAAUGAGUUAGAAAUAUCCCCAAUUUAGUUUCUACAAGGUCAAUUUACCUUUAAACCAACUUAGGACAAAAACUCCAAUUUUGAUGCCCUAACAAUGUCAUCUAGCCAUAUAUCUUGGUUUGAUUUUAGAACUAAGCAAAAACAAGCUUAGAACCAUCUAAGAAUCCCUCUAAAACUAUUUCUAGGUUAUUCAAACCAUUCCUUGAGCAUAAAAACCAAACCCUAGAUUUCUACCAUGAGAGCACAUGGAGAAACAUGAGUUUUCAUGGAUUCCAUGGCCUUUACUAGAUUUCCCAUCAUGUAAGAAGAUCAAAACCAAAAAAUUUAGGGCAUAAAACCAAGCCCUAAUCUAGUUCUAACAAGAAACCUCACCUUAGUCUACAAGCUCACCAAGGUCCACAUUGUAGGAAAGCUCUAGAUCCUUCAAAACUCCAAAUCUCCUCCAAAUCCACCUUUUGAUCUCCUCCUUUAGCCUUGGGAGAGAGUUUCUAGAGAGAGAGAGCGAGAGAAAUGAGAAGGAGUGAUGUUCUCAGCUGGGAACAAGAAAAAAGAGAGGGUGGGGUACUUUAUAGGUUGCUACAGUAGCAAAUAGAUCCUCAUUUUUUUCAUAUUUGCAGUAGACUAUCCUGCUGAUUUCGCAGCACUGCGUACCGGUACGCGGGUGGGUGUCACCGGUUUAACGACUACGCAGCAGCCAAACCCGAGAGUUGCUCUUUCGGGUAACAUACUUGGUACCGGUACGCACCAGGGAUGUCACCGAUUUAACAGCAUUAAACUCUCAAAUCCGAGAAUAGCUGUUCUCGGUUGCCUGCCUGGUACCGGUACCACUCCAAUGCAUUACCGGUUAACAAUGCUCCAGACUGCAAUUUGCAUUGUUUCGACUCUAGUUCGCGUCGAGCAAUGCUAAAACCUUUCUGACUCUCUUGAAACUCAACUUUAAUCCUUCCAACAUUGUUGGAAUAUUAAAUAGACUUUGUCCAACUAUUCAUCUCGCACACUUUGGUCGAUUUGACUAAAAUUCGAUAUACUCUACCGAAGUUUCGGUAUAUUACAGUACCCUAUCUGAUAAAUUGUAUGACAUUUACUAUAGUGCUAAAAUAACUAGAAAACUUUGGACAUCCUUAGAAAAUAAAUAUGCUCAGGUUGAUCCUACCCAGAAGAGAUACCAGGCUUCUAAUCUAAUUAAAUUUAAGUUGGUGAAUAAUAAGUCUAUAUCUGACUAGCUUUACGAUUUUGAGUAUAUAGUUGAGUAGCUUAGAUCUAGUAGUGUAGAUCUUGAUGAGAGUUUCUUAAUUGCUGCCUUAAUAGAUAAGUUGACAUUCUUUAGGUCAAACCAUACAAACGAUCUUAAUCACAAUUGGAGAGAGCUAUCCCUAAAUUAUGUCCUAAGAUCUAUUAUGAUAGAAGAGUUCGAACCGAGCUAAGGAUAAGAAGCCCGGUAAAUCUACAACCCAAGCCAACCUAGUAGAGAAUCCUAAAAAUAAGGAUAGAAAUUUUUAGCCUCAUAGGAACUUUAAGAAUAAGCCUUUCCACCGUAGGAAGUUCAACCCAAACUUUAAGAAACCUAAAUCUAAUGAAAGUGGAGGCAACUCUGGCUGCUUUGUGUGUGCGAAGACAAGUCAUUUUGCGAAAUAUCGCUACUUCCGGUAGACUCGACCUUUCGUACCAAAGAAGAAGAAGAAGGCUCCAUUGAGUGCCAGAUGAAUGUGCUGACUGGUGGGUUUGACCCUUCUAACUCCACUAUCAGGUUAGGAUCUAGUUUACUGAAUGUUAACCUUACCUAUAGUUUUUUUGAUUGGUGAAUAGAUACUAAAGCUAAUGUUCAUAUUUGUUCUAAUCGUUCGUGGUUUUCCACCUAUCAGGACUCAUUUGGAGGAUCGAUAAAUAUGGGGAAUGCUGCAUCUUUUCACGCACGCUAGGGACAGAUCGAGUGGACUUGAAGUUGACCUCCGGGAAGACCUUAACCUUGCACGAAAUCUGUCAUGUUCCCGACCUUAGGAAGUUGUGGUGCUUAAAAUGUUACUAUAUAUCAUGUGCAUAUAAGAAAUUUUUUUUUCCAAUCAAUUUUAAUAAGGUAAAGACAUCUUUGCCUUUUAGGCAAUUUGAAAUAACUUUUUCAAUUUUAACUUUUUAGUUAAAAAAGUUAUUUAUAGAACAAUUUUCAAAACUAUUAAAUAUGAUUAAUUUUUAAAUAAAAUUAUUAAAAUAAUAUAGCUAUUCAAAAUUAAGAAAAUAUUAAUACUAAAGUUAUUUUUUGUAAUGUAUAUAACACUAUUUUAUAAUUUUUUUAUUUAGUUAUAAUAUUUUUGUCUUAAAAUUUUAAUAAUUAUCUAUAGAUAUAUUAAUUUAACAGUUGGGUCACAUCAAAAGCCCUCAGAGCGACACGCAUCCUUUUUCUUCUCCCUCCUCUACUUCAAUAAUAUUGCAUGCACCUGGUCUAUUAAAAUAUCAUAUACACCAAGUCUCUUUUUAUUGUUAAUAUUUUAAAAUCUAUAAGAUAUAUAAUUUUGCAGUUCCAUCACAUCACAAAAAAUUUUAAUACUAAUUAUCAGAUAUUCUAUCAAUCAUCUAAUAUAUUUUUAUGGUGUAUGAAAUAUUAGUAUACAUUAGGUGCAAGAUUUCUCCUCUUUUUCCUGAAAUUAUAAAUUAAUGCACUCUAUUAAGCAUUCUCCAUGCCGGUUGUAUAUAAGAACAUACACAACAUACUUAAAAUAUUUAAUAGAGAUUUUAAAAUUUAAUUCAGUAAACAUAUUUAAAUUAUUAAAUUUUGUAAUUUAAAUAUAUUUAACUAAGAUUCGAUAUUAGAAAUUAGUCCUUUAAUAUAAGUUGUGGUGUAUAGUGUGUUAAUAUAUACACCAGGUGCAUGUAAUAAUUUCUUUUUUUUCAAUCAAUGUUAACUAGAUAAACAUAACAUCAUAUAUUUGCAAUUUAGAAUAAGUUUUCUAAUUUAACUUUUUAAUUAAAAAUUUAUUUAUAGAAUAGCUACUAAAACUAUUAAAUUUGAUUGAAUUCUUAGGUGAAAUUAUUAGAAUACUUUAACUCUCUGAAUAUUGAAAGUUAAAAAAUAUUAAUAAAAAAAGAUUAGCUUUAUAAUGUAUAGAAAGCUAUAUAUUUUUUUAUUUUUUAUUAUAAUUUUAAAUUUUAAAAUUUUAAUAAUUAUAUAUAUAUUGAUUGACUGAAAUGCUAUCGAUCAGCCGCGAAGCGCGGACCCUGAACUAAAGAGAGAUCUAGAGAGAGAGAGAGAGAGAGAGAGAGAAUCAACCCAUGUGCCAAACUGUCAAUAAGUCAAGCCCAAACCUUCACCGUGGGACAAUCCAAGCCCAAGAAUUGGUGCCGUGCCGGAUUUGUUUUGGUAAAUUUUGGGCCAAUCCACCGUAUCAAGAACACACAUAAACACUACAGUUUCAAAACAUCUAACAUCAAAUUAAUUAACCCUUACGAGCUAGCUUUAAUUCACGGCCAAACAUUCACUACGGGCUAGACCAAAUAUGAGGCCAGAAGAUAUUUUAUGAAAAGCACAUAAAAUGGGCUGAUCUUUUGGGACCAAAGGCAACAUAGUGAAGCGCCUCACCACUCCUGCUACAUAUGAUGGUUUAGUUCUUAUAUAUCUUGUUUUCUUUUAAAUAGUAGAAAUUUUAAAAAAAAUUUUAAACCCUAGGAUGCAUGCAUGGGAGAGUUUACAUUAUAUACCCCUUUUGGGAUUUAUAAGAAGCAUUUCUCAAAAUAAAAAAGGUUAAUUGCAAUAUUUCAUAUGUAUCCCUAGAAAGUUCUAGUUUUUAAGUAUAUCGAUCCAUCGAUCCAAAGUUGCAUAGUUUAUAGAUAUAUGAUCCUUCUCCGUUAAUUAACUAGUUAGAUAUCGAUCUUCUCCGUUAAUUACUUAUUUUUUGCCAACAGAAUAAUUAUUUUACCUUUGAAUAUAGUAUUUAUUAUUUGUAGUAUUUUUAUUCCAAUUUUUACGUCAUUUAUGUGAACCAUACAUUAUAAAUCUUGAAAAGAAAUUCAGAAAAACUAAUUUUAUAAGGGCAUAAUGGUCCAAAAAUAGAAAUUUAACAAUCGACCAAUAGUAGUCAAUAUUCAUAGAUAAAUUUGCAUAUUUUAGAUGUUUAGAAGGAUAUAUUUGAUAAUUAAAACUUUACAUGAAUAUAAUAGAAUUUUGUAGGAAUAAAUAUGUAAUGUUAUUGUUUUGUAUGGAUAUAGCACACAUGCAAUUUCCAUUCUCAUUCUUCUUUUAAUGACACUACAGGUGUUUUGCUGCUUCAAUAAAUCAGCAAAUGAGCACUUAUUAAAGGGCAAUAAAUGGAGGUUUUGGUGGGUGGGCGAGCCCUAGCCCUAUAUAUUGUCACAUGAUUAUAUAUAUUUAUAUAUAUAAUUGAGCUUCUAUAUUUUUAAAAUUAUAAAGUUUUUGGUGGACUUGUAAAUUUUUAACUCUUGGAUUAAAAGAUGUGCGAUUAGAAUAAUAGUGAUCCUCUAGAAUUGAGUUGGUGUUUGGUUGAAUAGUAUUAUCGAACGGAUUGAACUAAUUAACUAAAUAGAUCUAACGGCGAAAAACUUACGAGCACCAAAUAGUUGGUGCUUUUACAAGUAGUAUAGCCGGUCUCUCUCUCUCUCUCUCUCUCUCUCUCUCUCUCUCUCUCUCUCUAUAUAUAUAUAUAUAUAUAUAUAUAUUCUUUGUGCUCUGUAGAGAAGGGUCCUGGUUGGUCUAAGAAACCACAUGGCUUCUGCAUCCUCUCUCGUGGGGUGUAGGCCCUGCUAUAAUGACUGCACAAAGAAAAAGAUAACAUAUCGUCGGGUGCACCUGGUGCAUACGCACACAUUGUGCACCGUCCGCCCACCCCGCUUUCAUAUUUUACAUUUUAGUCCCUACCAUCCACCGAAAAAAAUCUUCUUCCUAAUAUUUACAAUAAAUAAGCUACACCAAAAACCAAUUAUUUUUGUACAAUUAAUGUACUACUUAUAAAGAGUCUCACAAAAGAUAAUAUGAUAUAUAAACCUUACUGAAAAGUUAUAUGGUACGACCUGUUUGUCCUUGUUUAGCUUUUCUUUUUCUUUUUUUUCAAAUAGAGUUAGUUGUUAGUAACUGUAAGCUCGACAAUCGAUGAAGUCUAGAAUUUAAUUUGUAGCAAAAUGGAAGAAAAACAUAAUUUAGAAAACCGGUUAGCAGAAAUUUGUGCUUCUCAUCUACUAAUACAACUAAAUGAUCUAUAAUUCUAUUAGGAGUUGUAAUAUUAUGCUUCUUCUUGUAGCGCUUUUAGAUAUAUAUCAUACCGAUAAAAAAAACAUACACUGUAUCCUGCAAUACAAGUGGGAAAAAAUUAAACUCGAAUGAAUUAAGGGCGUCUGUAUUUCGUCAAUUUAUUGAGUUUUUUCUAAAUUUGCCGCACAAUACGAUCUUGAGACAAUGAUAUCAAAUAUUUAACUAAAUUUAAUUAAACAUCAAAAUUCAAACACACAAUCGACGAUCAUCAAGUAAUCAAAUAAUUCCAGCGAAUUAAGCAUCGUUGUGAUGCUCCUCAGUAAGAUCCUACGAAAAUGGGGAUGCUCGUAAUAAUUCUAGAGAGAGAAAGUGAGAGUACGUACCCCACAGGACAGAGGCAUCACAAGCCAAACAAUAGCAAACUACCAAAUGGUACUGUCGAGUACGUACCCUCUCCUCUCUCUCUCUCUCUCUCUCUCUCUCUCUCUCUCUCUCCUCUCUCCUCUCUCCUCUCUCUCUCUCUCUGAAGUGUCCAAAGAAACAGAAAAAGUAGCAACGAAAAACUACUUCUGGGGUUAAAGGGAGAAAAGUAGAAGGGGUUGAUGUUGGUAAUAGGAAGAGAAAAUAUGAUAGUGGAAAGCCGCGCUUUGUGGACACAGUGCAUGGGAGCAGUUAAUGCAUACUUUUACGAGAACAACAAGAGAAAAGAUCAUCAUCUUCUGUGGUUGUCAUUGGCUGAUACUGCACAGAUCAUCUGUCGAGGAUUGGUCGAGUACACUACAGUAUUUAUACUACACACUAGUACUGUGCCAACUAAAGGACCUAUAUAUGUUUACUUUUACUCUCAGAAAUAAUAAUGUUUUAUUAGGAAAGUGAAAAGUGUUUCACAAAUAGAGAAGCAAGCAUGUGGUUAGCUUCUACUGUUAGAAGAAGUAAUGUAAAAAUUUGAGAAUAGAAAUAAUAACUUCUCUUAACUAUUUACUUUUGAUUAAGUAUAACAUAUGUAGGUCAUAUUGGUCGAUCUGUACAAGCAGUAAAAUGGGGUAAAGAUCCCUAUAAUUUUUCAACAGAACCAUUUCACACCCAACUAAUUCUGUAUAUACUACUUCAUAUUGACAACUUCAUUCUAAUCUUUAUAACUCAUCUAAUAAGUAGAAAUACAAUUUCGCUGUCUCAAAAUCAAAAGUUUUAAUUUGACACUUUUUAUUAUGCUGUAAGACCAUAUAGGAACAGGCUGAAGGUUAACCAAGCAUAUGUCAAACUCUCCUAGUAUAUGAGCGUAGCGAAAAACUGAAUCUUUUAUAGAGAAAUUUGAUGAGAACAAUCGAAAAAGUCAAUUAUGAGAAUAGCAAAAUAAUAAAAAGAGUAAGAACAUAAAAAUUUAUGUAGUUUGACCAACGGUGUGUCGACCGAUAUUCACAAGCCAAACAUUAAUGCUUCUUCGAUUAAUCAAUGAUACAAAAUACAAGGAGUAGAUUGAAGAUAAGAAAUCCCUCUUACACCACUCUGCCACAUUUUUUGUCUCAAGUAGAAUUUUACAAUGGAACUUUAAAGCCCUAAAUAUGAAUUACAAAGUUCUAUCCAAAGGUGUACCGGAACCUACACUUUCAUAGUGUCUUGUUUUGGAACCCAGUUCUUGUGUUCAGGAACCUACACUUUCAUAUUGUGCAUAUAACAAUAUGUGGGUUCCGGAACCUGCUGUAAUUCUCACACCAGAUUCGGCCUCUUCUAUUUCUAUGGAGCACCGCCAAAGGUUCUCGAAUCUAACAUCCAAUAACCUGUAGAUUCAUCACUCAGAAAUCAACUCGAAAAAUGGCUUCCACUUGAUCUAACAUAAGAAACCAUUCAGAAUAUUCUUAUAUUAGUACUUCUUCGAAUGUAUACAUACAUAACACUUCAUCUAGAUUACUAGUUCUACACUCUAUAGCAGAGUCAUACAGACCCUUAUUAUAUUUCAUUUCUUCACAGUAAUUACUAAAAACAGCAACAAAGGAUGUUAGAAUUUAAUUAGAAUGAUCUCUUGCAAAAGAUCGGGAAGUACCAACUGCAUGCUAGAUUAAUAAAGUCUCAAUCACCGACCAUCCCUAGAACAGUUGGCAAAGUGCUUGAUAAUAAUCUUCUAAAUUAUUAGUUUUAGCCUUAAUUUAUUUGGAGUUUCUUCUUCUAAGUAUGUUAGUAUAAUUUGUUAAGAGGUAAUGCUCACCUUGAUUAAGAGUCUAAUUAGUGGAGAUUUAAUUAUAGUAAGAAACUAUGUUACUUUUAAGUUAAAUGAAUUUUACAGUAAGAUACUAUGUUACUAGAGUCAAAGUAGAAUUAUAGUAAGAUACUAUGUUACUUUAAGUUAAAUGAAUUUUAUCUUUAAGGUGAUUAAAUUAUCAAGUAGAGCUCUAUUUUUUGUACAAGCUAGGCCGGUAUACUAUCGGUAGUACGGAGGCCUCCGUGCUAUCAAGAUCCGGUUUCCGAAUCGAUGAUCGGCUCCAUUAGACUUGAUCUACACUUUUAGAAGUAUUUGGAAACAAAAAUUUUAUAAUUUUUCGACAUCAUUUGGCUAGUGAUCAAAAGGUUUCAAAAUUGACAAUUUUAAUAGUUGAUGUGAUGUGUUUGUGAAUUUAAUGGUGUAAAACAAUCCAAAUCUGAUAAAAUUUUUAUAGAAAAUUCUUUUCACUAUUUAGAGCAAGAUCAGUACCUCUGAUUUUAAAUUCAAGUCUUUUUUCAUCAUUUUUUAUGAGAUUUUUACUUUCAGCCGUUCAUUAUUAAAUUAGUCGUUUGAUAGGUAAAUGAUGUCGAAAAAUUAUGAAAUUUAGUUUCCAAAUACUUUUAAGCGUGUAGAUUAAGUCUAACGGAGCCGAUCGUCAAUUCGGAAGCCGCAAUAUUGAAAACAGCUUGAUAGCACGGAGACCUCCGUGCUACCGAUAAUAUACCAGCCUAGCUCUUUCUUGUGCUAUAUAUAUAUAUAUAUAUAUAUGAGAUGAGGAGCAGAGAGAGAGAGAGAGGAGAAGAGAGAGAUGAGAGAGAAGAGAGUAGAUAGAGAGAGAGAGAGAGAGAGAGAGAGAGAGAGAGAGAGAGAGAGAGAGAGUCCGGCUACUAUGCUAUCGGUAGCACGGAGCGCUCCGUGCUACCAAGUUGUUUUCGAUAAUGCGGCUUCCAAAUCGACGAUCGGCUCCGUUAGACUUGAUCUACACUAUUGAAAGUAUUUGAAAACUAAAUUUCAAAUUUUUUCGACAUCAUUUGAAUAGUGAUCAAAAGAUCUCAAAAUUGACAACUUUAAUGGCCGAUGUGGUGUGUUUGUGAGUUUAACGGUGUAAAAUAAUACAAAUGCGAUGAAAAUUUUAUAGAAAGUUCUUUUCACUAGUUAGAGUAAAUUCAGUACAUCUGAUCUUAAAUUUAAAUUUUUUAUCAUCAUUUUUUAUGAGAUUUUUAUUUUCAGCCGUUCAAUUUUAAACUACUUGUUUGAUAAGUAAAUGAUAUCGAAAAAUUAUGAAAUUUAGUUUCUAAAUACUUUCAAUAGUAUAGAUCAAGUCUAACGGUGCUGAUCGUCGAUUUGGAAACCGCAUCAUCGAAAACAACUUGGUAGCACGAAGUACUCUCUGCUACCGAUAGUAUAGUAGCCUAGUUAUAUAUAUAUAUAUAUAUAUACACACACACAGGGGCGACACACUAAUUAGAUGAAGCAGGAACCGAACCUGAUAUUAGGAUGGCCAUGUGUGUAAGCACCAUCAUGUGCUGCUUUAUCUUCUUCAAUAAGUUUUGUGCUUCCACCAGAACGUCCCAAAAUUAUUAGUUUUUUCUGUUUUUUUUUCCUUCCAUUUUUCUAUUUAUUUGUGAGAGAUCUUUAAACACCAUAAUAAGCGCAUAAAACGUGAUUUAUUGGAGACCCGCCACCAUCACAAAUGAUAGAUUUAUUGCAGAGAAUCGAUAUUAUAACGGGUAGCAAAUUCCUAACAUAAUUUAGGGCUCAUUUGGUAAGUCAUAGCAAAUGUAGAGGGAUGCUUCUCUGUUUUCUGGCAAAACUGCAAAACAUGUAUUAUUACGGAUCCAUUGUAUAUGCACAACGUAAAAUAACGUACGGUAAUUAAGAGCUAAGUAUUUUUUUUUCAUUAUACUUUGCCAUUGAUAUACCAGAAUCUCCCUACAAUCUCAAUCAGAGCCUUAGAUAACUAGAAUAUCAGUUUGCCACUGACUUCAAAGUAAAUAGGAAUUGUAAAAAAUAUCUUAAAAUCACACGUUGUACAUGGAUAUGACUACAGAGAUGGUGAACUACAUCAAAAGCGUGCACGGAGGAGAGGAAGAACAUUUUGUUGUAAGCAAAUCCUAAUUGCUACCCAAAGAUCAAACAACUUCUUGUGAAAGCAAAAGCUUGUUUGGCUAGCAAGUGGAAAGUCAAGGAACGUAUACACCACACUAUUCACAGUUUUUCUCACCAGAAACAGAAGGAUGCUCAUGCAUGCAUCUGAUAUGAAUCAUAUAUCAAAAGCAGAAAAAAGAUUUUAUAGGUUAGAGACAUAUUCAUGUAUUUGAAAGCUGUAACUGUCAUCUUGGUGUAAUUUUUGGAACCAUGGAGCUAGUUAAUUAGUAGAUGUUUGACAAAAUAAAUAAAUGAAAAAUAUCCGAAGAUUUUGCUAUUACAGGAAGUUGAAAUGAUGUUUAACUCAAAACUUCUCCUAUAUUAAAGCACUAAUUUCUAAUUUGAAUAAGUUUUAUCUUAGACUCUCUAGCAUAGAUAACUCAUUAAGCCCAAAUUACUAGUCCAAAAUGUUUAAACCCAAUGUUUUGUUGGAUAUAUUAUUAUUAUUGGAUAUUUUGUUAUAAUAUAAUCCAAAUAAUAUGUUCACAUACAAGCCCAAUAAGUGAAAGCGUAUUAAGGCCCAUAUCUCUGGAGCCCAAUAGCUUAUUUAAAAAUCUAGGGUUUCCUACGCUGGAGGUAACACUGUUGAGCGUUCCAAACUUGACGUCUCUUGGUGUAAUACUUUAAGCACCCAAAAACCCUAACCUCCAACAUGUUUAUUAUUAGAGCCUAUGAUUCUUAUAUUUAAAUACAAAAUUUCUUUUUUAUUUGAUGCAGGACUAUUGUUUCCGAUUAUUGGAGCUAAUCGUUAAGUCCAAAGGCUCGACUUACUAGAAAUAUACAAUUAAUUCAUUUAAAGCGUACAAACAUAGUGCCCACAGAUCUUGACUGUAACUAGGCCGAAGCAACCUCACACCACUUCGAACAUGACUCGGCCUUAGCCGAUUUCUGUCGUUUCGAACGUGACUCGGCUAUUUUGACCUCUAGUCACAGGACAGGAUACUUAUGAUUUGUAUGAUCUUAUUAUAGCUGGUGCAAGAAGUGAUGUUUAGAUAAUAUUAUUGAAGAAACCCACUAUUAAUAUACUUUUGACAGUUUCUUUUUGCACUGGAAUCAUAAUUACUACUUCAAAAUCGACCAGUGCGCCCCUGUGCCAAAUGGUCCCCCCAUGCACAAAAUCCUCUUUGAAAGCAAAAUACGCAUAUGUAAUGGUGGGGGAUAUACACAUGGUAUAGGGCCAAGUGUCCUCAACAAGUGCAACAUCAGGGUUAAAUCUUCGAGCCCAACAUGUUCUUUCCAUCUCAACACAUACCCUAACUCGCCCGUGGCAUGUCCUUCUUUCUCUCUCCUCCCCACAUGCCUUGUUCCUCUCUCUCCCUCUCUCUCUCUCUCUCUCUCUCUAACCCCCUCCCUCUAUAUAUACCUCUUCCACCCAUGUCACUUUCCACUUAACUCUCUCUCUCUCUCUCUCUCUCUCUCUCUCUCUCUCUCUCUCUCUCUCUCUCUUCUAACACCUCACAAGGCCACAACCUCUCCCUCCCUCUCUCUCUCUCUCUCUCUCUCUCUAACAGUGCACUUACUCACUUCUUGUUACAAGCCUCUAAUGGCCAUAAGGAAGUGCUCCUCCAACAAGCUCCCACAAGGCACAACUCUGAAGCAGAUACUAAAGAGGUGUUCAAGCUUAGGUAGAAAGCAAGGAGUAGGAGGAGGAGACGAUAAGCUCCCCCAAGACGUACCCAAAGGCCACUUUGCGGUGUACGUGGGGGAGCACCGGAGCAGGUUCAUCGUCCCCAUCUCGUACCUCUCCCACCCCGAGUUCCAAACCCUGCUUCGGCGCGCCGAAGAGGAGUUCGGGUUCGACCACGACAUGGGUCUUACGAUCCCCUGCGAGGAAGUCGUUUUCCGCGAACUCAUCGCCUCCGCAGUGAUGUAGAAGAGAAGUACGCAGAAGAAGAGAAGAUCAGAGAAGAAGAUACAGAAUUAUUCUGUUUUUCAAUAUUUAUCUCUCUCUCUCUCUCUCUCUCACUCUCUCACUGUGUUUCCUACUUUUGUUUUGGGGGGAUCUUUGAUUAGAGUAGGGAACUUAAUUAGUUAGUGUUGUAGUGAUUCUAACACAUGAGUUCGAUUUGUACAUCUGUGGAGAAGCUUUUUGCUGUUGCGAGAAGCACUGCGAGAGCUGAGUAGUUUAGGAAGAGGAUCGAAGAGGGAGGUGAUGAUGUACCUCCUAUGAAAAAUAAUAUGUAACUAUAAGCAACUACUCUUGUUCUAAUUAAUUCUUCUUUGGGACAUCUUGAGUUAGCUUCCUCUCUCCCUUUUCUUUUUCUUGCUGGUUGGUUGUUGCUGUUCAGAUCUUCAUUAAUUAUGAAAUUUUUUUUUAUUUUUGUUUUUAUUUUUUUGGGCUUUAAAAAGCUUUCGCUGAGUUAUUUCAGCUGCUGUGGCCAUUAAUUAGAUCAGAAACAGUACUAGCUAGAAUGAGUUUGCAGUGCAUUUCCGGUUAAAUUUGUUUUACUUGUUUUGUUUUUUUUUUUCUUUUCUUUUGGAUGUGUUUUUCUCUGUGUCUGUGUGUGUGUUCAUAACAGCACCCACAUGCAUGAGAAAUGUACAAUAAAUUUUAUGACCUCUCAGCUAAGAGUCAAAGAAGAUGUCAAACUAAGAUAUAUGCUAUAUUUUUCUCACCAAACGUACAUUUUUUUGGGAUCUUCCGUGGACAAAAAUUAUAGUAGUAAUUUAUUUUGCUAUCCAAUUCUAAAUUUUAAAUUUUAAAUUUCAAAAUUCAAAUUUAGAAUUUUUAAUUUUUAAACGUAAAUUUUAAAUUCAAAUAUCACAUUCUAAGUUCUAUGUCAGAUUUUAAGUUCAAAUUUUUAAUUUUAAAAAUUAUAUUUAUUAUUUGUAAAUAAUUUUUUUUUUACCAAACAGCUUUAUAAAAUUAUUUUAAAAAAAUCACUUUUCUACUAGGCUUAGCCACACACUUACCACUUCUAACUAAAAUUAAUUUCCGAACCAAAAUCAAUUAUCCGAAAAUCACUUAUAAUUUCAAAAGUUAGGCUAAACACCCCUUAUACGCUGGAUGCUACUAGUAUGUGGGACAAAUAUAUAUGUAUAGUUUUACGUACAUGCUACAUGCAACAAGUUCGUAAUCAUCGAGCCAGCCAUAAAUGAGAAAUUAAGGUCGAUACAACCUUACACGUUAUAUACAGGUCGAAAUUCUUAUAUUUAACAUAAAAUUUAUUUUUUAAAAAGAAUUGGAUGAUUAAUUGGGUUGGCAUUAUUAGCUAGGCUAAAGGUGACACUUAGAACAAUGAUAGUUUAAGAGUAGCUAAAAGAAUUUUAAUUCUCUUAUGCACUAAUUAACCAAAUCAAAGUGUCGACAAAUCGAAAGGUACUAAUCAGAAUGACUAAUUAAUUAGGGCCAUUUUGUAUGGAAAGCAUCAUGGUAUACUGGUCAAAAAGUGUUAACAAGAUAAAUUCCAAGCAAGGUUUAAUUAAAACUAAUAAUCAUGGAUCUAUGUCAUUGUUUAAUUGUUUAACUGGUUGAACCAAUCGAAUCAGUAACACAUUAUUAAUAAUAACUAUAAUAUCGCGACAUUCGAGCUAUGCCACUAAAAUUUUACAAAAAAAAACAUCCAAUGAGCAAAGGGAAUAAUGGAAUUAAUUGGACUCUUAGUGACUUAGUCAAGCAUUCAUCAUACAUAUGUAUAAAUCAACUUUAUUCUCAAACCUUGGCCAUUCAAUAAUUGGACUUUAUAUAUAUAUGGUCUCACCAUGUGUGUUCCCUGUGGCAUGUUUGCCGCUUUAGGUUCUUGGUUAUAAGAAAAAUAAAUGACCUUUUCACUUCAAAAGUAACAAAAAGAGUGCGACACAUAAAAAGUUUUGAGCAUUUUUUAGUAAAAGAAAGAAGAGGAGGUGGAAUCCUCAACCUGCAUAGUUCUAUAGACAAUUUAAUAUAUAUAUAUAUUAUAUAUUAUAUAUUAUAUAUAUAAUAUAUAUAUAUAUAUAUAGAGUGAGGCUACUAUGCUAUCGGAAGCACGGAGCCUUCCGUGCUUCAGCUCGUUUUCGAUGUUGCGACUUUCGAAUCGUGAUCGGCCUCUGUUAAACUUGAUCUAGAGUAUUUGAAGUACCUAAAAAAUAAUUUAUUAUUUUUUCGAUAUCAUUUGCCUAAGUGAUUGAAAGGCUCAAAAUCAACAAUUUUAAUAGCCGUAGUAAGCCGUUUGCAAGUUUAACGGUGUUAGAAAUAUCCAAAUCACGUAAAAUUUUGAUAGGAAAUUUUUGAUACUAUAUAAAAAGAUCAUAUCUUUGAUUUAAAAUUUUUAAUGUCAUAUUAUUAAUUUUGUAGAAUUUUUUUUUCAGCCGGUUUGAUAUUGAGCCCUUCGUUCACUAGGCCAAAUGAUACGCGUAAAAUCAUAACAAUUUAUUUUCUAGGUACUUCAAAUACUCUAGAUCAAGUUUAACGGAGCCGAUCGACGAUUCGAAAGGCGCAACAUCGAAAAUGAGCUGGAAGCACGGAAGGCUCCGUGCUUCCGAUAGCAUAGUAGCCUCACUCUAUAUAUAUAUAUAUAUAUAGUAGGUAUUAUAUGCUAUUACGAGUACGGAGUUCUCCGUGUUCCUAUGUAAGCCGUUUUCGAUAAUGAAGCUUUCGAAUCGACGAUCGUCUCUAUUAAAUCGACUUGAUAUAGCGUAUUUGAAUUAUCUAAAAAAUAAAUUUUAUAAUUUUUCGAUAUUAUUUACCUAGCGAUUGAAAAGUUUCAAAAUCAACAAUUUUUAAUGGUUGAUGUAUAUGGUUUGCAAGUCCAACGAUGUAAAAAUAUUGAAAUUUGAUAAAAUUUGACAGAAAAUUCUUUAUACUAUAUACUGUAAGAUCAAUUCUCUGAUCGAAAAAUUUAGUAGUUUAUCACCACUUUUUGUGAGAUUUUUAUUUUCAGCCGUUGAUUUUAAAACCCUUUCGAUCUCUAAGUAAAUGAUAUCAAAAAAUCGCAAAAUUUAUUUUUUACAUACUUCAAAUACGCUAGAUCAAGUCUAACAAAACCGAUCGUCGAUUUGAAAACUCUACUAUUGAAAACGGCUUAAAAGCACGGAUGCCUCCGUGCUCCUAAUAGCAAACAAGUACUACUAUAUAUAUAUAUAUAUAUAUAGUGUAGCGUUACUAUGCUAUCGGAAGUAUAGAGAAUUUGAUACUUUCGAUUUUUUGACCCUUGGAUAAAAAAUUACACGGUUGGAAUGAUUGCGGUCCCCCUAAGGUUGAAUAGUACUUCUAGGGUUGAGUGGUCCCCACAGAAUAAUAGUAUUAAUUCAAAAAUUAAAAAUGAUUUAAGAGACUGAUCCAAGGGACAAAAAGCCAGAAGCACCAGAUUUUCUAUCACAAGUUGAAAGAUCAACCACUAACAUGAAACGAGUAGAGCAACCAAUUUUUUAUUACAUGCAUUCUAUUAUUCAGAUAAACCAUGGUGGGCGAUAUUAAAUUAUGUUACAGUUUUACGGAGUUUUUUUUUUCCCCUCGAUUCUAUUUACUCUAUAUACAAAUCCUUUCGUAAGGUUUAGUAAAUCAAAGUUUCAAUUCUCCUCAAUCCAUCUAAACUUUGAAAAUCCUCUCAAAAAACGGCUUUAAUUUAUUACGAACUGCAUAGUUCAGAUAAUCUUAUGUUGCUUUUGAAAAUUCUGUUGAUGAUGUUAAAUUAUAUUAAUGUUCACGUGGUCCUAGAGCUUUUUUUUUUUUUUUUUUUUUUUUUUUUUUUUUUUUUUUUUGGCUGUUUCCUUCUACAAAGCUUAAUUUAAGAACCAAAGUUUCAAUUCAAUCCUACGUUAACGGAAACAAAAAUAUAAGGGUUAAUUUAAUUUAUAUAGUUUUUGUAAACACGUCGAAUAACAAAUAUAUUAAUACAAAAUUCAACUUCUAUAUUUAUUCCUACAAAAGUUUAAUAAUAUUCAUAUUUGUCCUUCUGAUAUGUACUAAUGUUAGAGGGCUAUUUAUUUUUUAAUAAAAAAUAAGUAAAAUGAUAUUUUUGUCAUCACAAAUAUGUCUCUCUUAAAGUUCUAAUUGUUAGAACUAUAUAGAAAUAUUUCUUUAAUAAUUUUCGAUGGUCAUAUUACUCCUUUCUACCAUCACAAAUAAUAUAAAAGGGAUAAAAAGUAAUUUAAUUUAUUCACUAAUCAGAAUUAAAUAUUUUAUCUAUAGUUAAUUAUAUAUUUUUUUAAUGAAUCCUAAUAGCAGUGAUAAAUUUAAAAAAUUUAAAAUUUUUACAAGAAUAAAUAGAAAAAAUUAAAUUUUAUAGAAAUAUAUGCAAUUAAUAAAAACUCCUCCGUACAGUUUUUCCGCUUUUCAGGGUCCUUGUUGCCACUCUAUUAAUAGGACCACAGGAAAAAGGCUCCUCUCCAGUUUCUACUCAUCUAUCUCUCUCUCUCUCUCUCUCUCUCUCUCUCUCUCUCUCUCUCUCUCUCUCUCUCUCUCUCUAAUAUUAAUUAUCAUCACCACAGGAGAGAGGCUAAAAUGUAGAAAAUUUCACUAUAAAUAUUCACUUUUAUAUUUUAUUAUCCUAUUUUUUUAAAAUCACUACAAAAUAAUAUCGGUAUUAGAUAAAGUCUACAAUUUAAACUUCAAAGAGGCUAAAAUGUAGAAAAUUUCACUAUAAAUAUUCACUUUUAUAUUUUAUUAUCCUAUUUUUUUAAAAUCACUAUUACGCCUCUUUGAAGUUUAAAUUGUAGACUUUAUCUAAUACCGAUAUUAUUUUGUCAUUAUUUUAUACAUAAAUUUUGUAGUAUAGCUAUUGAAAAAAAUUUUCUGAUCUUUUAUUAAAAUAUUUUGUAAAACAAUUCGAACUUUUAAUUUAAAUUUUAGAGAAGAUUCGAGGAAGAAAAUAAAUAAUAAUAAAUAUAAAUACUGUCCUACAAGCGAAAUUGCCUCUUCACGUGCGAGGCUUCUCGACAAUUAGUUUCAUCGAUAUUGUCGGAUCGUUGGCGCUAACCAUUAAUCCCAAAAGCUCGAGCUGUUAGAAAUACGCAACCAAUUCACUUAAAGCNUUAGCUUAGAGCUUUCGCUUCCGUUGUUGCUUGCCCUCGUGCAAGCCUUGUAUUAUAUUUGCAAUUCUCUUGUUAAUUGCCUAAUUAUAUGUAUUGUUAGAGCCUUGGGCGGACAGGGGAGGCUCUGUCCGUUCGGCGUCUGUUGACGUGACCCGAACCCGACCAAAUUGGCGGGGAUUGGGGCGUGACACCACUCCUGUCAGGUGAGGCCUUGAAGGGCCAAGUGAGAUUUUCGGGCCUAGGCGAGUGUCAUAACUGCCGACGCCCAGGCCACUCUCUCUACUUAGGACACGAGAGCUGUUGCGAGUAUCUCUACAGAGACGGCACUGUGAUCAGUUACAACCAUGACUUCUGUGGGGCUAUUAGGGUGUAGCCCAGGGUUUGGUAGCGGUCGUUUAGGCGACUGCAUUGUUAGUGUUUCUUCCGCAGAUCUUUGGGUAGGGUUGCGAUGCCCACCUCUCUUCCUUGAUUGCUGAUUGGAAUCAGCGGUUCGAAUCUUUUGACCUUUACCUCGUUCAUUCUUCCUACCAGAGUCGUAUUGACACAGUUUUGGUGUCAGGUCCCUGUUGAUACAUACAUCGUAUCCGAUUGUUCUAACACCUAAAUUGGUGUCAGGGGAUAGUAGAUGGUUUAGUAAGAUCCGUUUUGACUCGAGUUAUUCCAAAUAUUGCCAGAAUUCUCGGAGCUUUGAUUAUAGCUCGGUUGAGGUGCGAAAAUCGGUUAGAGAAACUGUUUUCUAGAGCCUCAGUUGGUACAGUUCGCGGCUUAGUGUCGCUAGUAACUUUCGGAUGUUGAAAGUUAUAGGACUCCCUGUGAGUCGGUUCAGGUUCGUUCUGAUUUCGAAUGUCGACUUGUAAAGUCGAUGUUUCGAUAGUAUUGGUUGUGAGCUUCUGAUUUAGUUAAGAGGUAUCAAGAGGCUUGAUACUUCGACGUGUUGCGCUUCCAACUGGUUGUUGGUAGUGGAUCUUCGGAUAUUUCGCUUUUCUUUUGAUAAGUAUAUUGGCUGCAGACAAUAUACUGUCGAAAGAGGGACGAAAUACUAUUUUCCCGUUUAGGACUUAUGGAUUGGGUCAAUGUGUUCUCUAGACGGUUUUGUGGGAAAAGCUAGAAUGAUAGUCAUCUUUGACCACGUAGCGAGCCUUGGGUUAUUCCUUGGCAGGUUUUGUACAGUUGACUGAUCGUCACUGAUAAAGGGGUUUUGACUCUAGUUCGAGUCCGGGUGUUCGUAGCUCUUUAGUUGUGCUUCCCACAGCUAAAAGGUUUGUUUGGUUAGUAGUCUCGGUCUAUUGUUGAGAGGCUCAGAAUCACAAUUGUGGAGUGACUUGAGCAUGGUUGUUGGCUUUGAUUGUCACCGUGUGUGAUAGCGUAUAAGGUUUGCGGCUCGGCUUAUCGUGCAAACCUUGGAAUGUUAUGCUUGUCUAGUCAAAUUGGUGACAAGUGCGCCUGGGUCUCAAUGAGACAUGCUUUUGGUGUUGCUCGGAACAUCAAUCGCUAGGGUCCCUGGUAGGACAGCAGCGACAGGGUCUCAUGGAGACAAAUGUUGAGCAUCGCCGACGGUUAGUAUCGCUUUUGCGAUUGGCGACCUGUGCAUCAAGUGAUGGACUUGCAAAGAGCAUUUGGUGGUCUGUUGGUACCGGAUUAAGUUUGAGGAGACAAAAUUGCCUAGCCGAAUUGGUAUCGUCAGUUGGAUCUUUUGGUCAGAUGGAAAGUAAAGUCUUGGACCUAGGACUAUAGAUUGUCGCAGGUGACUUUCGGUUAUUGGAGGUUUUGGCAGUUUGUGUAGUUACUGGUGGAAACAGUGGUCUCCGAUGUAAGUGAUUUUGACUCGGAUUUUAGAAUAACGUUUCGUUUUCGCUCAUGGUGAGCAGGUUGACGUUGUUGGAUAGUUGGAGUUUUUCGUUUCAGUCUACGUGAAUAGACUCCAGAUUAAAGUGGUUGUCUCGUGACUUUUCUACGUGAACUUGCGACGUAGUCGAGUCGGUUACGGCUAUGCAGACCAAGGUAGAGUGGACCUAAAUUUCUGGAUGUUGAUUAAUUAUCUCAGAAUUGGCAAUUUGGGUUCGGAUAAUCCUUGUCGCGAGACCAUUUUUGUCCGCAGGUUAUAGGAUGGUGUUAAUCCCGGUAAGUUUUGAUCCAUAGAUUUUGGGUUCGUACGUUUUUCCCUCGUUGUUGUCCGAGUAGAACUGCAGUCCUAUUCUUCCCUUACUUGGAGAUUGAUCUGUCCAAAUGCAUGAAAAUGUAAUUGACCAAUACUCAAAGGUAUUACCACAGUGGUGGAAGUAGUAUCCGAAUUCGAUUUCGGUGGGUAUGUGGUCAAGUUUCGGGGACGAAACCUCUUUUAAGGGGGGGAUAAUGUAGGGACUGAGAUUUUGACAGUGCAACUAGAGUCUCUGUUGACGAUGUUUAUGUGUGUAAUUUAAUUACAUAAGCACUCGUCAAGUUUCAAGAGAAUAUGAGCUAGAAUGGAGAAGUUACGCGAUUAUUAGUUUUCUUUUAAGUGAAUAGUAACUCCGGUUUUUCGGAGAAGCCACGGAGUAGAGUUGGCUUUCGGCGCGUAUCGGACUCCGUUCAUAGCGAUCCAAUAGCUCGUUUCGAUCGGUUCAGCUAUUCUGGAACCAAUGGCACUGACAGAUUUCUGAUCUGAUGCACGGUUUUCGAGAAAAAGGAGUUUUACCGAAAAGAGGGUUUCCGCUCUUUGCUUUUCUGUGCAUUCUAAAGCUUCUCAUACUCCGUGCUUGUGACCUGGAGUAGGGUGAAGAAUGUUUCGAGUCCCUAUUAGUGGUAGGGAAGUCAAUUUCUUAUGCGAAAGUUGGUUUAAUGGGUUUACACAUUGGUAUAUGUGCGAUAUAUGGAUUAAUUAGAGAGCGGAUGGGUUCCGUUGCGAAUCCGUGACCAUAUCUGACGAAAUAAGAUUGUAGUUUUGAUGCCCCCGACGUGCUGAACGCAAUGGUGCUGUCGGAUCGAAAAUCCGACGGACGGAUCUCUGGUAAUUGCGAAGUUUUCGUUAAGAGGUCGAAUGUGGCAAUUCGGAAAAUUCGCGAAAGGCGCGACAAAUUAUGUAUCGAAUCGCGUGAGAUCGGACGUGGAGGUACGUACGCACAAAUUGUACGCCCUGGCAGGGGCUGAGGUUUAAAUAUUCUGGGUUAGAGGGGUUUUCUGCAAAUUGUCCUCUUGUAUAUAAUUAGCAUCUAGGGUUUCUUUGCACGAAACCCUAGAUCUAGUCGACCUUGUCUCCCAACUGUGCCCUAACCAACUUCAGCAGGUUCCUGCCCAAACCUUGCGCGCACCCCGGCCGCCGGCAGGUGCCCCGGCCGCCGGAAAGCUUGAAACCCGACCACCCCUCCAACCUUCUCUCCCAACCAUCCCUGCCGUGGGACCAAUCUGGGUGACCAUAACCCUCGGGCACCACCUCUGGGAGCGGCCCCGACCUCCGCCGUCCCGCCGUGCCGGCCGCCGCCGUCCCCACGCGCCGCCGUCGCGGCCUGGGCGCCCUGCAGCCGAGCCUGACCUAGCUCAGGCCGAGCCUGGCCCCACACCGCCUCCACGAGCCGCCGUCGCCUUUGGACGACUAUGCUGCCUUCCCCGGCGUCGUCACCGCCGGCCCCCGCCGGUCCCGUGCGCCGCCGGCGCCGUUUUGGCCCCUGCGGCCACUUGCGGCCAAGUCGGGCCGAGCUUGGAUGAUCCCUGCCUCCGCGCGCCACCACCGUUCCCCGCCAGUCGCGCGUCCUCCCACGGCCUCCCGCGACCUCCCGCUCGCCGCCGCUCGCCAUCCCGGCCAUCCCCGUGGACCGCCGGCCGCCGCUCCUCCAUCCUGCGUCCGCCCUGACCCGUGCGGGCUCGGUUUGGUCCAGCAUCGCCGCCGCCGUCUUCCGCCGCCGUCCGGCGUGAGCACCGGCUCCGCCUGGCCGGCCGCACUCGUCCGCCGCCGGCGCCCCCGCCGCCGGAGCUUCCUGUCGGCCGAACUAGGCAUGUGCCUUCCUCGGGUUUGGGUGACUAGGGCAUCAAUGCCUGCCGUCGCCGCCGCCUCCCGACGCCGACUGAAUCAUCCCUUGGCCUCCCUGCAUCGCCUGAACCCUCCUGCCGCCGGCGCUCCCGCCGUCCGGCCGCCGCCGGGCAGCCCUAGCUCUCCCCUGGCCGGUAAGCUUGAUUUCAGCCUUUCUGCGCAUAGUUUUCUGUUUGGAUGACUGUUCCGGCGACCCGAGGCUGUUCCGAUGCCUCCGGAAGUGAGCACGGUGAUCUUCAAUCAGUACUGAUCACAGUGCUCACGUCAAUUGGGAUCAGCGAGCCCCUGGUUAGCGAGAUAAGCAUGUUUUUCAUGCUGUGCGCGCAGUUCAUUGAAUUUCGCGUCGCUCGUGCGCUCCCCACAGUGGCCGGAAUUGCUCCGAAAGGUGAGCACGGCCUCCGGCAUGCCGAGACCUGUCAGUAGGUGUCUCGGUUUGGCUUAAUGACUCCUAGUUUGCGUGGACGGACCAUAAAAGUGCCGAAAUCGCAUGAAAUAAUGCGAUUUCGGGUAAUCGGGAGGGCUUUUAUGUAUUUUAGGUUGUUGCGGCUGCUGUUGGCAGCAUGGGUGAAUUGUGGGUAACCUCUGGACUGAUUGUCCAAGGCCCCGGACCUUUGCGAAGAUCGAAAAUGUAUUUUCGGUGCGUUUUCGGCGAAAUCCGCCGACGGAACACGGGUUCGGUUCGGAAUUAUUCCGACGGUGCUUCGUGAGCUUUUGUGUAGUCGCUGAGCCUUGUUGCCUGGUCACUCGCGUCAUUUCGAGAGUUCAGAAAUGACAAGUGAGCGACGGUGGGUUCCGGUGUCGAAAUUGACACUUCCUGGAACCCGGAUCCCAACAAUUAUCCACCAAUAGUUGUUUGGUUGUGUAUCCUUGUGUUUGUUGCCAUGUCACACUAAAAUAAGUGUUUAGAGGCAGCGAUUGACUCGUGGCAUGAGUCGGUGCCUUUCGGGAUAGUUAGUGGGUCCCGGCGGAGCCCCGGUGCGAUUUUCGGGACUUCCGGCGAGUUACGGUAAUCGGUAUUGGGAAACCGAUCUCCGUGGGAUUGUUGUGGGUUAUGCUUUUAGGGUUUCUUAGCUGUGGGUUAGACACUAACCCAGUGGACCCUCCUUAGGUCCGGUUGACGUUCUUUUGCAGUCAGGAGACAGGCGCGACAGUUGUACAGGUGGGUACUUCGAUCCGACGUCGGUACAGUGGUGCACGCUCGGUGAUGGUUUCUUACCUUUGUUCUCCGUUUUAUCUGGAUAUAUAUAUAUAUAUAUAUAUAUAUAUAUAUAUAUAUAUUAUAUAUAUAUAUUAUAUAUAUAUAUAUAUAUCUUGAUAUAAAGUGUUGAGCCUGCACCUGCAUUUAUAUCUGCAUUCCUCUACUCACGUUAUUUCCAUGUUGAUAUCAUGCCGUAUGGAGUAGAGUUGACUUAUCUGUUCACUAUAUCUGUAUUGGUUGGGCGUAGAGUUGACUUGUCUGUUCACUAUAUCUGCAUUCCUCUACUCAGUUAUUUCCAUGUUGAUAUCAUGCUUAGGAGUAGAGUUGACUUAUCUGUUCACUAUAUCUGUGAUUUGGUUGGGCGGUUCCCUAUUUUGAUAUCUAUGACCUAUUCGGUCGAGUUGCAUAGUUCUAUCUAUAUCUGUGAUUUGGUUGGCGGUUCCCCUAUUUUGAUAUCUAUGACCUAUUCGGUCGAGUUGCUACAGUUCUAUCUUGACAUACGUAGCCGAUUAGUUGCUGAUGGCCUAUACGGUCGGUGUGCCCUGAGGGCUGGAUUGUCGGUAGUUGCUGAUGGAUGAUCUUUGAGCAUACUACAUUGAUCGCCACUGCAGGUACGCAUUUCACGAACACAGCGGUCUGAUCCACCGCAGAGGUGUUCUUUUCCGAAAAGUGGUUGGAUUGCCAACCGUGAGCCCAGGGGCUUUAUUGCGAGGUAUAUGUUCUGAACCAGCGGGCUUCAUUGCGAGGGUCAGGUACAUGGUUCUGACCCAGGGCUUCAUUGCGAGGGUCAGGAACAGGUGAGCAGUGUGGCAUGGGCCUGAGGUCCUCGCGACAAUAGGGAGCGAGAUGGUUAUUUUGAGGUUAUCGUCAGUUGCACGCAUGCAUACAGUAGCUGUAUGUUUAUUCAGUAAUCUUAUUUUGUUUAUUGGUUAGCUAGCUGUUUUAUUUACCUGCAUCUAUACUUGUCAGCUCCUUACAUAUCUCUUUCGUUUACUAUUGUUCCUACUGUAUUUUCACUGACCCGUACUGUUGUUUAGCUCUUCCUGAUCUGGUGAGUACUCCUCGCCUUCAUCGGCUUGCGGUACCCACUGGGAGGGGAGACAUGUUUACAUGUUCUCACCUCCCCCACCAUUUUUCAGGUAUCGCAGGCGAUGGGUAUUGAGACGAGACGUGAGGCACGUACGUAGCGGUCGUUAGAUCUUCCGACCCAGGUUAUUCGGUUUAGCUUUUACCCUUAUUAUUUAUGUUGAUAUAGAGCUUAGUUGACUUAUAUGGUUCAGUAUUUUUAUUACAUUUGAAUAUGUGGAUUUUCAUGAAUGUAAUAAAAGGAUUUUUGAAUUUUGUAAAAUAAAAAGUUUUCUACCCCUCGUGGUAGCGUUUUUUAAAGAAUAAAGGUUUCCGUGUAGGGAACAGUUUUCAAAAGAAUUUUCGUGGAUUUCUGUUUAAACAUUGAAUGUAAAACUGUGAUGUGAAUGUAUGAAUGUAUGAAUGUAUAGUUAUCUUUAUAUUCAUCUAGUUGUGGUUGUAUCCUGGUUGUACUUUUGUACUUGUGCGACGCCGUGCAAAUACAGGGGAGACUCUGUCCAUGUGAAUUAACAGUGGAUACCCUGUAUUUGUGGCGGAUCUGGCAUACCCUGGGGUCAGGUUUUCAAAAAAAAAAAAAUUUUCGCUGUGUUUUUAAACUGAAAAGGACCCCGGGGCGUGACACCAACCCAGCCUCACGCCAUUUCGAACAUGACUCGGCCCACAUGAUCUCCCGCCACAGGGCAGGAUGCUGGCCCAUUUAAGCCAACAGAUAUAACGACCACGUUCUACCCCGUCGGCACGAUUAAAAGGUGGCGCAAGACGAAUCUAACAAACUUCAGAUCCAGCAAAAAAUCGAUAGAAAAGAUUAAUGGCGAGAAAACAGCGUAAGACGAGAUAGUGUUUAGGUAUGCUUGGGUUCACCUCGAACUCACACAAUCUCCUCCAAUAUAUAUAACUGAUACGAGAAUCUUGAUUCAACGCGUCAAAUUCGUGUAGAACAAAAUAAGUCUAAAAUUAUACGGAUAAGAAUUAAAAUUAAUAUAAAGAUAAAAAUAAAACCGAAAAAAAUAAAAAUAAGAAUAAAAUAAAAUAAACCGGGUGUAUGGACCGUGCGCACCGCCGCCCGUUCGGCCCGACUCGGCUAAUGAUCGUGCCGUGCGUGUAUUUAAACGAGAGUAUAACUCUCAUUUUCUCCCAAAUAAUUAGCUUGAGAAUAAAGAAUUAUAUAAAUACCAUCAACACCUUUUUAGUUUUCAAUAUACGACUAAAUCUCAUACAUGAAAAUUUUAGUUGGGCUCCCAAAUAAAAUUCAUUAAUAAUUAUUAGGCUCCAAGAGGCAUUAAUAAAUUUUAAAUCAUAAAAAUCUAAUAAAAUCCAAGCCAAGGAUGGAGAGAGAGAGAACCAAGCCAAAGAUGGAGAGAGAGAGAGAGGACAAGAGAAAAAGAUGAAGAAGAAGAGAGAAAGCAAAAUAAAUAACCUCCAAAUUAGGAGGUGACACGUGGCUUGAAGGUGAUGUGACAGGAAUAAGGAUCGAGCAUUCAUAGUGUUUCAUUUAUUACGGGACAAUUGCUUACAUACCCUAAAAAAUUCCCUUUUUUUUUAAAUCACCUAGAAGAUUAAUAUACAAAGUAUUUUUUUAACGUUCCAAAUUUUAUUAAAUAUAUAUUUAGGCUUCGUUUGGUUCGGAGUUAAGUAAGAACUAGUUAUUUUAAAAAUAGGGUUAAGUCCAGGAUUAAGGUGGGGUUAGAGUAAUUUUAUAUUUGGUUGAGAAUUGAGUUUAGUUUAGGUAUAAGUAAAAUAGUGUUUGGUUGGAAUAGAUGGAAUAAAAAGAAUAGUGGGUUGUUAUAAAUAGAAAAUAAUAAUUUUGCUCUAAUUUUUAUAUUUGAAUUUAAAUUUUUUAUUUUAUAUUUAAAAUUUUAAAUUUAAAUAGAUAACUUUUAAAAUUAAAAACUUCAAAAUUAAAAUCUGUAUUUUCAAAUCUCAAAUUUAAAAAUUUAAAGUUAUAAAUUUUAAAUCAAAUCUAACAAAUAUAAAUAUUCACAUAUAAAAUAUCAAAUUUAAAAUUUAAAUAAUUGAAAAUAACAAUUAAAAAUUUUAAAUUAAAAAAUUUAAAGUAUAAAUAUAUAUUUCAAGAUUACAAAUUAUAAAUUUUUAAAAUUUCAAAUAUAAAAUAUUAAAUUUAUAAUUUAAAUAAUUAAAAAUAACAAAUUUAAAUUUAAAAUUUAAAAUUUUUAAUUGUUAUUUUCAAUUAUUNUUACAAAUUAUAAAUUUUCAAAAUUUAUAAUUUAAAAUUUAAAUUUAAAUUUUAAAAUUUAAAUUUUAAAAUUUAAAAUUUAAAAAAUAAAUAUUAAUUUUAAGAGUGCAAAUUACACAUUUUUAAAAUUUCAAAUAUAAAAUGUGAAAUUUUAAAUUUAAACAAUUUAAAAUAAAAUUUAAAAUUUAAAAUUUAAAUUUUAUAAAUAUUAAUAUUAAUUUUAAAAUUACGAAUUAUAAAUUUUUAAAACUUAAAAAUUAAAAUUAAAAUUUUAUAUUUAUAUUUAAAAAUUAAAUUCGGGUGGGAUUAACUUAAUCUCCUAGAAGUUAAUCUCACUCCAAUUCUAGGGGAUGGGGUUUGUUAACCCCACCCUAAAGGGGGUUUAGGGGGUUAACCCCCCUUUUACCCCCAAACGGGUUUAGGGGGAUAACCCGUUAAGGGUGGGGUUAACAAACCCCUCACCCAUUUGUUUCUGUUUGGGGGUAAAAGGGGGGUUAACCCCCUAACCCCCCUUUUAUCCCCGAACCAAAUGGUGUGGGAUAACCCGUUAAGGGUGGGGUUAACAAACCCCUCCCCCAUUUGUUUCUGUUUGGGGGUAAAAGGGAGGUUAACCCCCUAACCCUCCUUUUAUCCCCGAACCAAACAGUGUGUUAGAGUUAAAUUUUAUUAAGAACUGUUAGGAACAUUAGUUAUAUAUGUAAAAUUAUCAUUUUGUCAUUUCAAAUAUAUCCGUCCAUCGUCACAAAUUUUUCUUAUUUGUCUUUAACACUAUAACAAAAACGGUAUAUAGCGACAUUUUUAAAUAUCAGUACAGGGCAAAAAAAAUAUUACUGGCUAAAUUACUGACACUUUUUAAAAGUGUUGCUAUAUGUAGGGUCACUAUAUGUGGGGCCGUCUCGAUGUUUGGCACCCACUCCUCCAGCGACUUGUGGCGGAGGGACACGUGAUGAUCAUAGCCUUGUAUGGUCCUUACGAGAUCCUUGCUACCGAACUCUAGUCGGCGGAACGCUAUAUGUGGGGUCGCUAUAUGUGGGGCCACCUCGAUUUUAUUUUAUUUUUUCUUUUCUAUUUGUAAUCGGGCCGAAUGAGCUGGGUGGAGUUGGUUAAGUAGAGAAAUUUUUUAUUUUUUGUUAGAUUGAGCUUUUUAUUUAGGCCUCAGUAGAUUUUUUUAAAAAAAUUUUGGUAUAAAUGAGACAGUUACACAAAAGUGUCCCAAAAAUGUGAUUGCAUAAUCUAAUUCUGUUGUAAUGUAAGUUAAGGGCAAAAUAAAUAUUUUGACUUUUUAUUCUGUAAAAUAUAUCAUUCUACUGUCACCAACUUCUCUUAUUACCCCCAAGUUAGGGGUAUAUAAAAGAGAUAUUUUGAUUUUUUUUAAAUUUUAAUAGGGAUUUAACUUGAGUUUAACCCGAGAUAAUUUAACUGAUACUAAUAGAGAGAGUAUUUUUGAAUAAUGGAGAACUAUACGAGGGCUACAUUUAAAACAAAAAAAUUAUAUGAAUAUAUAAGAUAUUUAAGAAGUUUUGAAGGGUAUAUAGAUAAUUGUCCUUUUAUUUAUAGGUAGAUGUUAGGAGCUAUUUCCUCUCCAACCACUCCAUUUCUCACUUUGGAAUACCUCCAUUUACAACUGGGCUCUCCACUUUGAUCCCUUCCCAACUACCUACUUUAUAUUGUACAUGAAUAAAAUUAAAAAAGAAAAAAAUAAAUUAAGCAAUUUGUAUUCUAUAUGUUUGUUUGUUUAAUAGAUGCAUGGUAUUUGUUUGAGAGAAGUGAAUGGUAAUUAAGUGCAUGUCCUUAAUUAAUUUAUUAUCUCCUAACGCCUAGCAUUGAGGAAGCCUAGCAAAAAUGUUGCUCUAUAUACGAUUCUCCAACUUGGAGUGUGUGGAAUAUAAAUAUAUUAAAGUAUAUUCAUAAGUUUUUAGAGUAUAUAAUUGGUGCGGUAUCAGAAUAGAAUGUUUUGAGUGCAAUUUUAUCGAUAUUUUAAGUAAUAUUCACUUGACACUUGUUCCUAUAUAUAUGUGGGCCGAAUUUAUUCGCGAUUCAACAUGCAAUUCAUUUUAUUCAUUUUGAAAAUGAUUGAAUUGCUAAUUCAAUCGUAGCUCCUGCAGAUUAUGUUUACCAAUUGUAUGUUUGCCUAAUUAAGGUCGUCUAGUUAUCUGCAGCUAAUUAAUCGUAAUUACAACAAUAAGCUAUAUAUCAUCAUAUAUUUAAUUACGACUUGCAAAAUGACAGGGUAACCAAAACGCAAAUAAUUUACAAAAUUAAUUUACUUUACAUCUUCCAUGCAUUUAAUUUGUGUCGACAAACAAGUAGUUAAAAGUUUGCAACAAUUAAUGCAUACUGUUUUUGUUCUUUUAAGCAUUUUGGACAAAUUGAAUGAUACAAGCUACAAGUCAACUUUUGUAAAGAGCCAUACUUUGAAAUCGGCAUUUUUUUCACUAGACACUAACUACUAAUGGACGACUAAAUGGCCGAUAAAUAAACAUAGUAGUCUAUAUAUCUUCAGGUAAAGGUUUUGAAUUUUUGUGCGUGCGUAAAUUUGGGCUCAAACUCCAAACUUCAGGUUUAAUAUAUAUAUAUAUAUAUAUAUAUAUAAUUGAGCUUCUAUGCUAAUAUACUAUUAAUAGCACCAAAUCAUUGGUGCUAUAUAGUGACCCUGGAAUUUAGCAUUUGAGGCUUGUCGACAGCUCUGGAGAGUGUCAGGACGAGUCCGAGUCCUGUUGGCGCGAAAUAGACGUAAACUGGACUCAGCGGGACGCGAGAGGAGAGAGUUAGCUCUGCAAAUUGCAGAUUUUCAGUAAUUGGUACCGGUACCAUACAGGGGCGUACCUAUACCCAGUGCAUGUUUCUGUGCAGACUGCUCUCGGGUUGCCCAUUCUGCUGCGGGGUACCGAUACAACAUUGGACUAGUACCGAUACUCCAGGGUAGGUAAGAGGUCUUUCGGUCUUUUCUUGCCUCGAUUGUGUCACCCUUAUCCCCACUACUCUAUAUAGGAUAGAAAGAGGCUGAGGAGGAGAUUCUUUGCUGUGCUCUCUCUCUAGUGCUUGGCCGUACACAACAACGAGGGAGGCUUUGGGCGGAGUUGGAGCGACGUUGAUGUUGCGCCGCGGUGCCGUUCGAGCGCGUGGACGUCGUAAUUGCGCCGAUUGGAGGCCGUUCGAGCGUGCGGUUUCGCUUCCUUCGACUUCUCGCCGUAGUUGGACGUGCUUUUGAGGUGGGUCAAAAUGAUGCUUACCGGAUUCUACUGGUUUCCUCCUAAUUCUAUAUGUGUCGACAACAUAUAUUUUUAGCUUUGUUUAGUAUAUUGUUUAGCUCGAUUCUUGGAAUAGCAUGCUUUUGAACUUGAAUUGGAGCUUAGAAAAUUAGCUAAAUUAUGCAUAUUGGAGUUGGAUUUUACUUAGGAGAAAACUGACGUUUCUACACCGUCAUUUAAUCAAACUACCAGAUUUAGCUCUAGAAGCCGUAGUUUGUUUGUAUCGCCGCAGUUUGUGGGCGGUGGAUACCUUGGAUAGUGUAGAAUAAUAUUACGCUCGUGCUGGGAUGCCGAGCUUAUUUUUACAGUACUGUUCAGACUGUUCUAGACUGUCGGGUGCUGUUGGGGUUGACGAUGGACCCAGAUUACGGUUUUUGCAUCAAAUUGUGCCGAGGGCACGUGCGUCUUGGUUGUUAGACCAGUUAGAGCCCUAUUUACUUGACUAUAGCCUGCGAGAGUCUGAUUGAGCUCGACAGAGACACGCUUGCAUACUCGGUUGGGUAGCGCCCGCGAGUGCCACUCCGGAGUUAGGCUAAUUUGUGCUUUUGUGUUGGUGUCAUUUUGUCCUGAUUGGACUUGCUAUCCAAUUACGACCUGGUAUAGUGUCAGAUUGUGUAGCUUCGACAAGCGGGACGGGUGUAUUCACAGUCCCUAGGAAGAUUGAGUCAUGUCUUACUAUUUCCUACAGUUUGUUGGUGUUAGACCGAGAUAGUAUAGGUGCAUAUAUCUGUAGAUUUAUUUUCAAAUUUUUUACUAUACUUGUUUACAUCUGUAGACUUAGUAGGUGAGCAGUUAGGGUCGGUAGCGGUACCCACUGAGAACUACUUUUUGCAGUAGUUCUCACGCCCAGUUGUUGAAAUCUUUUGCAGAGCCUUCUUCUUCGGCUGCUGCUGCUGCUGAGUCUGAUUGUGGAAGGGUGUUACGAGUUAGAGCCCUUCCUGACGAGUUGCUGAGCUAGAGGAGUACCAGCUACAGCUAGUUGUAGUUUUUGAGUUCUUAUACAUACUUUUGUUGUAUCUCGCUGGGCGAGCGUUUUGUACACCUGGUUGUUGAUGUAUGUAUAGUAAACUUCUGUUUUUUUAUUAUAUCUCAUUUCCUUUAACAGCUCUAUACUACUAGUGGUAGUAUUGUAUGAUUUCUGGUACAGCUAUCGCUUCGUAUACAGAAAAAAUUUUUUUAUAUACGGCGAGUUUGUCGGCGUGCCCGGGGAAACGAGUAAUCCGGAGCGUGACAUGCCACCAAAUUUUUGGCCAUUGGAUUAAGAAAAUGUGCGGUUAGAAUGAUGUGGGCCCCCUAGGGUUGAGUGGGUGGUUGGUUGAAUAGUAUGAUGUAACAGGUAAAAAUGAUCAAAAGGGUAGAUCUAACGGCGGAAAACUUGGUAGCACCAAGUGCUUCGUGCUAUUAAUAGCAUAGUAGCCGGACUCUCUCUCUCUCUCUCUCUCUCUCUCUCUCUCUCUCUCUAUAUAUAUAUAUAUAUAUAUAUAUGUGUCCUUAGUGUUGGAAACCUGAUCCAUACUUAUUUUUAUACUAGAUUUUGAGAAUUCACAACUUACUCUGAUACCGAUAGCUGUUGAUCCGGUAUUCAUUCCGAUAUCGGUUAUUGGGAUUUCGUAUUGGAAGCGUCAAAUUACAUUUUUAUCAUACAUUCAUCUUAUCAGUGAAAAACUAUUCCUAGCACAACCAUAAAAAAGAGAAUAAAUAAAAAAAAAAUGCAAAUGAAAUAAAAUUAAGUAACUAAGAGAAGAAUUACAUCCGACUCCUCCUUUAUAUAGCGUACCUUCAACGCGAACUCUUUUUUCCGAAUCUCUCAUCCUUUCUCAUCCUAUGCACUAGUACACAAGGUAUGCCAAUGAUCCAUAAUUAAUCACGAAAGCCGCACACGUCGAUCAUGGAGUGUAUAAAGAUUGUCGAAAAGUUAAACAGAAGAACAAUUACUAUAAUAAGAGUUUUGGGUACAUGCACUAGUAAACUACAGGCUAGUUAGAAAUUUGGUCCUUAAAGUUUUGCUCAAAUUUCGAUUUUAAUAGUCCCAAUUGUGGUAAUCUAGCUCUUUCGUUUUAUGAAACAAUUAAUUAACUUUUUUUUUUUCUUUUAUCUAGCGUCAAAAAGAAGUUCUACAUGGGUACCACCAUUACGUAUUCUUGUCUUAAUAUUUAAAACUUGACGCUGAAAAUGAAAUCGAAGUCAAAUGUUUGGGUCAAACUGUUAAUUAAACUUUGGAGAAUGAAUUUGAAAUUAGGGUUAAACUUUUGAAAAGUGCUAGUCACAAUCAAAACUUUCGGUGGUAAAUAGUCACAGUCAAAACAAUAUUCCAAGGACAACAUAGAUAGCCAAGUCAAAGGUCUAAAUUUGUACUCAACCCAAACUAGGAUACAAAACAACACUAUUUCAAUAAAACAAAAAAAAGUGAAAACAAAAAAAAAUAUAGAAAAAAUGGAAGUGAAAAUAUAGAGAGAGACAAAACCAAAACUAAAAUCCUCUAUACAUGUUUCUCCAAGUAAAACUGUAUAAAGGGCACUGCAACUGUAGUUUGUAUUAACGACUGUAUCUAGCACAGUUGACUAAAAACUUGAUCAUGAAUAUUUGAUAUCUCAAAUUUGAAAUCUAGUUACUUCAUAUUUCUAGUUAAAAUAUGUAGCUUGCUACUUUUUUCUCAGCAAAACUAUAGUCUAUAUCGAAAUGAUACCCUCAUCUUUUUGUUUUUUUGUGUUAAUUGACACAUCCUUAACUUGAUGAUUUCAUCAAAUUUAGUAGUUGAAACUACUUUUUGCAAAUGAAACUAAAAAAAUUUAAUGGUUGGUAGCUGAGAAUUCAUCACAUUGACGAAAAAUUUUAACUAACGUAGAAGAACAACUCAAAUCAGAAAAAUCAAAAGUAAGAAGGUAUUAACUGAAAAAUCAAAAGUUUAGAGGUCAAUUUCAAAAUCUCUGUCCCAAUGGGUUUUAACUCAACAAAUUAGAAAAAUAGGAAUUAAUGGACCACUCUUUACACAAAGCAAUCACAAGGAAAACAGUAAAUAUACUACAUUCCAUGCAUCAUCCACACCCUACAUGUGUGUAAAGAGAUGCUAUGGUAGAUUUUCUUUGUGUCCUCUUUAAGCUCUUGCAUAUCUUCGUGUAGUGUGGGACUCCAUGAAAACCCUGCAUUUAAUUCAUUUCCCCAACUCUCCUAGGAUUUGUAGGCCACUUUGGAGUUAUUUAUGCCUCAUUAUUCAAGGUAGAUUUCAUGGAUCUUCUUCCCUUGCCAUUUUUCUGAAAAAGUAAGGCAGGUUGGAAGGGUAAAUGCAUGUGAUAGAUAGCAAAUCAGUUGGGUUCUGCAAUAGGAGAGAGAGAGAGAGAGAGAGAGAGAGAGAGAGACUUUAUCCAUCUAAUUGAUUUGAUACAAAAUGGUCCCAGAGUAUUCUUAGCACUCAUCAACAUAGUGGAGAAAAAAAAUAAAACACACCAUGUGGAUUGGCAGCAGAAGCAACUGCUGCGCAAAAGAAUGAUCUGAUAGAAAACAGGCUCAAGAAUAUUAUUCAUAACACGUACCUCCUGCUCAUGUGCAUGAUAAAUAUCUCACCAACUAUAUAACAUACAUGGAUCGAUUACGCAGAUAAUACGAGAGACUACGAAAUAAUAGAAAGGAAAUAUUAUGGAAGAGACAAGACAAAAAUAUUUAUUACCAAAUGGUGGAUGUGGGAUUCGAACUCGAGUCCUCUUAAGUAGAGAGGGACUAAGAACUAGUUCGGAUAUCAUGUUAUUCAAAAUGUAACAAUUAAACCCACUAGUACUACCAAAUUAUUAUUCACUUAAAACACUUGCACCAACGGGCUGGUCAUAAUAAUUAAUUAGUAUCAAAUUAAGCUAGAUUAUCCGCCAAAGUAUGAGAUGAUGUAUUAAUUCUAGAUUAUGCAUAUAAUUAAGCCUGACAAAUGUAUUAACUAUGGCACCUCAAUGAUCCCACGUGUACUAGUGAUUGUGGGUUAUAUGUAUAAUUGAAGCCUGACAAAGGCAAAGGCAUAUGGAGUUUGUAAUGCCUCAAUUGUUGCAUAUUCAUCAGAUAAUAUGGGAGAGUGAUAAAAUUUUAUAUAUGGCUAGUACAUUAAUACUAAUAACUUGAGUACUAGUUUUAAGUAUUUAAUAAUAAUAGCUUGUAUUUUAGCCCAACAAUUUAUUUGUUACUGGGUUGGAUCAUUAUAUCGAAAAUCGAUUUCGGGAAACAAGCCUAGGUAUAGUCUUAGCAAUAACAAAAGGAGACAACAAACAAAUAGUAGACAGAAAUUUAUGCCAUUAUUGAUCUAAUUUUGCAGUUGAGAUGAUUGUGAAAUCGAAUUUUAAUCCUGAACCUACUGCAACGGAGAGGGCAUAGAACCAACCUCAAUGCUAUGUUAUCAAAAGGAUCGAUCUAAUGUUUGUACUCGGGAAUAUGGGUGUAAAAUGAUUCUAAUAUCAUGUUGUUAUAUAUUCUCCUUAAUUCGGUUGGUCUUAAUUUCAUUUGCCUAUCAAAAAUAACACGUACAAUUAUUCCUUGCAAAACCCAUUAAUAUCAAGGAGAGUUGAUGAACUUAAUUUAUUAUUGGAAAAUCAAUCUGUGGGAUACCCGCGUAUAAUACUAAUAAUAAUAAUAAUAUGCAGGGUCAUGAUUAGUUUAUGUAUACUUUUUCUUCUAAAAACAAAGAAUAAUUAGAAAUUAUUUUCUUUUUUUAAUUUUUUCAAACCUGGAGUCGAAAUAUAACCCCUCGCUCCAGUAUGGGAUUUGUCCUGACCAAUCCCAUUAAACCAUGUGAGAUUAUAGAGAUCAGAUAAAAGCAAAUUGCCAAAAAAAAAAAACAAAAAACAAAAAAACAAAAAAUUAAGAAUGUAUCCGUAUGUUAGCCAAGAUCGAUAAUUUUUUACGGCAUUUAACGAUGCUUAAGAGUGUUCCAAUAAAUUCUACCAUCAUAUUUCAAAGCAUCGACAAAUUAAUAAAGAAUCUCUGGGUAUAUACCGACGCUUACACUAAGCAUCGGAAAAAUAUAUUCCGACGAGCGUUAGGAUUUUUAAAAGUUCUGACUUUCUAAUGAUAAAAUAGACAAUUUAUAUUACAACGCUUUUUGAAGUGUCGUUAUUUGCUAUAUUGUAGAGUUGCUUGAGAAUGCUUUUCUCAAGCGUCGUCUAAAAAACGUUCUUAUAAUAAGAAUUUCUUGUAGCGAUAGUAACUUGCAAGCUGAAUAGAUAUUCAAAAUAAAAAAAUUAUACUCGUGUACUUCGCUAUAAAAAAUAAGGUUAAUUGCAUACAGGUCUCUACAAAUAUAGUGAAUUAUAAAUAUAUCCCUAUAAAGUUUAAUUUUGUAUCGUUCCUGCAAAAGUCAUAAUGUUUUCAAAUAUGUUCCUACCAUUAGAAUCUAUUAGAAAAAAAAUUAGUUAAUCAUAGAUAAAAUACUUAACCCUAUUUAGUUAAUGAGGUGUAUUGACCUUUUUACCCCUUUUUAAUUAAUGGUUGGGAUUUUUGAAAGAACAUAUUUAGGUGUAAUGACAAUUAAUGCAAAAUUUAAUGACAUGAUAAAAAAAAAAAAAAAAAAAAAUCAGGCCCACCACGGCAAAAGUUCAGUUUGGGCUUUUUCGUUGGGUUGGACUUGCGCUGUCAUACAAAUUUAGGUGUUAGGCUGAUUAGGCCGAAUCCUGAAACAAUUGAGGGCCAAAAUCAAUUUCGAAAAAGCCUAGAGCUAUGGUUUCAAACGUGGCCUUAAUGUAGGGUACCAAAAAAAAAAAAAGAAAAAAAAGAAAAAAAAGAAAAAGAUGCAUUUCAAUGAGAGACCCUAGCUUCUUCAUCGUCUGAUAAUAGUACGUAUGAGAGAGGCUAUCUCCUUGUUUCAUCUCCAAGGACCUCUUUUCUUAUGCUUGCAUAUAGGCAUAUAUAUAUUUUUGUUUGUACUUGUCUUUUAUAGAGAUCAUUAUACAUGUACAUAGAUGUUCAUCUUGGGCUUGUACUUGUACAUGUACUGGUACCAUUUUGAUCUGCACUAGUUAUAUUUAUUUUCUUGUUUCUUCUACUUAAUAUAUUAGGGUGACCGUCUUUUCUUUUAUAAUUAUUUGUUGUUAAUCUUGUUUGUUCUGCAUGAAUUUUUUAUUAUCAGCUAAGCUUAAGAUAAAUAAAAGCCUUAUAUUUUUUUAUAAAUUUAAAGUUUAAAUUAAGUUUGACCCUUGUGAAGGUACAGCGGCCAUGAUUCGAAUAUGGAGGCACUGGAUCAUGAUUCUACAUUAAAUUUGGUCACUAUUAAAUUUGACUUAGUAACGAUCUUAAUUAGUGUCAAAUUCUUGCAUUGAUUUAUAACGCUCCUUUAUGAUUAAUUAAAAUGUAAUGUCACUACCUAAUUUUGUUGAAUAAUUUAUUGAACCAUUUGAAUAAGUGCUUUUGGCCACAGCACUACAGUGUGUUUCGCAGAAGAAUCACUCUAGUGGAGAAAACAGACCCAUAAAGAAGAGACUAAGCGCUUGAUUGGCCCGACGGUGCCGCUUCAUGCAAAAGCAAACAAAAAGGUGGCUUGUAUUUUAAGAGCAAAACUUGAAAUUGUACUAUCUAAUUGGCUUAGGCUCCUCAGUAGCAAAGUAGGUGACCUCAACUUUCUUUUUAUUUUAAUACAGAAACCAAAAUCCUUUGUUUGAGGAAGUAGAAGAAUCAAUCAAUCAAUCAAUCAAUUAGCUCUAUCAAUUAGUCAACUGGUGCCCCGUGACAAGGUCACUUUAAGGUCUCUUACAUAUAUAUAUAUAUUUACCCUAUAAGAAUCACAUAGUUAAUUACGUACAUAUUCAUUUCACACACACACAUACAUUUAACUUAUCUAGCCCUACAAGAAGUUACUUGCGCUUUCGAAUUCAGUAUAACACGUAAGCUCCUUCGAGAUACUUUUCUCCUUUUCUUUUAACAAAAAAAUGUCUUUAUCAUACAUAUAUUAGAAAGUUAAUCAAUUUGUGAAAGAGGUGGCUCGGCUGAAUUAGUCAAAUGUUUCACAAAGUGGCCAUCUAUGUUCCGAGUAUUAGAAUGGCGUAUUUGCAAAUUCAGUUUAGCAAGGAUACAUAAGUAGUGAUUUAUUUAUGAAUUCAUUUUCAAAUUUGAGAUAAUUCGAUCAUAUUGUUUGUGCAGAAGGAACAUUUCUAAUGUUAAGGGGCGUGAAUCUGAUCCAAAAGCUUUCGCUGAUAGAUCCUGAUACCUCAGCCUUAUAGAGAUUAGAGUUUGUUUUUCUAUCCAACAUAGACUAUUGUCACUUGGAUAUAAUAAGAGGCGGAAUCAAUAUCAUAUUUUAGAAGCUUGUACGAAAUAGUAUUCUACUUGUAUCAAUUGUGAUUCUUUUCAAAGCUUAACUAGUGAAUUGUUUCUUUAUCCAGUGCAUCAAUCCUUAAUUGUGUUCCAUCCACUACUUUGCAUCAAUCUUUUUAUCUUAUCUCGUAUUUUGAUUUCAGCCAUCUAGCAACCACAUAUUUAAUGACAAGUAUCUGUCCAUAUCAUAAUUUCGCGACAAGAAGGGAUACAUUUGUGACAGUUGACCUAGCUAGUUGAUGGUGAGCUUAAUUAUUAGAAAAAUAUUUAGGCAAUUUUUACUUAACUAAACAUAUGCUUCCUUAUACUUAAUUAGGCUUUGGUAUUGCUAAAUUUGGUUUAAGGAAUUUAUCCCCAUGCCUCUACUAAAACCAAGAGCAUUUACGGUUUGAGUGACUGAUGUUCUAUUGAAUAUUCUAUUACGAAUAACUUUUUGGGACGAUUAUAUAUCUUUUCAGGACGAUAAAUAUUUUCUAAAAAGUUUUUUUAGUAUCGUAAUUUUAAAUUAAGUUUCUAAAAUCAUUUUUAACUAUAAUAUUAUGUUUUGUAAUAUUAUUUUAAAAAAAUUAUAAUAAUUUCCCUAGCUUCUAUUAAAAUUACAAAAACUUUUCUAAAUUUAUCUAUGCCAAAUCCGUUAUUCGUGAACUAUCUUGGUUUCAGAAGAACACGUGUUAUUUUGUUUACUAGUAAUGAGAAAGUAAAAUUAUUAAGGUUCAAAAUAAUUUACUUAUACUACCCAUAUUCUAAUUUAUUUGCGGAUAAAAUAUUCUUUUAACGUUUAAUUGAAUAUGUUUUUAAUUAGUAAGUGAUUUGCUGAAGCUAAACAUUUAUUAGCAAACUAUUUUCAACCCAAAUAGUUUAGUUAACUAUUUGCUGAAGCAAAAAUAUUAAUGCAAAAGUACAAGCGCAGUUUAUUGUAUUAGACCCUGAUUUAGCUUCCCUAAUUAGUGAUUAGUACUCUUUUCCAUUACAAACCAAAAAUUUAUGUUAGAAGCUAACUUGCUUUUUUUCUUCUUUUCUAAAAAUCUAUAACUUUUGCAAAUUGCAAAGGACUUAUAUACUAGGUUCCUUUUGUUUUGGCGGUGGAUUCAGUCAAAGGAAACUCUUCUACACGAGGUAUCUAAAUAGAAUAGAUAGGAGAGUGCUUGAAAGCACCAACAGCAAAUGGUUUUUUUUUUUUUUUUGGAUAAAUAGCUAGCACGCUACCCGCUUUGUUUAUUUCAUUUAGAAAUAUACUUAGCUGGAAAUGUGAAUCAACUAGGAUUCGAACUUGGGUCUCGAGUAUCAACCACCAAGCCUUUUGCCACUUGCUCUAGGAACGGUCGAUCGCGAAUAGCAAAUGUUGAAAGCCAGAAUCAGACAAUUCUUUCUAUCAAGUUUAUGACUAGGGGCAAUCUAAAUAGAAAAGGGAAGGAAAAGAUUGUAUCUCACUCCUUACGGAUUCUAUUCAAUUGAAAACUUAUUCAUUAUUAAAGAAAAGUGAGUUCAGUUUCAUUGGGAAGGAUUUGUCAGAAUAGACUUAGAAAUUGAAAUUGGAAGAAAGAAGAAGAAAUGGAAUGGAUGUUAUCGCAACCCGAAUCCAAACGUGCGGAUUUACUGAUGCUAAACGAGUAUAGUUUCAAAUACGGAUAUAAAAAUAAAAACCUAAUGGAUUUGAAUCGGGCUAUGGAUUUUAUCUGUACUCAAUCCGAAAUCGAACACGAUCUGAGCCCGAAUUGAUUUUCCAUUAUAUAAUAUAUAAUAUAUACAUAAAUGAGUGAUGUUAUAUUUGAAUUUGUAUUUUAAAAUUUUAGAUUUAAUGUAAAAUAUUUCGAAAUAUGGUAAGGAGAAAUAAUUAUUAUGGAUCUGGGUUUUCAGAUCUGGAUUUGGAUUCCAGAUUUUUGGUUGGAUUCGGCUAUGGAUAUGGAUUUUUAAAUUUUCUCGGAUUUGGAUUCUGGUUCAAAUUUCGAAUUUGGUAUUCAGGUUCGAGUUUGGAUUUUUGAAAACCGACUCCGAAUCUAACCAAUUGACAUCCCUAGGACUGAUCAAACGAACAUAAAUAAGUUUUUAAAAUUAUAAAAAAAUUAAAUAUUAUAUGUAAAUUUUCUUAAUAUUUUGGCAUGCGCUUUGACAUGUGAUUUGCAUUAAUCCUAAGACUCCAUCUUGUAAUUAAUGAGGGGUACCUAAUAUAUAUAUUUUUUUUUUUUGAGAGAGAGAAAGGCAGCACGUUAGCCGCUUCAUUCAUUUAGCAGAUGGUACCUAAUAUUAUUAAUGUUAAAUUUGGUUUAGAUUUAUAGUUAUCUAAAUUGAGGGUAAAUUCUAGUCUAAUUAGGAUAAGAUAAUAUUUAGAUUGAAAAUAUAUAGAGCAAAAUUAAUGUCACGCCUCGAAUGUCUCGUUCCCCGGGCACGCCGACAAAUCCGCCGUAUACAAAGAAAUUUUUCCUGUAUACGAAGCGACAGCUGUACCUGUAAAACCAACACUACUACGAACAGUAGUAGAGAGCCGCUAGAGAAAUAUAAGCUAAACAAACUGAGUUUCAUAUACAUAGUCCAAAUCCAAAAUACAGAGCUACUCGCACUGGCGAGUUAAGUCUACUAUGUAUAUAAACUCGAAACAAAACAUCUACCUUCAGUAGGGGCACCUCAAGCUCAGCACGCCGGGUAGGGCUCUAACUCGCGACGUCCUUAUCUCGAUCCUGAUCCGCAGAAGGGGCAGCAGCCGGAACCUGUGGCUCUGCAAAAACAUAGGUAACAACUGGGCGUGAGAACUACUGUAAAAACAAGUAGUCCUCAGUGGGUGCCGCCCAAACAAUAUCGGUCCACCCACUAAGUCUACAGAUAGGAGCCAGGAUAGUAGGAAAAGCAGGAAGUAAACUCUACCGCUAUCAAUCACUACACUAUCAUGCUCUACACUAACCAACUGUAGGAAAUGUGAAAUCUGACCCAAUCCAAUCGGAACUGUAAACCUACCCGUCCCUAGGACUGUGAAUACACCCAUCCCUGCCCAGUUGCGACUAUCCAGCUACCUCCACACUAACUGGUCCGUGGAGAGCAAGUCCAACCGGCAUGAGCGACACCAACACGCUCAUGCCGGUUUAAAUCAGGCAGUUUAAACAAGUGACAGGUCCAAAUCGCAGGUUUUCUCCUAAGUCGAAUUCCAAGUCCAACAUGUAUAAACUAUUCAACUUAUUACCACAUGCUCUAAAUUCAGAUUUGCAAUCUACAAUAUAAUCCAUGAAUUUGAGCUAGAAUAGACUAUACCAAAAUCGAAAUUAUACAUGUCGACGAUUAGAACUUAGGAGUCAAAACCGAUGUAACCCAUCUCAAGAAGCUAGCUCCUGGCAGCGAACGAAGCCUCGCACCAAAGUGACUCCUGCUGGAUCAACUGGAACCCUCCAAGUCUAGCACUCGAGCUAACUCCAAGCUCUACGAUCAAAAUCCACCAAUUCAGUCCGAAUUUCGCAGCAAUAGAGUAGAAAAGGAAUUCGACCAAGCUAACAUUCACCAAAUUCGGCAAGUAAGCGCUUCGUGGAUUCCUCUCGAAGUCCCGAAUCCAACGAACCAAGUCUCGACGAAAUCCGAUACUCUUACGUCGAGUACGAGCUGAAAUACUAACAGUCGACGAUGAAUUUCAGCAACAACAUCAUUCCGAGUUGAAGUAGUAAGAACUUGCCCAAAAACAAAGGAAAUGCUGAAUUACCCACCUCGACAACACCAAGCACCGGUGCGCAGCAAGAACGGAGAAAACCUACGCUCGCCCGGCCUCCUCGCGCUACCCCGGCGUCAAACACGUGCUCGAACGACUCCGCGGCGCGACGUCGGCGACGAAAUCCGAACUCCACCCGAGCUCCACCGUGCGCAAGAACCCAGCUAGAGAGAGAGAGGAGAAGAAGAAAAAGCUCCCUCUCUCUGCUCUACACAAACCUAAAUAGAGAGAGAGGGAAAGGGUGAUAUGAACGAAGUGGAAAAAAGACCAAACCACCCCUUACCUACCCUGGUGUACCGGUAUAGAGGCUAACCCGAGAGCAGCCCACGUGUAGCUAGCUGAAGUGUACCGAUACACCUUGAUGGCUGUACCGGUACAGCAAGCAGAAAACCUGCAAUUUUGCGGAUUUUCUCGCCAAGUGCUACGUUCACGUCGCGGGGAGUCCGUUUUGCAUGCAUUUCACGCCAACGCGACUCAAACUUGUCUCGACACUUUCCAGAGUUGUCGGCAAGCCUCCACAGCCGUACACCAGGGAUCUCACAAUUAAGCUUAAAUAGAUUAAAAUUGAGACCCGGUUUAUAAUGAGUUGGCAACCUGUCAUUAGUUACAGCUAUAUUAAUUUUGAGUCUCUCAGGACUCAAAUUAAUUUCGUAGUAUCCAACUCUAAUUAAGGCUCUAAUAUUAUAUAUAGAGCAUUUAGGAGCCGAAUCUCUUUGGCCAAGUAAUACUCUAAUUAAUUAGCCUACGAUGCUCUUGGUGCUCGGCUCUCAAGACUCCAUUGAUGCUCAAUUAAUUAAGGCAACCCAAGGUGCCGUAUCUUGUGUGUGGUGACCCAAGACGGACGUGCUGUUGAGGAGACGCCGUAUGCGGUAGCGUGUCAAAUAUAUUUAUUUUGGUCUUGAGGUCUUCUGAGACAUUAUUUUUCUUUUCUGUCUUUCAAUAUUUAUAAAUUAUUUUCUUCGUCUUUGCUCGUGGACAUAGGCCGUUGGCCGAACCACAUAAUUACGGUGUGCUCUUUCCUUUUCUUUUUUCUUGCUGUAUUAAGUAAUUUUUCUUGAUUUAUUUUUCACUGUUCCGAUUUUAACACUUAAUUUAUAAAAAUUAUGCUGAAAAAAGUAACAAAAAUUCAAGAUUUUCUAUUUGUGAUGAAAUUAUAAUAUUUAUACCUCAAUUAGAUUAAUUUGAUUUGUAUAAGGGGCGGCUUGGUUCGGCGUAGAACGAACUGAAAAUUAAUUUUUUUUCACAAAAAAUUAUUUUUCACGGUUUAUGUUGAACCAAACAGACCAUAAAACUAAAUAAAAUAUAGUUUUAUAAAAUAAUUUGGCACAUCACACUAAUCACAAAACAGACAAAUCUUUAUUUGCCUAGAAAUCUGGAAAAUGCUUUUAUGCCCUCCACUUAUUAUUAGGGCUGGCAAUUCAAUUCGAUGUCCGUGAGCCAGUUCAAGAUAAGUUCAAAAUGAGCUCAAGAUCAAUUGCUUAUUUAAUAAAUGAGCUGAAUAUGAGCUAAAUGAUUCAACUCGCAAUCUUAACGAGCCAAAAACGAGCUGUGGUCAGUUUGCUCGUCUUCGACUCGAUAUGUCACGCCCCGAGCCCGAUCCCUUUGGCCGGUUCGAGUGCGUCGAACAGACGCCAAACGGACAGAGUUUCUCCUGUCCGUCGAAGGCCCAACAACAGGUACAGAUAGAGUAUAAAAUGUGCAUAAGCGGAAGCAUACACAAUGACUUGCACGAGGACAAGCAAUAGCCAAGGUGAAAGUGCUAACUAAUCAACAUACAAGUACUAUGAUUAAAUUUAAAUCACAUACAUGCAUUCUAGUUUGGAAUAUUUUAUAACUUUUGCAUCAUUUCUUUUUACAUCUCAAGUUCUCCAAAAUAUGCCUUUACAUUUAACAUCAUUAAUAUCUUUAUUACAUUUGCUUCAAAAGUCUAUAAUCAUCAAAAUAAAAAAGAUGAUGUAAGAGGGUAUGCAACUACAAAAUGUAAAGUAUCUCGGACGGUCUCUAUCUAGGGCACGAUACCCUUACCGCGAUAGUCUGCCGGCUCGCUCGGUCCCGACUCUGUGGAAAAUGGGGUGUGAGAGCUACAACAAAGUUCCCAGUGGGUUCAGCAACCAACCACGCCGACUUUCCCAUUAGGUCUAAAUCAGGCAUAAUAGAAGAAAAGAGAUAUAGAUAGUAACCAAACUAUACAAAUACAGCUAAUAUGCCUGAACAAUAAUCAAUGCAAUGCUCAAUAGUAUGCUCAUGAUGAAUGCAAGAUCACAAUCUCAUUGCCUAAUCUCUUAGCUAGCCCGUAGGUUUCGCCCUCAAUAGACUCACCAACUCAAAUCCCAAGUAUCGGGGAGACUACUACGCCCGACGGGACCGUCCUCUGGGGAGACUACUACGACCCAGUGAUGACAACUCCGGAGCACAUCGCCCGAGGGGGAGCUAUCACCCUCAAGUAAGGACUUACAGGUGAGUAUGAUCCAAUCCUUAACUAUAAGGAUGUCAAGUUCAAUCCAUUCCUUAACUAUAAGAAAAAUCAUAUUCAUAUGACCCUUAACUCUAAGGUUGUUAUGUCAUAAUGCCACAAUCCAUCAUUUUCUUGCAUUCUUUACUUUCACUAGUGUCUUAUACACUACUUUGUUCUUGUACUUAUUCACUAAUGCCACACUUGUUUUCUAAGUGUUCAACUCUAGCAUUCUUGACUCAUCAAUGCCAUUUUCUACAUUCAUGUCUACAUGUCACAUUUGUUCUCUAAAUCCACUAAGUUUUUGUCAUUUAUCAUGCAUACGUAGGGUUAAUAAAAUUCUCACAUUCUUACAAGUAUUUCACAUGCAUUUGAACUCACAACAUGCAAUAAGAAGCUCACAAUUACCCUACUAUGCAAUAUGCUCAAAUAUAUACAAAUGCUCAAAUAUGACACUUUAGACAUAAAAAAAAUUUUGAGAUCCUUGGUAUGCACCACCCACCUUAUAUGGUUGCAAAGGUGCUAUGAUAAAUUUCUUGAAAUUUUUGAAACCCUACUUUAUCGCCUACGGCAAAACGAAGCCAAAUUAAGCUUUAUACUCAGAACUCCUACUUAGUCUUUUCGUAACGUCAAACGGAGUUAUCCCACACGUCGGGAAUACCCCUAAUUAGGUUUCUACAAGGUCAAUUUGCCUUAGAAACACUCUAGAAAAAAAUCCCCAAUUUUCAUGCCCUAACAACACCAUUUGCUCAAACCUAGGUUUUGAUCUCUAAAACAAGCAAAAGAGACAUUGUCCUGCACCUAGAAGUUCAUCUAGAACCAUCUAAACCAAUUCUAGGGAUUAGAAUGCAAACCUUAAAAAUCCACCAUUAGAGCACUUAAAGAAAACAUGAGUUUUCAUGUUUUCAUACCUACUAGAGGUUUCUACACUUGUAAAGGCUCCAAAACCUAGCUUUCUAGAGUACAAAACCCAAACCCUAGACUCAACUUUCCAUAAAACCUCACCUUAGUCACAAGCUCACCAAUGUCCACCUUAUAGGAGAGCUCAAAAUCUUCUCCAAGCUCCAAAACCCUCCAAAAAUCUUUCUCCUCCUACUCCUCCUUGCUGCUUGGAGCGGUUUCUAGAGAGAAAGAGAGAAAUAAGAGGGAGUGAGGUGUGGGCUGUGAAAGAGAGAGGGGAGGGUGUUUGGGCUAUUACCAUGUUGUAACAAUUACAAGAAACCCUCCACUUCUUUCUAUUUGCAGCAGAUUUCAUUGUUGCGGCCAGACUAAAGUGUACCGGUAUACGGGAUUUUGUACCGGUACAAUUUCUGCGCAGAGACAACCCGAGAGCAAGAUUCUCGGUUUCGUAGCAUUUGUACCGGUACAUUUUCAAAGUGAACCGGGACACUUUCAGUUUUUCUCUCAAUCCCGAGAGCACACUCUUCUCAGGCUGCAGGGCUGUACCGGUGACAACUCGAUGGUUGUACCGGUACACUUUGCCCAGAAUGUUGGUUUUGCGCCGUUUUUGAUUCGAUUUCGCGCCGGUCGAUGCUAAAACCCUUUUAACACCUCUUAAACUCAUUUUUAGCCUUUCCAACCUUGUUGGAAUGCUAAAUGGAACUUGUCCAACUAUUUCUUUCGUAUUGUUCACUUUUAAAUCACGCCGAGCAAUGCUAAAACCUGCUUAACACUCUCGGGACUCGACUUUGAACCUUCUAACAUUAUUAGAAUGUCAACUGGAGUUUGUCCAUCCAUUUCUCUCGGUACUUUAACCAAUUUGGCUAAAGUUCGAUAAUCGCUAUCGGGAUUUCGAUACGUUACACGAUAUAUAUAUAUAUAUAUAUAUAUAUAUAUAUAUAUAUAUAUAAUAUAAUAUAUAUAUAUAAUAUAUAGCCAGGACUGAUGUGCCUCAGGAGCACGAAGGCCUCCGUGCUUCUAGCCGUUUUCGAUGAUGGAAUUUUCGAAUCGACGAUCGCUCCGUUAAAUUUGAUCUAGCGCGUAUUUGAAUGUUCUAGAAAAAAUUUUUGCGAUUUUUCAAUAUCAUUACGUAGCAUCGAAAGGAUUUAAAAUCAAUAAUUUUUAACGCUGAAAAUAAAUAUCCUAUAAAAAUGGUGAUAUAGCACUAAAAUUUUCGAUCAGAAAUAGUAAUCUUGUGUAGAUAGUAUAGAAGACUUUCUAUCAAAAUUUUAUCUUAUUUGAAUACUUCUAACACACCGUUAAACUUGAAAACGGCAGAUAUCAACCAUUAAAAUUAUGGAUUUGAAUCUUUUGAUCACUAGGUAAAUAUAUCAAAAAAUCGGCAAAAAUUAUUUCUAGAAACUUCAAAUGCGCUAGAUCAAGUCUAACGGAGCGAUCGUCGAUUUGAAAAUUCCAACAUCGAAAACGGCUUCAGGAGCACGAAGCUCCGUGCUCCUGAAGCACAGCAGCCCUGCUCUCUCUCUCUCUCCUCUCUCUCUAUAUAUAUAUAUAUAUAGAAUUAGACUGAAUACUAUUAAUAGUAAACGCUCUUUUGCUACAAGUUUUAACCCUUGGUAAAAAUUGUAGGUCUGGAUGAUAUUAGUCGGUUAGAGUUGAGUGGUCCCCUGGGUUGAGUGGUCCCCACUGGUUAUAGUAUUUAAUCCAAUGGUGAAAAUAAUGAAAAGAAUUGAUCCAAAAGCUAAAAAACUAGUAGCAACAGAUGGAAUUUGCUACUAAUAGUAGCUCAGUCCAACCGUUAUAUAUACUAAUAUAUAUAUAUAUAUAUAAUUAAUAAUAAUAUAUAUAUAUAUAUAUAUUAUAUAUAAGUACUAUAUAUAGCCGGACUCAUAAUUGUUUUCGAUGAUAGACACUUCCGAAUCGACGAUAAUAUUAUAAUAUAAUAUAUAUAUAUAUAUAUAUAUAUAUAUAUAUAUAUAGUCCGGCUACUUUACUCUUAUGAGUACAAUCGCCCUCGUACUCAUAAGUUGUUUUCGAUGAUAAAACUUCCGAAUCGACGAUCCAUAUCGUUAAAUAUUAUCUAGAUCAUUUAAACUUCUAGAAAUUAAAUUGUAUAAUUUUUCGAUAUUAUUUACCUUACUAUCAAACGGUCACAAAAUUGAUAAUUUUUAAUGACCGGUAUGAGAUAUUUGCUAGUUUAACGGUGAAAAAGAAUCGAAAUAGGUUGAAUUUUUGAUAGAAAAUUCUAUUCACUACCUAAAUAAAGAUCAAUAACUCCGAUCUUAAAUUGAAGGAUCCGAUCAACCAUUUUUAGGAUGUCAUUUGAUUUUAACCGUUCAGUUUAUACUCGCUUGAUGGACUUUGUAAUGAUUUCGAAAAUUUAUGAAAUUUAUUUUCUAGAAGCUUCAAAUACUCUAGAUCAUAUUUAACGGUGUGGAUCGUCGAUUCAAAAAUUCCAACAUCGAAAACAACUUAUGAGUAGUAAGGGUUCUAUACUCAUAAGAGUAUAGUAGCCCUACCUCCGUGCUUGUAAGUUGUUUUCUGUAACGACCCAGCCCACUAGCAAUAAUAACUCGUUGGGCCCAACCAUAACCCAAAAUGCUUAAGCCCAGUUAUUAUUACUAGUGUCUAAGUCUCUUAUAAACCCAAUGACAUCCCCAUUCCCAUCCGAUGUGGGACUAUUGGGAUGUGGGACUAUUGGGGUGUCACAUUUUCGAUGAUAGGAUAUCCGAUUCGACGAUCGGCUCCGUUAAGUAUAAUCUACCCUAUUGGCACUAUCUAGAAACCAAAUUUUAUAAAUUUUUGACAUCAUUUACCAAGCGAUCAAAAGGUCUAAAAAAUAACUAUUUUAUUGGCCGAUAUGGCACGUUUUUAAGCUCAACGGUAUAGAAGUAUCCAAAUUACAUAAAAAUUUAAUAAAAAAAUUCUACAUAACAUUAAUAGCAAGAUCAAUACUUCUGAUUGGAAAUUUGAGUCAUUUAUCACUAUUUUUUAUGAGAUUUUCAUUUUCAGCCGUUCAUUUGAGGCUACUCGUUCACUAAACAAACGAAGUCAAAAAAUUAUGAAAUUUGGUUUCUAGAUAGUUAUAAUAGCGUAGAUCAUGUUUAACGAAACCGAUCGCCGAAUAGGAUGUCCCAUCAUCGAAAACAACUUAUAAGCACGGAGGCCUCCGUACUUUCAAAAGCAUAGGAGCCUAGCGCUCUCUCUCUCUCUCUCUCUCUCUCUCUCUCUAUAUAUAUAUAUUACAUUUGAUUUGUCUUUUAAAAGUACCAAGUGCAUUAGUGCUUGUAAGUUUUAGCAUUAGAUUAAGUGAUGUGCGAUUAGGGAUGAUGUAGACCUUAGGGUUGAGUGGGUAGUUGGUGCAUGAAUAAUAUGAUCUAACGGAUGAAAAUGAUCAAGAGUGAUUAACGGAAAAAAUUACAAGACCCAGUUGCUUUGGUGAUUUUACAAGACACAUAGCCGGACUAUAUAUUAUAUAUAUGAUUAUAUUUAUAUAGAGAAGAGAGAGAGAGAGAGAGAGAUGAGAGGAAGAGAUGGAUGAGAGAGAGGCAGAGGCAGGAGUUUACUGUGUUUUAGAGCACCGCCUUGUGCUAUAACUUUCUAACCACCCAUCAAGUUUGAUGGGUGGUUAGAAUAAGAGAGGGAGAAAAUAUUGAGGAGAAAUUUAAAGAGAAGAGAAAUUGAAACACCCAAUUUCUUCCCAAUAUCUCCUCCCUCUUUCAUUCUAACCACCCAUCAAACUUGAUGGGUGGUUAGAAAGUUAGGAGCACAAAGGCUGUUAUGCUCCUAAUAGCACAAUAGCUGUAACGUAUCGAAACCUCGAUAGAAAAUAGCGAACUUUAGCCAAAUUGACUAAAGUGUGCGAAUGGAUUAAUUGGGCGAGUUCCAAUUAACCUACCAACAGUGUUGGAAGGGUUAAAAAUGAGUUCUAGAAGUGUUAGAGGGGUUUUGGCAUCGAUCGGCGCGAAAUAGAAUCGAAACGGAGCCAAAAACCAAAUCUGGGCAAAGUGUACCGAUACAACCAUCGAGUUGUCACCGGUACAAACAAGUGUACCGGUACAAAAUAAAAGUGUACCGGUACAAAUGCCCCAAAUCCGAGGGAGCUGCUCUCGGGUUUGGCCAUAUGCGAUCGUGUUACUGGUGACACCCUAAAGUGUACCGGUACACUUUGGGCCUGACAGUAGGUUAGAAACUGCUGCAAAUAUUAAUAAGUGGAGGGAUUUUUGGUAAUUAUAGCACCUUAUAUAUAACCCCAACACUCCUCUCUCCCUCUCCCACAGCAAACACACACCUCCCCUCUCAUUUCUCUCUUUCUCUCUCUAGAACUCUCCCCCAAGAGCAAGGAGGAGUGGAGGAGGCUUUUGAAGGUAGAUUUUGAGGCUUUGAGGGUUUGGGAUCUCUCCAACAAGAAGGACCUUGGAGAGCUUUGGGCCAAGGUGAGGUUUUCAUGAAAACCUAGGCUAGGGUUUAGGUUUAUGUUCUAGAAAACUAGGUUUUGAUCUUCUAAUGAAUAUAGAAACCUAGUUGGAGCUAUAGAACACAUGAAAUCUUAGUUUCUUCAAGGUGCUCUAAUGGUGGAUUUCUAGGGUUUACUUUAUAUGCCCUAGAAAUGAUUUGGAUGGUUCUAAAUAAAUUUCUAGAGGUUAGACAAGCUCUCUUUUGAUUGUUUUAGAGAUCAAAAUCUAGGAUUUAGCAAAUGACAAUGUUAGGGCACCCAAUUUGGGGCUUUUGUUUUCGCAUGUUUCUAAGAAAAAUUGACCUUAUAGAAACCUAAUUGGAGGUAUUCCCGACGCGUGGGACAACUCCGUUUGACGUUACGAAAAGACUAAGUAGGAAUUCUAAGUAUAAAGCCUAAUUUGGCUUCGUUUUGCCGCAGGCGAGAAAGUAGGCACCCUAAAAUCUCAAGAAUUGAACCGUAGCAUUCUCUCAACCAUCUAAAGUGGGUGGUGCAAUCCGAGGACCUCGGAAUUCCUUUUAUGUCUAAAGUGUUAUAUUUGAGCAUAUGUGUAUUGAGCAUAAAAUUGUAUAGUAGGGUUAUAUUUGAGCAAUUUAUUGCAUGUUGUGAGUACAAAUGCAUGUGAGUCACUAGCAAGAAUGUGAGAAUUUUAUAAACCCUAUUUAUGCAUGACAAGUGACAAGAACUUAGUGGACUUAGUAAACAAAUGUGACAUCUUGAUAUAGAAGUAGAAAGUGACAUUGAUGAGUCGAGAAUGCUAGAGUUGGAACAUAGUAGUGUCUAUGACACUAGUGAAAGUAAAGAAUGCAAGUAAAAGUGUGAUAGUGACAUUAUGACAAUUUCAACCUUAGAGUUAAGGGUCAUAGUGCAUGGCUUCCUUAUAGUUAAGGAAUGGAUUGAACUCGACAUCCUUAUAGUUAAGGAUUGGAUCAUACUCAUCUGUAAGUCCUUGCUCGAGGGUGGUAGCUCCCCCUCCGGCGAUAUACUCCGGAGUUGUCAUCACUGGGUCGUAAUAGUCUCCCCAGAGGAUGGUCCCGUCGAGCGUAGUAGUCUCCCCGAUUUUUUGGAUUUGAGUUGGUGAGUCUUAUUAUGGGCGAAACCUACGGGCUAGCCUAGAGAUUGGGUUCUGAGCAGUGACUUUGCAUUCAUCAUGAGUACUUUAUUAAGUAUAGCAUUAUUUAUUGUUCAGGCAUAUUAGCUGUAUUUGCUUUAGCUUAGUUACUAUCUAUCUGUUCUUCUAUUAUACCUGAUUUAGACCUAGUGGGAAAGUCGGCGUGGUCGGUUGCCGAACCCACUGGAAACUUUGUUAUAGUUCUCACCCUACUAUUUCCAUACAACCGGGACCGAGCGAGCCGGCGGAAGACCGCGGUAAGGGCAUCGCGCCCUAGAUAGAGACCUCCCAAGUGAGUUUCCAUUUUGUAGUUGCAUACCUUUAUACAUCACCUUUUUGUAUUUUGAUGACUAUAGAUGUUAAAAGAAAAGAAUAUGAAUGAUGUAAAAGACAUUCUAUAUUUCAAUGCAAGAACUUAUAUUUUGAGAUCAUGUGAUAUGAAAGAGAAGAAAUGAUGCAAAAAUGUAAAUGAUUUCUUAAGUGUAAUUUACUACUUUCACUAUUGGCUAUCGCUUGCCCUCGUGCAAGCCAAUGUGUAUACUUCCGUUUUGUGUAAAAUUCAUACUUUAUUUGUACAGCAUGUUGAGCCUUGGGCAAACAGAGGAGACUGUCCGUUCGGCGUCUGUUUGACGGGUCCGAACUGGCCAAAUAGGACCAGGUUCGGGGCGUGACGGUAGCCCUACUAUAUAUAUAUAUAGAGAGAGAGAGAGAGAGAGAGAGAGAGAGAGAGAGAGAAUAGGGCUUCUGUGCUCUUAGGAGCACGGAGGCCUCCCUGCUCCUGAGUCGUUUUCGAUGAUGGAAUUUCCGAAUCGACGAUCGACUCCGUCAAACUUGAUCUAGCGUAUUUGAAGUUUGUAGAAAAUAAUUUUUGCGAUUUUUUGAUUUCAUUUACCUAGCAAUCGAAAGAAUUUAAAAUCAAUAAUUUUUAACGGCUGAAAAUAAAAAUUCUAUAAAAAGUGGCGAUAUAGCAUUAAAAUUGAAUACUUCUACACCGUUAAACUUGAAAACGACAGAUAUCAACCAUUAAAAAUUAUUGAUUUUGAAUCCUUUUGAUCACUAGGUAAAUGAUAUCAAAAAAUCGCAAAAAUUAUUUUCUAGCAACUUCAAAUACCCUAGAUCAAGUCUAACGGAGCCGAUCGUCGAUAAAUUCCAUCAUCGAAAACGACUCAGGAGCACGGAGCCCUCCUUGCUCCUGAGAGCACAGCCCUUCUCUACCUACUAUCAUAUAUACACACACACACACUACUCACCACUAUGCGUAUAUAUGUGUCAUAUUUAUAUAUCACACCACACAUAUGUUUAUAUGGUUGAUGUAUACACACAGCAUAUCUACUAUGUAUGUAUGUAUAUACCACACAACAUAGCUAUGAUACUGUAUGUAUGGUAAUAGUACAACAUACAUACAGACAUACAAUAAAUAUAUAUAACUUAUAUUAUAUAUAUAUAUAUAUAUAUAUAAAUUAUAGUAGUAUUUAUAUAUAGAACUUUGCUACUACUACUAUAAUAGUAGUUAAGCUCGUUGCUACUUUGAGUUUCGGUCGUAUGGAUGAACUAGAUAUUACUAGAAUAUAUGCUACUAUUACUUAUCAAUAGUACCAAGCUCUUUGGCUACUAUUGAGUUUUCGUCGUUGGGAUGAAUAGCAUGUGCGGUUAGGAUGAUAGUGAUCCCCGGCCUAAAAAUUAAUAGUGGUCCCCUAGGGUUGAGUGGGUGGUUGGUUUAAUAGUGUAUAAUCUAAUGCGUAAGACAAAGAAUCAAAGUAGAUCUAACGGUUGAAAUCAGCUCAAUAGUACCAAAGGGCUUUGGUACUAUCGAUAUAUGUUUAGUCGGACUCCGUGUACGUCUAGUACUUAUAAUGGGCGUGCGGGUAGUAUAGUACUAUAUAUGUAAUAUAUAUAUUAUUAAGAAAGAUGAGACGCCCGCUCCGCCGCCCUCAACGCUCCCGCCUCCCGCUUGCCGCGCCCGUCCCUUGCUCGCGCCCGCCUCCGCCGACCCGCGCUCGCGCGCCUCCUCCCCUCGGCCCCUGCCGACUCGCGCUCGCGCACCACCGCGCACCCCCGCGAAGCGAAGCAGUGCGGUUGCGGUAUGGCCGUGGGCGCUGGGGGCUGGGAGAUGGGUUGACUCUGGAGGUCUUCGGGGAUUGUUGCGCAAAGCGGACCUGCGUAUGAUGGUGGGUUACAGUGUCGUCGUUCCUGGGACGCGGGGUGGGACGCUUGGCGUUAUGUAUAUUGGACAGUCUGGGAGCUGUUGUGAUGUCUUAGGGUAGGAGUUUGGAGCAACACCAUUGGCUUAGAGUAGGCUCUCGAGGGAGGAGUUUGGCUGCGAAAGGGAUGCACUAGCUUGGUUGGCACUCCCAGGUAUUGGGCUUGCUCGUUCGGGACCGUCGAGGAGUCCAACGAGUUCGAUUCAGGGAAGUGUCCGGGGUAUAAGUCUCGCACGAGGGAGCUUGGAAAAUGCUUGGAGUUUGUUCGGUUGUUAGUAUUGCAACUUAGGUCGUAGUUCAAGGACGGUUGGGAAGGCUGAGCUCGGGGUGUGGCUACUUGAGCGCUGCCGUUUGGGAAUUUUUCAAGGCGAAGUAGUUAUAACCGUGCGUACGCCGCUUCUCGUUCCGUAGACUCAAGACUCUUUGAGAUUGGCCUGGACUUCUUGAUACCAAUGCAUGUAUUUGAGGGUCUCCUCGUGCUCUUUUCUCUGCUGAUAUUUCUCGUCAACCCUUACCGUCUCUGUAUUUAUUUGUUUUAUUCUUCAUACAGAAGUUCCCUUAGUCUUAAGCUCUUUUCUCCGUCAAGGAUUUGGUGCUCCAGCGAGGAAAGACAUUGGAUGACUUUAGGUUUGACGCGGUCGCUGAUUCACCGCUCGCGAGUUACUAAUCGCGGUCCUUUCUUGAUGGUACAACUUUGGCCAUCUGUUGCCUGUUUUAAUCCAAUCUUACUUCUAUAUGGGUUUUAUGCUUCGGAUCUAUAUGGUUUAUCCAGAUAUUAUAAAUUUUUUUUUACGCUUUGUGUUUAAGUCUCGCUGAGCCAAUAUAGUUGUAUCUAGCAGACGUUUUCAGGAUCAUAACGAUUUUUUCUUUCAUUUGAGAUUUGGAUUUUCGGAUAACUUUCUCUUCAUGGAGAUUUGGGAUCAGGCUUGGUAGGUUUGCGUCCUGGACAAGACUCAGGUAUCAGUUUAAAUCUUCAAUCUUCGUUGGCCAAACGAUGAUCGUUAAACGAAGAUUAUGGAAACUAAAUUUCGCUCACUGACAUUCAAGACCAUUCGCGAUAAAGAGUUCGGCCUAGGACACCUCCUGAGGCUUAUCUGCAAAUACUUCAUUAUGGAAAUGAUUCCCACAAGCUAGUCCAGCACAUCCAUGCACCAAGUGAGCUUCCAGCCACCAAUUGUACGAACACAUAUUCUAUCCGACGAAGCGGAUAGGUUUUUCAGUGAAUAAGAGAGUUAUUGCGACUUUGGAAAUUCGGAAAUUUGGUUAGGAAUUCCGGUUGGUUUUGACCUGACGGGGAAGAGAGGAUAUGGAUGAGAGUAAUGUUCGGACUGCGGCUACUAUUAGGAGCAAACCCCUUUCCAUGUGUGUUGCUACCAGAAUUGUGUUUAUUUGGCACUUUGAUCAUGCUCCUUUUCGUUAUUUCUAACCAUUCGGAUUAAAUACUAUUAAACCUCAGUGGAGAGUUACUUCUGAAUCCGUGUUAGGGAGAACAUCCACUCAACCUAAUCCACUAAUGGUCCAUGCUCGAGCCCUACAAUUCUUUAUAUAUUCUUAGAGAAUGGGUUUGAGAAAUUGAGGAGCAAAAAAGAAGGAGGUCGUUUAUUAGCAUAGGGUUCAAGUAGUAUUCCAGUUGCCGCCUGAAGAGCUUAUACUACCUAUAUUUAUAUACUAUAUAGUGCGGAUAUGAAUAGGUCAAUUGGGGGAGUAAUAAUAGGAGUGGAGGGCAUUACUCUUGACUGCUAUCGGCAAGUACUGGAGCCUUCCGGUCUUCCAGCUAACGUUUGGUCGAUGUUGCUGACUGUUUUCGAAUGCGAUCUUCAAGAUUCGGCUCUUGUAAAUAAAUGUUUGCUUCGAGGUAAGGAAUAAAUUGUGGAUUUCUUCAGUAGAUAUGGAAAAUAAAUUUUAUUAUUUUUCGGAUAACAAUUUGCAGUGACUUCGGCCAUGGCUCAAAGAUCAACAAACUUUCAAUGGGUCGGUAGUUGGCACCGUUUGCAAGUUUAACGGGUUGAUGGAUAUAAUGGACGAUGAAAAUUAUUUUUUAGACAGAAUAUGCAUUAUGUAUACUGUAUAUUAAAAUCAAGGGAUCUCGGAUUGGUGUUGUUCAAUCAGAGUAAGCAUUGACGAACCUUUUUAUACGUGUCACGUAUGCGGUGCGGAGAGUGAAUAUUCAUCGCAAUGUUUGGUAAGAUUUUGUGGGUUUUUGGAGGCGGUUGAUUUCUCGCCUUCGUCAUAGGGUUGGCAUUAUGUGCUAGGAAAAAUCCUUGAUCAGAUUGUAUUAAGAAUCAUUGAAAAAAUUUUUAUUAAUAUAUCUAGGUACCUUCAAAUAGCUGCUAUAGAAUCAGGGUUCUUUAGCGGAGCUUUGUACUUGGGAACGAAAUUGGAAAGUCGGGAUAAAAAACUCACACAUGGACUGAAUCGACGCGUGACAUCGCAAGCUAUUUGCUAAACAAAAAAACCAAAACGCUCUCCAGGAACCUUGAACCAGGAUAAUCGCAUUUCUACAAGGGUCAAAGGUUUAGUUAAGGAUGGGAAAAAAAGAGGAUGAAAGGGUUAGGUGUUUUCAUAUUAUUUUAAAUUAUGGGUCUAUUUUAAUGCUUAUGGUGAUAGGAGCAAAUGAUGUUAGUAUGCAUGUGAUAAAGCAUUUUGAGAUUGGGAAAGUCUAUAAGAGCAGUGACAGAUUAAUUUACCAGUGGAUUGUAGAUGUGUAGAAAGAGUUGAUGUAUAAUGAUUACUUUACAACAUUCAAUGUGUCUGAUGUGCAAUUACAACAUCAUACAGAUGAAAGCACGAAUUGAGCGAGACUGUCAUAAUUCUAUUCAUAAAAUAUGUUAAGGGAAUACAAUUUUUACAGUUUAACAGGUCUCGAGUUUGUGGUUGGGCUAGGUAGAUUGCUAUCCAUAAAUUGUAUUAUUACUGAUAGCCUGAUAGAGGGUCUUUGGCAUGCUUUUAGGGGAGGCAGCGAGAGGCCUCUCUCACAGUUUUAAAUGUGCCUCAAGCUCCGUUUUCGACAAUCGAUGUAGCUUUGCGAAUCGAAGCGAAUGGCUGCCAUAUCUGGUUUAACUUGGUUGUUAGGCGUAGUUGAUGUGUGAGGAAAUUAAAUUUGUAUAUAUGCGAACUUUUUUCGAAUGGGACAUUUUACUUAUGCUGAUAACGUGAAAGUGUGUAAUAAUGGUUAGCCGGUUAUCUGAUUAGAAAUAUAUAUCCGGUCUCAGUAUUAGGUGUAGAUGUCGUUAAAUUUGAGCUCUAUAAUGUUAUAUCGAUACUGAUGUUAGUAGAUCAUUGCCGCUGUUAACCCUUUAUGGCUUAUACAUCUAGAGAAUUAAAUGGGAUUCAUGUCUAUCAACCUAUUAUUUACUUCUCAUUGUGUGUGUACUUCUAUGUACCAAGCCGUUUAAACUGUGCUUUAGAAAGAUUUUAUGAUAAAAUACGGCUACAUUAGUUUUCAAAAUGUUCGAGCUUAUGUUGUAUGCACCUGUUUUUGAUCGUAGAAAGAAUGAAAUUAUUCGAAAAAAUCGCGCAAUAAUUUUCAUUUAUUUUGUAGCAUCAUAUGAUCAAAAUUAUUUUUCGACAGAAUUGGUUAUGAUCAUAGUUUCUAACAGAGCAAUCUGAUUCCGAUUGCAAGCUGUUUUUAUAUAUAUUCGAUAUAGUAACGGUAAAGGUGUUAUAUACAGUACUUACUCGAGGGCCUUCCAUGUUGAAGUGCUAUCCACGGAGACCAAAACACAAUCACUUUUAAUGAUAAAUAGUUCGAGUGUUUAGAGAAUAGAAUGGAAGAACUUGGGAUAAAAGUAUUUCACAUAACUAUAUUAGGUAUAUUAAUAUGGUAUACGAUCUAGUAAAAGGUUUAUUUUUAAAUUUUACAGAUAUUGUAAGGUCAUGUAAUCAGAUAGGUGACACCGCUGAAUUGAAAUGGUAUGGAUAGAUUGGAUCUUGAUUUUGAAAUUGGUUUUGUAAGGAGGAGAUUGGGGUAGAAUGGAAAUAAAGAAUUGAAUCAAAAAGGAUGAAGUUAGGUGUUGAGUUGAAGCGUGCUAUUAAACUAAAUAAUAAAUCGGUUUUUUUCAGUGUUGGAAUGCUGAUAUGAUGAUAGGGAGUGGGGCAUUCUUUAGAAAUUGAUCUUCUAUGUGGUUAAUAAAAUAGAUUCAGUAGGCUCAGAUUAUGAGGUGUGGAUUUAUAAAGAAGGUUAUGUUUGGAAGGUGGCUAGUAUGUUUUGUGUGAUUUGAUGUGGGGUUAAUACGAUUAUCAUAAUGUGCACGGCGUCUCUAUGCGGAAUUAUCCGAGUUUUUUCUGCGGGUAACGCAACAGACGCAUCUGUUAAUUGAUUUUUAUACAGGAGAAAAUUUCUCCGUAUUUUAUACGGAUGUGUAUUUUGUGGAUUGAGCUUUUUGUUUAUUUAUCAGGCGUAUCCUGUAAUCUCAAUGUAGCAAGUAACUACAAGCCAGUAGUAUCGAACUGCUGAUAGCUGAUCACAAAUGAGGUGCGGGUUUUGCAGACAGUCUCUCUCAGUCAAGGAAUUCUUUUGUCAACAUUCACAUUAUUUGUCUCACUGGUGCUGAACCAUACCAUACAAGUGGAACUCUUAUACUAUAUUUUGGUUAGCAUAUCUUAUUGAUAGUCCAAGAAUAGUGAGAGGAUCUCGGGGUGGACCAGGGGUCGAGAUGACGAUUUAGAGAUAUGGAGCGGUAAGCACUGUGUUGCUAGACCAAUUUAUUCCAAUGUCGGUUAAGGAUUCUUUCCCUUGAUAGAUCUUCCUUCACGCCUGUCAGAUUUCUAUGGUAGGUUCUUAUACUUUUCAAUAACCAUGCCAUCUCAACCACGUAGGGGGGCCACUCAUUGACCUGAGGUUUCACCGCCAACUAAUGACUCUUAAGAAUCCAUGAAAUGGAGCUCAAGAAGAUCUUUUUAUUGGUGGUUGGACUCUUGAAAUAGACUUAGGUUUUCGAAAGUUUUAAUGCGGAUUGCUCUGCAGUGGGUACAUUACAACACCAAUUGGAGGCUCGAGGAUCUACUUUUUUAUUUAGAAGUGCUUUCGUGUGUAAAUACUUUUAGUGUAGGAGAUAAUCCUCUACGCCGUCGGAAAUAAUACUUGCUAAAAUUAAUGGCGAUGCUUACGCGGUACUCUCUCUCUCUCCUCAUUGGGUAUUGUGGGGGUGCUGUAAUGAGAUCCCCGAGUUAAGACGCAUUACUUUUUGUGCGCCGCGAAAUGGCAUCACUGUCAUAGCGCGGAUAUAUUAAUCACGAAAGAGUUUUUUUACUUGUGGGAUAUAAGAAUAUCAAAGUAAAUGCUCGUACUUUUGACUUACGAAUUAAUUGCAAACUAAUUGUAGUGGGUUUGUAUUGUCAACUUUGUUGCCUUGUCCACGCAAAAUAUGACCUUUUUUUCUUGUUCGUAUCUUAACCUAACACAGAUGGAAAUGCAGAAUGGAGGGAGUGAUGGAAUACACACAUCGCCUCCCCUCGUCUCUCGCGCGGGGGUGAAUUGCUUCAGAUCGCAUCGCUCUCAUCCUAUCUUACGCUCUCGGCGCUUCACCUCUGUCGCUCCUUGAGGUCCCUCCGCCACUUCGUCUAGGGCCUCUCGCGCCGCAGAGUGCUUCGGUGUCCUGCUCAUGUCGUUUAGCGCGGACGUUCGGCUCCAUUUUUACUCCUCUCUUUGACCUGCGGCAACUUCCGCCUCACGCUCACAUUUUCGGUGUGUGUGCCCAGGGUCGCCUCUCUCCUCUUCGUCGAGGAGGUCGUUGAGUUGUAUGUCCGUUCGUCGCUUCGUCGAGCGCCUCUUUCGCGAUCCUUCCGCUGGGUCCCGGAGCUGACCCCAGCACGUAGGUGUGAUGUAUAUAGAGGCCCUCGCCGCGUCGCACUCUUCUCUCGGGUACCGUGUACAUUCUCAUUGGUUGUUGCUCGGUUGCGCCGGUCUCCCAUCUGUCCACCAUAAUAUGCCCAUAAAAUUCCUCCAAGCCGAGCGUCGCGCGGCAAUCCCUCUUCAAGUGCGCCGGGGUGGAGAAAACUGUGAGUUUAAGUCCUAGUUCGUAUUUCGAUCUUGAAACACAUUCAUUUUGAUGCUUUGGAGCCCCCAAAAUCCCUAAAGCGCUUUAGAGCUCCACUGCUUUACAAAAUGGCAGUGGGAAUUUGGGGAUUUUGGAGACUUCGGACUCUAAAGAAUCAAAGUGGUUGUGCUCAGAGGGCGCAUUCGAAAUGAGGCCUAAGUGUUAUUUCUUUUUUAAUUUAGUUUCUUUUCUAAUUUAUCACAUCAAGUAGCUUGUGAAUAAUGAUUUGAUCUGAUAAUGUAGGGAACUUUCAAUGAGGAUGUGUGAGUUGACUCUUGUUGACCAUGCAUAUCUUGUUUUCAAGUUUUUUUGGAAAAUUAGCUAAUUAGCUGAUACCAGCUAUUUCUUCCCUUUUUUGUUUCGUGCUUGUCGUUAUUGCUUUCCUCUCAAAGCAUUACUAUUGUUGAUGUCAUUUUACUUUUAGGCAAGUGUGUGACAAAAUUGAUGUCUGUCUCAUGAAAUAAAAUAUUCCUCAGUUCUAUAGAUCGAAUUUGUAACUCUUAACUCAAAUUGAAGGGAAUGGAGAUCAGACUUUGCUUGUUCCUUUAGUCUGAACAUGAUUUCAGUAGCCAUGAUAAAGUUCAACUUGUGUACGGGUCUUUAUCUUGGAUUUAGUUAAGUGUUAUUGUUCUUUGGUUGCUAAACAUGUUAAGUAUACUCAAAUGUGUGAAAUUGGCAUGAUGCUGAAUUCAUGUUUUGACAUGUGUUGACAAUAAUAUGUAAGUUUGGUCGUUUUACUUGAUUAAAUUUCUAUGCUAAACAAUUUCUUCGUCAAAUGACAAAAUCGUGUUAGUCUGCACAAAACUAUAAUGAUUUCCUUCUAUUUUCACUUGAGAAUGUUCUUUGCACAGGGAGCUCAUUCUGCUUCUUGCUAGGUUUGUUUAAGUUAAAUCACGAGCUAGAAACUAUUUCACCAGCCUCUUUGUUGAGUUCUUCAAGUUCUUACUUUAUUUGUUAACGAAUUUGCGGUCCAGAGACUACUUUGAAGCGAUCCUUGAACUAGGUACUAUGAUGACGGACCAAACAAAGUUUCUAUUGAUUAAUCAGAAAUAAUGUCCUUCAACUUUGAAUGGGUCCAGUAUUUGUGUUGCUUGAUGUAGAAGCAUGAAACUUGUUUAGAUGAAGUUACAUGAUAAAUGUCUAGCUGCGCAAUGGUUUGGUCAAUAAGAUUUCAAGAGGACUUUGGAACUUCUUGUGGUAUUUACUAAUUAAAAAACUAGUAGGGUUUUUCUGAAGAAUCUACUCAAAGAGCAUCGAUUUCUAUAGAAGGCCUAGAUAGGGCCCAAGUUUAUGAGUCUAAGUUUUGAAACAUAUUGUGAAUUAGAAGUAGUGGCAGAGCCUGUCAACCUCCAGAUUUUGAGAAAUAGUUUAUGCAAAAUGAAGCAAAAUAAUAGUUAUAUCUUAAAAUUUGCAUUCAUUUACCCAACUAUCCUUCCGCUAUUUGAAAAACAUGGUCGAGUAAGAAAGGUAGUUGAUGCUGAAUUUUAAUAGACCACACUCUUCUUUACAAAAGAUAGAUGCUUAAAUUAUCUGGAAAGCAUGAGAAGUAGGUGACAUAUUUAGGCCUUGUUUGGUUAUGCAUCAAUUUUACAUUUUUCCCCCCCUUUUUUUUUCUCUUUCACUUAAUUCAAUGCUUUGCGUAGUAUGAUGACAUAUUGUUUGCAAUCUCUGCAACAAUGGUGUUUGUUUUUUAAAAAAAAUAGUAGGAACAAUUAUCUCUAAGGCCUUCCCCUCCUCGGCGAGUGCUACGAGCACAAGGGAUCCGUCGAGGCUGCACGGAGCNUUCUAAAGAAUCUACUCAAAGAGCAUUGAUUUCUAUAGAAGGUCUAUAUAGGCCCCAAGUUUAUGAGUCUGAGUUUUGAAACAUAUUGUGAAUUAAAAGUAGUGACAGAGUCUGUCAACCUCCAGAUUUUGAGAAAUAGUAUGUGCAGAAUGAAGCAAAAUAAUAGUUAUAUCUUAAAAUUUGCAUUCAUUUACCCAAGUAUCCUUCCGCUAUUGAAAAACAUGGUCGUAUUAAAAAGGUAGUUGAUACUAAAUUUUAAUAGGCCACACUCUUCUUUUGAAAAGAUAGGUGCUUAAAUUAUCUGGAAAGCAUGAGAAGUAGGUGACAUAUUUAGGCCUUGUUUUGUUAUGCAUCAAUUUUACAUUUUUUUCCCCUUUUUUUUCUCUUUCACUUAAUUCCAUGCUUUGCGUAGUCUGAUGACAGAUUGUUUGCAAUCUCUGCAACAUUGGUGUUUGUUUUUUUUUUUUUAAGUAGUAGGAACAAUUAUCUCUAAGGCCUUUGCCAUCCUCGGCGAGUGCUACCAGCACAAGGGAUCCGUCGAGGCUGCACGGUGCACCUUCGACCCUGCCAUUUGGAUCGACGCCUGCUUGGAAUUGGCUUGGCAGGACCUGCAGAGGCUAUCCGGAUCCAGAGGCAGACUCCCACAUAAGGUUAAUUGUUUGAUUGAAUCUUCCAUCAUAUGUCAUUCCAAUCUUAGCAAGUUGCAGGUAUUGACUGCAGAAAUUUUUUUGUUGUUCUACCAACUAAUUAGCCACCACCUUAUUAGGAAAGUGCUUAAUUGAAUUAAUAUGCUUGAAGUCCUUUUUCCAUUGUUCAACAAUGUAUUUUGAUAGAAUUUCAACCAUACCUUAAUAAUUUUACACCGAUAGCACAUGCCUAUCUAAAAUAUCCUUGAAUUGAAAAUAGCAACAAAAUAUAGCUAAAUUCAAACUCAUUUUCACUGUAAAGAACCUCAUAGCUCUUUUGCUAUAAGGCUAAACCAUCUUUCAUUCUUGUAUGGUCUAUUAUCUCAAAGAAGGAAACUAAUCCAACAACUUUCACUAGCGAAGGGGUGCAAUAGGUCAAAGUCUUGAUCUCUUCUUGGAAUGUUAAACAUUUUCAAUAUUGUGUAAAUCUUCAUGUAAAAUUGCAUUACUAAUUGAAGGCCUAUACUCUAUAUGCAUAUGAGAAAAAAGAUCUGAUUUUUUUAGUUUGUAGUGUUUAACGUAGUGAGCUCUUUUUAUAAAAAAAUUUGCUUUAAUAUAUCCUAUAAAAUAUAUUUGUCACCUAAGAAAUGUUGUUGGUUGAUAUUUUUACGAAAACAAGAUUACUUAGCAUUUUUUUUAUUUGGUACUUUUCUACAAAUCCUAGAUUGCCCUUAAAUUUUUGUUUGAGACGUGAAGCUAGCUAUACAAUUAGUGUUUAAUUCUAGAUAAGCUCUAUCAUGUCAAACAUUUGAUUCACAAGUAAUAUUAGACUGCUAAAUAAUAGUUUUAAAUAUUUUAUGAAUACAAUUAUUCCUAACCAACACUAUUGAAGCAUCAAAUCAAACCACAUUGAGCCAGUUCAACCAACUUACUAAAUCAAAAUCAAUUCGGAAUCAAGAGGACAACCGAACCACACCAAACGAUCCAACUGCACCAAUCACAACUUGAUAGUUUUCAAAUUUAUAAAUUUGUAUUCUUGAGAGUGUAUGGUUGUAACCUCCUCCACAAUAUAGGAGUAACCUCCUCCACAAUAAGUGUGAGAAGUUCUCCUUUAGUUGUAUAAGUUUCCCAAUCGGACAUUAAUGAAGUGUAUGAGCUUCCAAUUUCUUUAAACACCAUCAGCAUUGUUACCGGCUCGACAAGCUCAUUGGUAAUAGUUAGUCAAAGCGAAAGUUUUGGAUAAGGAGCUUCAAAAUUCUACAGUGAGGAGAGCAAGAUCUUCUUGGUAUGAUAAAGCUUAUUAUUUUGCAUAUUUUUCUAUAUUUUUCUUCAAUUUUGUAGUAUUGUUUUCCUCUUUAUUGACAUAGGAAGUCGUAAAAUUUCUUAAUUUUAAUUUGCAAAUAAACUAUGAUCUUUCUUUGUUAUUAAUUCUUUUCUUGUAUUGGUUGUAGAUGAAUUCCUUUCAUAAUUGCAAUUGAAUUUAAAAUAACCAUAUAAUUAAUAAUCACGGCAAAUUAAAUUAUGAGAAUCAUCAUUUAUAAUUAUGGAUUCUAAUUGAUUUGUUAUUUUUAAAUUAAUUUGCAUAUUUUUGAAAGUAAGUGUGUUAAUUGAAGUGCUAAAUUUUUUAGUAAGAAGUAUUAGUGUCUAGAUAUGAAGUUUAGAAUAGUCCAUUAUUUAUGAUUUUUGUUGUUGGGACUUGUUAAGGAUUUUAUAGGUUGGCGAAUUUCGUNACAAUGGACAAAAGUUGGAUAAGUAAGCCGAGAAAUGAUAAUGCGUACAUUGAUGGUGUUAGAAAUUUUAUUAAAUUUGCUAUAGAAAAAUCAUCGAUAAAUGGCAAGAUCUUAUGCCCAUGUCGAAAGUGUUACAACAAUUCUUCUUUUGUCCCAAUUUUGGACGGAAUUGGCUGAUAAACUUGUAUACCAAAUAAACGUCGUUUUAGUUUACGACGUGUUAAAUAAUCGAAGUUUCAAAAAUGAGUCAGCGGCCGCUUCUCUACAUUGGGCCGUGAACCGGGCUAUAUGCUCGAUCGUAUUCUCGGUCUCAUCGCCCGAGAACUUGUCAAACUUCGGCAUUUUUCAGUUUUCCGGAUACGGGUGCUCCACGUCGAUGUUCGCGGGAUAAGGAGAUCUAAACACAGACCGCAUUGCCGGCCUUACGCCAAUUCCGAAAGUAUUUCGGAUGGCUUCUUCAAUCCGUGCAUAUAUUUCAUUAUUGUUCCCCUGCAAAGGAACCUGUGCUUCUACUACAUUCGGUCCUUGCGGUAGACCGAAAUUCGGUAUAAUAGGGUUAAUUCCUUGCAUAUUCGGAGCCUGCACCCAACCCUUACGUCCAUGUUUUGGGGCUAGUAAGCUAGUAAAGGAGGUAAACCCAAUGCCAUCUCCGACUGCAGGCUGGCGUUUAUAUUUGCCGGCCUAUAAGCAGCCUGAAAAUGUGCCAUUUGCGGUUGCGCCUGUGAGACCGCCGGCGUGAUGGGAUUUUGUUGCACCGGCGCAGUUAGCGGCCCCUGUUGCCCCCCGUAAGGUUGCUCGUUUUGGGUAAAUAACUGUCUGAUUCGAACAAUAUUUUCAUUGUAGGCCAUGAUGGCGGCCAGCACCGCGUCUAGUCGAGCGGUACUUUGAUGGAUAUUUUGAUCUACAGUUUGCAGGACUCGGGUCAUCAGGCCGAGUGCCUGAGUUAGACUUGGCUCUUGAUAAGCUACUAGUUUCUCCUUCAACUGGCAAAACUACUUGGCGUUCACCAGCAUUGUCUAAAUUGCUAGGUUGAUCACUCCCAGAAUUUCUAGGAACAACCCUAUUGAGCAAAUUCAUGGCAUUAUUAUCAGCCAUGAUUUCAAUAAAUAAUAAAAAUUACCUCAAACGGGUCCCACCGGGCGUGCCAAAAAUUGUUCGUGCCGAAAAUCUUCGAUCCUCGACCCGAUCAAAGGUCCUCCUUAGGGAGCUUGUCGGGAUCGAAACCGCAUAUGGUACUGACCCUCAAAGUUAGCGCCCUUCGAUCGAUCAAGCGAUUCGGCUGAUGAGGGAUCGGAUCAGCCGAGUUCGAAGACUCUACAGUAAAUCCGGUUCGGCCGGAUGAGCCGAAUGUACGGACCAAGCAAGAGCUGAAGUCGGCCAAGGAGCUGAAUGGCUAAAGAACACAGGAAUUGAUCGGCUUGAAGAGCCGAAUGCCUUUAUAUAUUAAUAAAGCAGAGUGUGCCCGAGGGGCAUACAGACUCUGAAAAUCUAAUCUACAACAGAGUGUGCCCGUGGGGCAUACAGACUCCAGAGAUCUAACUUAAAAGCUACUCCUAGGAAAGCAGUAAAUGCGGGUAAAAAAGAUUACAUGUAGACUACUCCUAGAAAGCGAUAAAUGCAGGAAAGGAAAGAUAUGAAAAUGCGAUGGUCUUUUCGUUCAGGGCAGAGAAAGACCCCUAUUGCAGGAUUCGAAAUUACUAUUUAUAGUAAUAUCAACCCACAUUAUUGGUUGGUUGAAAGUAGUUGGGGGAGUGGCUGUAACCAUGAUCGUGGAAGUUACGCCCCACUUCUCAACCGUUCCCGCCUAAACGGUCUCAACCUUCAGGCACUGUAAGGACUGAGAUUUUUGCAGUGUAGCUAAACUCUCAGUUGACGAUGUUUUUGUGUGUAAUUUAAUUACAAAAGCACUCGUCUAGUUUCGGGCGAAAUCGAGUUAAAACGGAAAUUCUACGCGAUUUCCAAGUUUCACUUAAAGUGAAUAGUAACUCGAUUUUCCGGAGAAGCCACGGUGAGAAGUUGGCUUCUGGCUCGUACCGGACUCUGUUUAUAGCAGUCCAAUAGCUCGUUUCGACCGGGUCAGCUAUUCUGGAACUAAUGGCGCUGACGGAUUUUGAGUUUGACGCACGGAUUUCGAGAAAAUCCAAAAAUACAUGUUUUAUAUGUAUUUNCCUAGCACAUCAUGGCUCAAGUUGAAGCUUGUUUUUAGGUUAGAACACUUCUCUUACACUCUAUUUGAGAGAUUUGCUAGAGAUUUGGAAGAAACCUAGUUUUUGAAAAAUUAGGAUUUAUUUUGGGAUUUUGUAAGGACUGAGAUUUUGGUAGUGUAGCUAAACUCUCUGUUGACGAUGUUUUUGUGUGUAAUUUAAUUACAAAAGCACUCAUCAAGUUUCGGGAGAAAACGAGUUAGAACGGAGAUUUUACGCGAUCUCCAAGUUUCACUUAAAGUGAAUAGUAACUCGGUUUUUCGGAGAAGCCACGGCGCGAAGUUGGCUUCUGGCGCGUAUCGCACUCCGUUCAUAGCAGUCCAAUAGCUUGUUUCGAAUAGUUCAAUUAUUUUGGAACCGAUGACGCUGACGGAUUUUGGGUUUGAUGCACGGAUUUCAAGAAAAUCGAAAAAUACAUGUUUUAUAUGUAUUUGUGUGUCACUUUGUCUGUAGGAAAAGAGAACGAAUUUCGUCGCGAAUCCGUGACCGAUCGAGGCGAAACGAAAUCGUAGGUUUGUUGCCUCAGACGUGCUGAUCGCACUGGUGCGAUCUAUUCGCAAAUUUGACAGACAGAUCUGCGGAGAAAAUGCGUUGUUCGAGGAGAGGUCGGUGAUGGCAAAACAGUAUUCUCGCAAAAGUUGUGACAUUUUAUGAACCGUUUCGCGUGAAACGCAUGUGGAGGUGCAUUUGCGCAUUUUGCACGCGCUGUGAAGGACUCAAUAUUAAAUAUUGAGUUUUGAUGUGUUUUUCUGCAAAAUGGAGCUAUAUGUAUUUAAGUCCUCUAGGGUUUCACCUUGGAACCGAACCCUAGAUGAUCCAUAGCUAACCCUUGUCGCCCCUAGCCACCUUCACCUCACUCCCCUGCCCUAGCCGCACACCCCCGAUCGCUGCCGGCUGAGCCCGGCCACUGCCGAGCCAUCAUCUUCCUCCCUCUCCAUCUCUCUCUCCAUUUCUCUAUUUUCUUCUCAGGUUAGAGCCCAGGCCGAGGCUGCAUUGCCUCCAGUCUCUUCCUUGGCAUCUUCCCGGAGCCCCGGCGACCCUCCCCGCCGGCCGCCGCCGCCCCGAACCGCCCCUAGCGCCGCUGCUGCACCCUGCAACUGGCUGGGCCGAGCCCUGGCCGAGGCAAGCCUACAGCCUUUCCCGAGUGCCGCCGCCACAUUGGACCACCACCUGCCGACUUCUCGGACCCCUGGCGUCCCUCCCCGCUGGUCGCCGCCGCCCCUGCGGGCCGCCACCGCCAUCUUGGCCAGCCGCAGCCGCCCCAGACCCGCUCGAGUCGAGGCAAGGUCGCGACUCCUUCCCUGCGCCGCCGCCACUCGGGGCCGCACCCGAGGCACCCCUCCGGCCUCCAGCAACUCUCCGCCGCCGUCCCGGAGCUCCCCAGCUACCGCCGUGGCCACCAUUGCCCAUGGAACCAGAGCCCUAGCUGGUACGGGGUCGGUUUGCUCCGCCGUCGCCGUCGCCGCCGCCGCUCUCCGCGACUAACCGAGGUGAGCAGUGUGCUCCUUCCUUCCCCCGUACCCAUUUCUGGCCCAUGCGCACCCUGUCGUGCCGCCGGAAGCCGGCCGGAGCAAGUUUGCUCCGGCCAAGCCCGAAAUAGGGCUUAGUUGAGUGGGUUUGUUGUUCUGAGCUUCCCGAGGCCUCCCGAUCAAUAUGGAAGGGAGCACGAUGUCAUGGCAAAUCGUUAAUCAUCGUGCUCACCUUGGUUUCUGUCGGAAAGGCCCCGUUCUGCUAUUUUGGCGGUGUCGACCCUAUAGAGCCUUUUUGGCUGCUGUUUCAGGUUUGCGCGUGUUUUUUCGGCGAUCCGAGGCUGUCCCGAUGCCUGCGGAGGUGAGCAUGGUGAUUGUUGGUCAGUGCCGAUCACAGUGCUCACCUCACUUUGGUUCAACGGAUUCUGGUUAGUUCUGUUCGGCACGAUUUUCCCCGACUGCGCGCUGUUCACAGAAAUUUUGGGUUGCUCCCACGCCUCCCACAAUGAGUCGUUGUGCUCCGGAUCAUGAGCACGGCCUCCGACGCAUCGAGACCUGUCAGUACCUGUCUCGGCAGACCUUGGAAGUCCUCGGUUUGCGUGAACGAGCCACUUGAUCGCUCAAAUUACAUAAAAUGAUAGGAUUUUAUGUAAUUAGAGGGACUUUGUGCAAUUGUGCACCUUAGGGCUACUGUGGGCAGUGUGUAUGCAUGUGUAGUGACCUUUGAAUUGAUUGUCCAUGAUCCGAUAGCCUUCACGGAAAUUAAAGAGUCGAUUUUGGUGCGUUUUUUGGCAAAAUUUGCCGAAAGAACGCGGUUUCAGUUCGAAUUUCUUCCGACGUCAUUUGGUUACCCUGUGAGUUGUCGCUAAGCCUUGUUGGCUGGUCAACCACCAUCACAUUGUAGGUUUGGUGAUGAUAGGUGAGCGACGGUGGGUUCCGGUGUCGAAAUAGACACUUCCGGGAACCCGGAUCCGAACAAUUAUCCGACAAUAAUUGUUCGGUUGUGUUACCUUGUGUUUGCUGCCAAGACAUUCAAAUUGGUGUGUUUUGUGGCAGCGGGUGACUCGUGGUAUGAGUCGGUGAGUUUCGGGACACUUAGUGGGCCCCGACAGCAUCCCGGUGUGGUUUUCGGGACUUCCGGUGAGUUACGAUGAUCGGUUUUGGAAAAUCGAUUACGGGGAUCUUAUGUGGGGGGUUUAUGAGUCUCGUACUUUGGGUUAGUGGUUUGGAUACUGACCUGGUGGAUCUUCUUAGGUCCGGUAGACUCUGUGCGUACCUAGUGUUCCGACGCUACAGUGACAUGUGGGUGCUUCAAGCUGGUAGUCGGUGAGAUCGUUUCACCCUUCCUCUGUUCUUUCAUUCAGUAUCAUAGCCUCUACAUGUCAGUUAUUUGUUUAUCAUUGUUUAUCGUAUCUCGUUGAUUGCAUUUGGAUAGUUGUGGAUAGACAUAUAGAGUAGGCUUGCAUUUGUAUAUUGCACCUCUGUGGACCUUGGGUCCAGGCAACACAUCGACUCCUUUGUCAUGUGUUUCGAUCUGGUUGAUCGUGGUUCGGCGUUGUACGCUCUUAUUUCUGGCUUCGGCCUAGGCACCGGCUUCAGUCGGUUUUUGUUUGAGCAUACCAGCAUGACUUAGUCACAACACUUGGAGGUAUUCAAGACACCGGAUCGGUUUGGCCACCGAUCGGAGGUGUACCUAUCCGGAUAGAUCGUCCUGUGGGGAGGAUGGAUCAGGUCGGUGCAGAUUAGUAACAGGCAGCGCUUGAGGUCUGUGGACCGAUAUAGCAGGCACCAGAUUGGGUACAGUUUUGGUUUGUUUACAUUGAGGCAUUCUCGUAUUGUUUCUAUACAGUAGCAGUUUACUUAUUGUUUCUUAUCAUAUCUGUUAUAGCUACUGUAGUUCAUUUUCGUAUAUCAGCAUAUAUAUUCGUUUACCAUAUCUCCUUUGGUUUCCGGUGAUUACGGCUUGCCUUCGUGGCUUUGUCGUACCCACUGGAAAACUAUGGUUGCGGUUUCUCAUUUCCUAUUCCCCCAGGGUGACAUGGACGAGGAGUUGAAUUUUGGGCUCGACGGGAGGACGAUCUAGCUAGUCUGGUAUAGCAACCGUCACCCUAGUUACUUUCAUUUCGGCACUUAGUAGUUUUAAUAAUAAAUGGUUCAGUUAGAUGAUCAUUACUGAUGUUUGAAUGUUUGAAUGAGUUGGUUUUCCUCCUAUGCAUGAAAUUGUGGAUCUGAGAUUAGAGAUUUGCGGAUUCGUGAUUUUGGUUUUAUGGAUAGUUGAUUCUCGAUUUAUAUAUUUACGAAUUUAUACAUUGUGGUUUUCUACCCCUUGAGGUAGUCGAUUUUCAAAAUAGAGUUUUCGUGUGGAAAAUAGUUUUUACAAUGUUUUCAAAUUGGUUUUUGUGAAUGUUUGAAUUAGAUUUUUAAAAGCAAAGCUUUCGGGUGGGGAGCACUUUUAAUAGGAUGACUGUUGUAUUAUUCAUUGCAUCAUCCAGCGCCUAAGGAGUACUUAGAGGUAUGCAUUAUCUCUAAGGAUUGCUAGCUGUAUGAAAAUGCAUGGCAUGAUGAUUGUUGAUUGGUAAAUAUAGAUUGUGGUUGAGAUUCUGAUGUACUGUUGGUAUGCCGUGCAAAUACAAAUGAGACUCUAUCCGAGUGGGUAGAGGAAUUUUGUAUUUGUGGUAGAUCUGUACGACACGUGGGCCAAGUUGGAGAAAAAAAGGCACGUUUUUCGCAACUCUGUUUUAAAAAGGCUUUUAAAAUCGGCCCGGGGGCGUGACAGGCACCUUAUUACCGACUCCUGGUGUACCACGUGUCCUUAUUUCUUUGGCUCAUACGUAGGGUAAGGUCGGCAUAUUAAUUUUAAUUUUGGCAUCAACACCAAGAUUAAAAAGAAUUUAUAUGUCAUCUAAAAUUGCUUCAUUAAUGAGAUGGCAUGAUAAAGGUCGCAUUAAAUAUGGACUCUUGAGACACCCAGCAGAUGGCCUCGCGUGGAAAUCAUUUGAUGAUCAUUAUCUUGAUUUUUCUUCUGAUCCUCGUAGUGUUAGACUUGGUUUUGCUAGCGAUGGAUUCAAUCCUUUCCGAACAAUGAGUACCACUUAUUAAAAGCACUUGGCCGGUGAUAUUGAUUCCUUAUAAGUUACCUCCGUGGUUAUGCAUGAAAUAAUCAUCAUUCAUCCUAUCAACAGUCAUCCCUGGUGAAAAAGGUCCAGGUAAUGAUAUUGAUAUUUAUUUGCAACCUUUAAUAGCGGAGUUAAAACAAUUAUGGAAUGGUGUUGAUGCUUUUGAUGCUUCUACUAAGCAAAGCUUUAUCAAGAAAGGAGCUUUUAUAUGGGCUAUUAAUGAUUUUCCUGCCUAUGCUAAUUUAUCCGGUUGGAGCACAAAGGGGCGUGUUGCUUGCCCUUGUUGUGGGGUUUCAAUCGAUUCACGUUGGUUGAAGCAUAGUAAGAAGUUCUGUUAUAUAGGCCAUCGUCGAUGGCUAGAACCAAAUCAUUCGUUUCGAUAUCAACAAAAUCAAUUUGAUGGUACUAUAAAGUUGCAUUUCGCUGCAAUAUCACCAUCUGGAAUUGAUGUCCUAAGGCAACUAGAGGGCACAAGUUACAAAUAUGGCAAAGGCUCAAAAUCUUCUAAGAAAAGGAUAAGAGAGGAAGUUGCUAGUUCUGCAAAUCAAGUAGUGGAUGAAGUUGGCACUACAAAUCAAGUAAGAGUGUUUGAAGAUGCCGAUGAGUUCAUUGGGGAUGGCCAUGAUUUUCAUGAAGUUGGGAAUGAUAGUGAUCCAUUAGAUACAUCAACACAAAGUGUAGUGAAAAAUUUUUGGAAGAAAGAAAGCAUCUUUUUUGAACUGCCAUAUUGGAAGUACAAUCUUCUUCGACAUAAUUUAGAUGUCAUGCAUAUACAGAAGAAUGUUUGUGAUAACUUUAUUGGAACCUUUUUGAAUAUGCAUGGUAGGACAAAAGACAAUUUGAAUGCACGAAAGGACCUAGAGGAUAUGGGCAUACGACAUGAUCUACAUCCCAAGUUGCAAUCGAACAACAAAACUUACAUACCUCAUGCAAUCUACACUAUGUCUACACAAGACAAAGUAAAUUUUCUGACAGUUUUAAAAAAUAUUAAAGUUCUAGAUAGGUACACAUCGAAUAUCUCAAGAUGUGUAAAUCUAAAAGAACGGACGCUUUCAAACCUCAAGAGUCAUGAAGAGUCAUGAUGGUCAUAUUUUACUGCAGGAUAUUCUUCCAUUAGCUUUGAGAGCAUCUAUGUCAAAACAGAUUAUCACAAUUGUUUCGAAACUAUCAUUAUUUUUCAAAUCAAUAUGUUCCAAAUCUCUUGAUCCAAAAGCUCUUGAUCAGUUGGACUCAAGUGUUGCAUUAACACUAUGCCACAUUGAGAAAAUAUUUCCCCCUAGUUUUUUCACUAUCAUGGUUCACCUUAUUAUUCAUUUAGCAUCGGAGGCCAAAUUAGGUGGUCCUGUACACUACAGAUGGAUUAUCCCAUUGAAAGGUGAGAAAUUUAAAUCUAAAUAAUUUAUGUAUCAUUAGUUUAUAUAUUUGACCAAUUUAUUACUAGACUAAGCAAAUUAACAACAUAUAUAUUAUGUUACAAAAUUUUAUUAUGCUAGGUACUUGGUACGGCUAAAAUCUUAUAUACGUAACAGAGCUAAACCAGAGGGCUCGAUUGCUGAAGGAUACAUUGCAGAAGAAUGUUUAACAUUUUGUUCAAGAUAUUUGGAAGGUGUGGAAACAAUAUUCAAUCGACCACAAAGAAACUAUGAUAACAUAGAUAAUGCGGAAGUUUAUAUGUUUUUAUCCGGUGGGCGAGUAUUAGGGAAUUUCGAAAGCAUUGUGCUGGAUGAAAUCUCAUUAGCGCAAGCACAUCGCUAUGUGCUACUUCAUUCUGACAAAAUUUCUUCAUAUCGUAGGUGAAUACCAUUUUACUAGUUUUAUUCAUAAUAUUUAUUUUUUUAUUGUACAAAUUUGAGUCCACUAAAUAGUUAGCCAUUAACAUAAUAUAGAGAAUUUUUGGUGGCUCAACGAAGAGCUAAUCGUGCGAUUCGAGCUAAUCAAAGUAUUGAGCAAAAUUGGCUAGUAGAAAAAUUUUCUGAAUGGUUUUAAGACAGGUAAACAAUAAUUAUUGAAUGAAAUGUUAUAUAUAUUUUACUAUAAAAUAAUUACUUAACCUAUUCUUGAUCAUAGGUACCAAAACUACAUGAGAGCAAUUGUUCAGAAGAAAUCAUUGCAAUGGCAAGAUGUCCAAAUAAUAUUACAAAAAGAUUUAGUGGUUUUAUCAUAAAUGGAUUUCGGUUCCACACAAAGGAUCGUGAAAAGUUUCGUAAGACUCAAAAUGGUGGAGUUAUGGUAGAAGCAGACGAGCAAACUUAUUAUGAUGCACUCACUGAUAUUUUUGAGCUAGAUUAUUUUGGGAAGUUUAAAGUUGUCUUAUUUCGUUGCGAUUGGUGGAUGUUAGGUCACCAAGGAGUUUAAAGCAAGACAUGAAUGGAUCAACUCUUAUUAACUUUUCCAAGCUGAUACACACUGGGCAAUUUUUGAAAGAUGACCCAUUCAUAUUCUCAUCUCAAGCAAAACAAGUGUUUUAUGUGCAAAAUCCUAGAAAUGAAGAUUGAAAUCACGUUAUCAUCACAAAACCAAGGACACGCAACGAAUAAACGAGUAAUGACACGUGCUAAGGAUGUAUGGAACUUGCCUAAUGGGCAAAGAAUUGUAAUUAAAUGUAACAAAUUUGGGCAACCAGUGAAGAAAAGGGGGUGGCAUCCUUGGAGGUUGGCUUGGGACUCUUUCACGAAAAGGAAAUUUCUGCUCUCUUAGCUACAAUAGUUGGAAAAAUGUGCCUAACACAGUGAAAACAGAACUUAUUCAACUAACUCGGAUAAAACCAAUUGUACUAAUCUUUUAGUAGCACAAAAUUUAUGUAUACUCAAUGGUUGCUGUAAGAGUUAAUUUUUUUUAUGAUUAGUAGCGAUCUACAUCUUGUUCUAUUAAUCUCAAUAGCUGCUGUAGGAGUUAAUUUUUUUUUAUGAUUAGUAGUCAUCUAUAUCCUGUUCUAUUAAACUUACCGUAUAGUUAUUAUUAACAAUGAUCAUUGUUGAGGUAUUACUAGAUCAUUUUGUAGGUGGAACCACUUGUGAACGAAACAGGGUGCAAUUUUUUUUUUUUAAGCGACAAACUUCAUUUAGUUAUAAAGUUCUUAGUAUUAUAGAUGUAGUUUGCAACUUAAUUUUCAGUUAGUGUUUAAAACUUUUAUAUUCCUUUUAAAAUUUUUUAUGCCUAUAGUUUAAAAAUAUCUCAAGGAGCUUAAAUAUCAUGAUAUUUUUCAAUAAUAGAUUAAAAGUAGUUCAAUAUUAAUUUUUAAUGAGUUUCAGUGUUUAAAUUUUGACUACAUUUUUUUUUUCUUGUAGACUAAAUUUAAACUACCAAUGGACAAUAAUGUCAAUGCAUGGAUAUUAAAAUCAGUUAGUUGAAAAUGAAAGAAUUAUAAAUGUGAACUCAAAGCAAAAUAUACGAUAGAGGACUACACAGAGCAACAAUUAGUGAAUGUUGUUCCCAAAGAAAUUGUGCCUCAACAGUGGGUAGACCUUGUGCAUUACUGGUUUUCGGAAAAAAGUCAGGUAGAGCAUUUUUAUACAUUAAAUGGUUAUUCCUUGAUGUUACAAAUUUUAUGGUUCUUAGCACAAUUUUUUUUUUGACAGUUAUAUUCUCGGAUAGGGCGGGCAUCACGUGCAAAACAUACAACUCCUCACACAACAGGCUCUAUGUCUUUUGCUAGGAAAAGACAAGAAUUUGUAUGCUAAUUUUAUUAUUACUUUAGUUUUUAUAAAGUGUAGCUUUUUAGUUCCUUUUACCCUGAUAUAUACUUGGUUUGGGUGCAAUAUUGCUCUAUUAGAUUACACUUUUUGUUUUUUAUUCCUAAGCUGUUAAGUAGUUUUAACUUGUAUAUUGGGACUAAUUUAUUCACUGCCAUUAAUUACAGGAAGAGAAAAAUCAAAGAGAACCUAGACGUAUUGAAUUUUUUGCAGUUACUCACAAAUCAAAAGAUGGGAGUUAUAUUAAUACUGCAGCAAGUAACUUCAUAGUGCGUAGUAAAAACACAUUACUAUGAAUACAUAUACACACAAAUAUAAUUUUGUAUAGUUGAAUUAAGUUUUCUUUUAUUACUCUAUGCAGAGUGAUGCCAUGGUAAAAGUGAAUGCUAGUAUCACUUCAGAAUCUUCAGCUUCAGCUAUUGAACUGGAGAAUGAUGCUUUCAUUCGCACGAAGGGAAAAGAUCGAUAUGGUCUAGUAAGAGGGUAUGGGAUUGGUGUAGUGCCAACACAAGUAUUUGGGCCAAAAGCAUAUAUUGGAAAUGUUCGAUAUGAUGAUAAUAUGGAAGAAGUACAAAGAUUGAAAUCAAAGAUACAACUGAUGCAAGAUACGUACGAGUCAAGAUUGGUUGAAAUGCAAGAAGAAUAUGAAUCGAAAUUAGACAUGAUACAUCAAAAUUAUGAAUCACGCAUGAGUGGGAUGCAAUCUCAGUUGAAUGAAGUCACCUCUAUUUUGUUAAACUUUGUCAUACCGUCUGAUAUUUUAGGUGCCGAGCCGAGGGGUCGUACAUCAACUUAGAGAAUUUUGUUUAGCUCCUCAUUUUGAGCUUUACUUGCAUUAAAACUCAAAUAGUUUAUCAUAUAUAUGUUGUUAUGUUGAUCAUUUUGGCUUUUGUAUUUAGUGAAAUUGUUAUGUUGAUCAUUUUGGGUUUUGUAUUUAGUGAAAUUGUUAUGUUGAUCAUUUUGGGUUUUGUAUUUAGUGAAAUUGAAACAGUUCCGUAUCACCUUUUGUUUUAAAUUUGAAUUGUUCAAAUGUUAACUAGUUGACUUGUGGAAUUGUUUUGAAUUCUUCUCAUAAAUUUGCUUAUGUAUAUUUUUUUUUUCCUCUGGAUGUUUGUUCUUUUUAAUGCUGCAAUUUGUAAAGUAUAUAGUUUGCAAGUUUUAAUAAAAUGUCCAAUGAAAAAAAAAUUAAUCAAAAUUUUAAAAAAUAUUUUAAAAAUUGUUUUAUGCUAUUUUAAAUGCUUGAAAAAUAUAACCAUGGUAUUGAGAUGACGACGCAUGAAAGCGCCGGCAAAAAUGCCAACGCUAUAAAAAGUUGCUAUAUUUUUAAAAUUUUUAUAAUAUUUUGAAACUUAGGAACGCAUUGAAGCAUCGCCAAAAUUAAAUUGACGACGUAUGAGAGCGUCGGUAGUAAUUAACCAACGCAUGCAUAAAGCGUCGCCAUUUCGUUACCGACACUGCAUUUAACGACGCACUUGCCGACGCUUUUCUUUGCGUCGGUGGACAUUUUGCCGACGUUUAAGAGCGUCGUAAAGUUUAAAAAAAGGGGUAGGUAGAAACCCUUUUUGUUGUAGUGUUAUAUAUAGUAUAUUAGCCUAGUUCUAUAUAUAUAUAUAUAUAUAUAUAUAUAUAUAUAUAAUACUUAUAUAUAUAAAGCUUAAGGGGCGUAAUGGAGGAUCAAGUGAUGAUACACUUACGAAUUAAUUAUGAUGAAUCAAAUUUAAAAUCAAGAGUCUACCAAUUAUGACUAGUAUUCAAAUCAUAAGUAAUUGUGAAAAUUUAAGAAUGAUAAUCUCUCAAGUAUGGCAACCAGUCCAAAUAGAAAAUAUUUGAAUUCAAAUAUUGUACAUUUCUAGAAUGUAAUUAUGUAAAUAUUGCAAUUUCAAGAAUAAUGGGAUUAUAUUUUGUAUUUAAUAAUUCUAUAUAUUGAGAGUUUGUUUUGUGUGUUCUCCUUUAAGGAUAACAACCAUGUUUCCACUAAUUAUAAUUUUCUUCAACCACCGCUAAACCUAGGGAACUACUAUCAUCUCAACUAUACAUGUUGCCUCCUUAACUAACUGUUAUUUAAUUAUAAGAGUUAGAUUAAGAAAAUAUUUUACAGAAUAAUUUUAAAAAAUAUUCAGUAGCAAUUAAUACAGCUGUUCUCAUUUUAGUUUAUCAACUAGAGUUUUGUGCACGAUGUUAAGACAAAUUUGAAUCAUUUACUACUAGAUAGAUUGAUCUUUCAGCUUAAGACGAUAUUAAAGUCACUCUUAAAAAUUUGAUCUUUCACUAUUUUGUAGCAUAUAUAUUUCCGGCUAUCAUUUUGUUGUCUUUUUCUUAACAUCUUCAAUAAAUCUAAAUGGUAUAUAUGGUUCAGCGAAUACCAACCAUGUAUGUGCACCUAAUUGUUAAAAUAAGUAUUGAUCAUUUUAUAUUAGAAUAAGUAUUGAUCAACUUUUUAGAUAUCGAUCUUAUAAUUUAAUUGAACUUGGCAAAAUUUUGUCAAUUGGUAAUGAUCGAGUCUCAUAAGUUAUUCUAUUAAUAACAAGAAUCCGUAAGUUCUUCUAUUAAUAACAAGAACACUUCGUGUCUAGUAGAAAAAAAAAAUUAGGUAAAAACGUAUAAAUUUAUUUGAAUUAUGAAUUCUUGUAAAUCAACUAUCCAAACUUUUAUAAUUCUAAUUUUAUUAUUUAAAUUUUUAAUUUGUUUGAUUUUAAUUAGUAAAAAAUAUUCUGAUUUUCAAAUGAUCCAAAAAUAGUGCAGAAAAAAUUUAUGCGAUAUAACCUAAAGUUGGAUAUGAGUUAUUAAAGUUUCUGCACAUUCAAAAUAUAUGGAAACAACUCAAACACUUUGCAUUAAAUAUGCUGACUCAUUGAUAAUCAAUGUCAGCAAAACUCUCUUAAAUAAAAAAAAAACUUUUGCAGCCUUGCAGGUACUCAUUAUAAAAUUGAGUUGGAUUUUGUUAAUAAUAUCAUCAUGAGGUGGAGCAAAAGAAAAAAAAAAAAAAAUAAAAAAAAAAAAAAAUCUAAAAGCAAUUUCUAGUACAUCUUGCUUUAUUGGUUUGAGAAUUGAAAUCCCCAGAGAAAAGUACAUCGUUUCUCUCUCAUCCUUAGUACUAUGCUAUCAUUAUAGUCUCUCUUUUAGGACACGCUCACUUUUCCCCCAUCUGGGUUGUUUCAAGUAAAGUGAACAUUCUCUAGAUCAUGCACAGAUAUGUCACAGGUCCUUUCAACCAAAUAGGGUUUCAUUGAACUUUUUUACACUGAAUUUUAAAGGUGUUUUCACCUAUAUAUAAAGUGCAUUAUUAUGCUUUCCUUGAUUUUUAAGUUAUUGCUGAACUUAGGUUUUGUAACUGAUGAUGCAUAUGAUUAACACUAGUUUGAAUCUCCAUUCACUUGGUCUAUUAAUCAUUCUCUCAAAUAAUACAAACUAAAUCAUCUAUUCUUAAGAACACCUCAUGGAAAACUAAAAGAACUAAAAAACAAAAUCUCAUUUUGAACCUUUUAUCAUCGAAUUUUGAUGGAAAUCUCAUAUAAUUAAAACUGCUGUUAAUUUGAAUCAGAAAUAGAUCUCCUACAUAGUGAUUAAUGAAAACCAUAAACAACACAAUAAUUCAUUUUGAAAUUCUAUUAUUUGUUGAUGAAGUGUUGAUUCAGUAGACACAUCCUGAAAAAAAUAAUAAAAGGAAAAAAAAUUACAGUACAACAGUUAAAAUUACUGUUUGCUGCGUAGUCUAAUUAGGCCAAAGACAAUGAAAGACGUGUAUUAAUUAACAAAAUCCUCAGUUCCACUAAUUAAACCACAAGUAAGUAAGUAACACUCCACUUCAAAAUCAUAAACCACAUGAUCACAUUAAUUCUAACAUAGCACAUCAGAAAACAAAAUAAACAAGAGCACAAAUUCAGUUAAUUAAUCCUGAUUAAGCGUAAUCAGAAUGAUUAGAAGGGCCGUCGGCCGCCGCCCCAACCGUAGGGCUCCGACGGCACCGGCACACUUCCGCCGAGGAGGUUCUGCGGGAGCCCGUGGAAUGCGUUCGCCUCCGCUGCCGCCGCCGCCGCCAAAAGCUGCUGCUGCUGCUGCUGUGCUUGGCCGCCGAGCAUCGCGGCGGCGGCGGCGGCGGCGGAUGGCGGCUGGUCGUCCUCCUCGAGCGGCAGGCGCUCGUAGGCGGCGUUGGCGAAGGACGCGGCCAUUAUGAUCACGGGUCCAGACGCGAUGAGCGACCCGACGACGCUCCCCCCGACGACCUGACCCUGGCCGCCGGAGAGGUAGACGGUGAGCCCGGUGGCCUCCGGCGGGGCCGGCGGGGGGAGGAAGGAUCCGGAGAGGGAGAGAAUUUCGAAGUGGCCGUGCAGGUUCAGCACGGCGCCGCUCUGCGACGACGCUGCUGCGGCUGCGGCGGCGGCGGAGGCCGGGGGCUGCCGCAGCGCGACGUUGGUGACGGUGCCGACGCCGCUGAGAACGCAGACGCCGCGCUGGCGCCGCCGCGCGAAGGCCGCCACGCUCUCCGCGACGUCGCACCCGCCCGCCACCUCCAUCACGUGCGUCCGCAGCGCGUUGGCGCUGUCCCGCGUGAUCACGAUCGGCGGCUUCGCCUUGUUCUUCGACCCCGCCGGGCGUCCCCGCGGCCUCCGGUUCACAUCGUUACUAUUAUUAUUAUUAUUAUUAUUAUUGCCGUCGCCGUCGCCGCCGCUGUUGUUGUUGUUGUUGUUGUUGUUGUUGCUGCUGUCGUUGGCGUUGUCGUCGUCGUCGUCGUCGUAGUCGCGCUUCUUGCCGCGGCUGCGCAGGUCGUCGUCGGAUUUGAGCUGAGGGUGGAGGUGGUGGUGGUGAAAGUCUUGGAAUAAUGGGGGAAGAUGAUGGCCAUGUGUUGAUGCUGUUACCGGAUCCAUAAACUUGCCCUAAUUAAAUUUCUUUCUUUCUUUUUUUUUCUUCUUCUUCCCUUUUAUUUUCCUUUUUAUUUUUCCCCCUAAAUACAAAGAACAGGUGGGAUGGGGCAAAACCUAGGAGAUGGAACAGUGAAGAGAAAGCAAAGGGGGAAGAACCAAAGAAAAGGAGAUGAGAAGGGAGAGAGAGAGAGAGAGAGAGAGAGAGAGAGGAGAACAAUAAUUUUCAUUAACUAUUCAAUUAAGAAAAAAAGAAAAAGGCUAAAAGGAGGAGAAGUAGAGGAAAGAUCAAAAGAAAGACGGCGCCCUGCCUCCUCCCUUUUUCCUAUCUCUCCUUUCUUUUUUUGAAAAAGAAAAAUUAUAGUAAAUAAAUAGAAGAGUCAUAUACCACAACCAAUGCUACUCCUCACCAGAAACAAAAUGGAGGCAUUUCUCUUGUCACCCACCAACUUCUCAGCUGAUUCCAAAAUUAAGCAUCUUAUUAUAACCCCUCCUCUCUCUCUCUCUCUCUCUCUCUCUCUCUCUCUCUCUCUCUUUCUCUUUUAUUUUAUUUUUAUACCCCUCUCUCUCUCUCUCUCUCCACCCUCCUCACAAAGCCAACUCGUAGCUACCAAUAAUUGUUAGCACUCCCCUUUCUCUCUCCUGUAUUAGAUUUCUUUUGAAAAGAGGGCAUACACGGGAAGUUUUGAGGAUUGGUUGGAUUCUCAUUGAGUAUGGUUUGCCCCAGUUAAAUAUGGACUAAUCAACUUCUAGCUUAUUCCUUUCUUCUUUUGUGAGUGUUAUGUUUAUGCUAUGGUCUCUUUUAUUCUAGGCCAGUUAUUAUCAUAUGUGUUAACACUAUUUCCAUAUUGUUCCUAUCAUAUCAAUCUUUUGAGCUAGUUCUGAACAUCUCUCGAUUUCAAAAAGUUUUAAGUUCAGUUUCCUACAUAUACUCUUCUUGAUAUAUAUCAAGAGUCAAAGUGUUUGGUGGUUAAUAUUCGAAGUCCCAAGUUCGAAUCCUAAUUGAUUCACAUUUCCAGCUAAGUUUAUUUCUAAAUAAAAUAAACGAAGCAGAUAACAUGCUACCUAUCUCUCAAACAAAAAAAGAUAUAUAUAUAUCUACCGAGCGUAUAAGCAGAGAAUAAAAAUUUUAUGAUGACAGUCCCCAAGGCGAAACCAUCAAUGAGAUCCAACAGUCAACUUAUAUAUGAAAUGCAUGAAUCAUUUCUCAAAGAAUUGAGAUUGGUAGCGAUUGGAUGGUCUUAUAUUGGGAACAGUCUGAUCAAUUAGAAUUUUCUUCUCCGAAUAGGGGUGAUUACAUACGAUAUAUAUAUGAGGUCAAUCUUUUGGUACGAUCCAGGCUAAUGGAAUAAGGGCAGACUACUUAAUCACCUUGUGUGCCAUGGGACUAGAAAAAAUUCUAUUUGUUUACCGCUUAAUUCGAUUAUCUCAGAUCUACACUACAUCUUGAGCUAUACUUAUUAUUUAGAUGCUCGGCACAUCUUAUACAAUCUUUGGCUAAAAAAUAUAUAACUUACUUGAACUAGAGACCAUUUUUGAAUCGCUUAUCUAGCAUUUCAAAAUUUUAAUUUUACCAUCCAACUUUUCAAUUUGUUUGAUUGGGUCAGUCAACGGCACUUUAAAAUUAACUUCAAAUUCGUACGUGUCGUUUAUCCGUCUAGAUUUUAUUAGUAUAUUUCAUAUAAUUCUCGCAACUAUAAAUUUAUUAAAAUAAGUAAUUAGCUGGCUGACUAAAAAUCUAAUAAAUUGCCAAAUUUUUAUUGGUCGGAUUAAAUUAUUAUGGAUAAUAUGUUGGGUGCGUUCAUUGGCACAGGCCGGAGGGGUAGGUGGUGAGCCUGCGGUCGCGCCGUACCCGUCGCUACCCUAAUAAUAUUUUACUAUGCCAUUUUGUGUUGAGACAUUUCUUACCUGCACUGCACUGGGCGUAUAAAUACAUCUCAUACACCAAUAUUUUGGAAACCUACAAUAAGCAACUCUAAAAUUUAAUUAUAGCCUUUACUUUUCGGCUUAGGAAAUUACGACCGAAAAUAUUUAAUUUAUUAUAAAUAGUAAUUUUAGACGUUGUUUACGUCGCAUCUAUUGAAUUUAAUUUUAAUUUAAAAUGUAAAUCGGCAAAUAUCAUGAGCGGUGCACAGGGCUGUUCAAUUGUACACGCGGUGCACGUGACAAUUCCUCUCGUGUGCGCGUGGGGGACGUCGCUGUCGAAUAAGAAGAGCCAGCGAGCUCCCCACGUCGUUGAAUUAUAGCCGACCUAGCGGUGGCAUAUUCGUAAAUAAGUAGAAUAUCAGGGGCGUAUGUGUUUACAGGGUGGGGUGUGGCAUGUGGGUCUUCGGAAAUCGCGUUGUCGCAAACGACGUGGGAGCGGACGUGAAACCGGUCCGUGGACACGGUGCACCGCUACGGCAUCAUGGACCGACCCCUGAACCAGGUCUAAAAUUAGAAAUAUAAUAAUUUGUUGGAUGCGAGUGGUGUGAUCAACAAAAUUUCAAAUGCCCCAAGAUAUGAUCCCAAAAGAAAAAAAAAAUCAUAAAUCAAAAAUUAGGAAUUUAACUGUAUAUAAGGUCCAAACGUAAAAGAGCUUUAGUUUUUUUUUUUUUUUUUUUUUUUUUUUUUUUUUACUUUUUAAAAAGUAUUUUAUCAAACGGUACAUAACUUUAACAGAGAAGCUUUAAGUAGCCCUUACCUUAGUGCCAAACUGGCUUGAGAGACCGGUCCACAUUGGACCAAGUCCCUGCAAAAUGUUGUCCGGAGCAAUGACGAGAAUCUUUUGAAGCGGUGUGAAUGAAUUCAGGUGGGCCCCCACGAGGACACGUGUCAGAUGCUCCGCGAUCGGGGGCUGCGACCGAGGCCUGCGAGACUGGGACCCCGUCGCGGGUCCGGCGGGGGCGAGGUCGCUCAGCCUCGGGGCGCGCGGAGACCGACACCAGCCGUCCGAUCGGUGUCAGGCGAGCGGGGGAGGGAGGGGAUCGGGCGGCUCCCGAUCAAUCGAUCGCCGUGCGUGCGUGCUCGCGGUUGGUGUGUAUUUUUCCCUUCUCUUAUCUCCUCCCUCCUCUUUAGUGCCCCCACGUGACAACCAUUAGAUCUGCCGCGGUGGGCCCCGGCACGCGCGCGGGUCCGAACGGGUCGUUACGGUUUUUGCGAAUCCGAGGCGGGAUGGGGUGGUGCCCGCACGUGUCACGGGAACGGUGUUUUUUAAAAAGCGGAGCCACCGCGGGAUAAAACAGACCCGUUUGCUCUAAGGACCCGUAUUGUACCUGCGCCUAUUUCAAUACAUUGACCUUGUUUGGAUAAAAAUUCUAAAAUGCAACACUAAUUUUACUAGAUCCAGUAAAUUCUAUCUGUAUCAGUAUAUAUUUGCAAGUUAUUCAUAAAUUUAUUGAUAAAACGUGUGGAUAUCCGUUAAGUUAUGAAUAUUUUGGACAACCCACGAAUAGUCGUGGAUCGAUAUCCGUAUAUUUUUUUAAUUAAAAAAAUAUAUUUUCUACGGUAUUGACUUUAUAAUCAUUAAAAAUUUUAUUAAUUUGUAUUAUAAAAAUUUGGAACGAUAUAUUAUUUUUAUAUUAUGUAAUUUAUGCGCUUUAAGAUUUUAUAUUGUUUAUCAUAUAUUAUGAUAUUUCUAACCGUAACUUAUAUUAUACUUUUAAAAAUUAUAUUUGUAUUUUGCGGUUGGAAAGUGUUAGGAGCUGAAUUUCGUCCUCUUUGACCCGAUCAAAGAUCUUUCUCGGAAAGCACGUCGGGAAGCGAAACGGCUACGAUUAGUGAUCCUUGAAGUUUGCGUCCUUCGAAUGGAUCAAGCGAUUCGGCUGAUUCGAUCCCUUAUCAGCCGAGUUCGAAAACCUUUACUGUAGAAUCGGUUCGGCUAUAUGAGCCGAAUUAAUAAAAUGCACAGAAUUUUGGGUCGACUGAUGAGCCGAAUAUAUGGAAUACACAGUGAUUGGUCAGCUGAAAGAGCCGAAUGCUUUUAUAUAUAUUAAUAAAACAAAGUGUGCCCGAAGAGCAUACAAACUCUAAAAAUCUAGUUUACAACAGAGUGUGCCCGUGGGGCAUACAGACUCUAGAGAUCUAAUUUAAAAACUAUUCCUAGAAAAGCAGUAAAUGCGGGUAAAAAAAAUUACAUGUAGACUACUCCUAAUAAAACGAUAAAAUUACAAAGGAAAUAAAGGUGGUAUUCUAGUUCAUGGGGGAGAAAGAUCCUUAUUGCAGGCUUCGAAAUUACCCACAUUAUUGGUUGGUUGAAAGUAGUGGGGAGAGUGGUUGUAACCAUGAUCGUGGAAGUUACGCCCACUUCUCAUAAAAGUUACGCCCCACUUCUCAACCGUUCCCGCCUAAAUGCUCUCAACCUUCAGGCGCCUUAUUGCUGAUUUCUGGUAUACCACGUGUCCUUAUUUUUUUAGCACAUACAUGGGUUAGGUCGGCAUAUUAAUUUUUUGGCAUCAACUGAAAGUAUAUGAACAAAAAUUAAAAAAAAAAGCUGUGAAUAACCCGCAUAUCCACCAUCUGCCCGUAGGCGGCCGGAUAUGGAUAAAGAUGUUAAUUAUCCAAAAAUUUACGGAUACAUUUUAUCCAUAUCUAUAUGACCCGCGGAUACAAUAACCUGCUCACGUGUUACCGAACUCGUCCAUUUACCAAAUCUAUUAAUAUUACUAAUGUGGUGUUUACAAUCAAUCAAAAAAUUUUCUUGUGGUUCACUUAUCCCAACAUAGUUAUUAGAAAAAUAUUUUUAUUGUACUUUUCUUUCAAAAAAGUAAUAUAAUUAACUAGGAUAAAGAGUGGUGUAAAUGUUAUA